CACUAGAGUUUUUGCUGUGGAGGAUGUUACUAAGUGUAUCAAUUUCUUGCAAUCGAAAGCUACAAGUUUUGUUAGGUUCCCAAAAGAUACCGAUGAUGUUGGCAAUAGAAUUAACAGACUUUGACAAUGAUAUACUCUUAGAAUUUCAAGAUACUGAAAAAUGGGGCCAAAUUUGGAGUCUUGUUUGCACAGCUGCUUCAGAUGAUAGUGCCGGUACAGCUCUAAUUCUUUUAUCAUUGCCAACUUCCCCACAUGUUUCUCUAAGCAUCCUUCCAUCGAAAAUACCUCUUCGUGGAAUGAAAAAUAACACAGUACGAGCAUUUCGAGAUUGUGAAAUCUCUCCAGUACAUUCCAGAUUGGAAAACAAGCUGAGUCAUCAGCAGCAAUCCCUAGAUCUCUAAGACUGCCAAAAAGGUGUUGUGGGAAAUCGGCCUGCAAAAUCAUCUUCACGUCUUUUCCGCAUAGUGAUAGUUCCGUCAAGUUGGGUAAGAUCUGAUCAUCAUCAAUCAUAAUAACUAAUAAGGUCAAUUGAUGUUUUCUCAAAUGAUUUUGAGUAAUCCAAUCAUAAGCAGUGAGUUUAUAGUAUUUGUUUUAUAUUAUAUUUUAAAAAAAAUUGUAUUAUUGAUAAAAUUUAUUAAAUGAUUUUUUAUAUGUUAAUUUUAGAGGUAAAAAAGAAAUUAGGGAAAAAAGGUUGAUUUAUACUGACUCGAAAUUAUUUUAUUGCACAAUAAUAAAUUACUAAUUUAUUUUGUAAGUUCUUCUAUAUGGAAAGACUCAAGAUUCUUUUACAAAUGCUAUACCUAAAAAAGUUUAUAUAAUCAUUAAUCUACCACAUUGAUCCCUUAGUCUAGACUAGCAAAGAUUAUUGUAUAAUAAAAGUUUUCAAUUUAUUGAGCAUUAAUUUAUCAAAGUUAAAAAUAAGCUAUAGAUAAAAAAUCUAGAAAAUGGCUUCAUACCUUUUCCAACGGCAAUAGGGGCUGUUGUGCAGGAAUACCAAGUUGAUCAUUCCCAUUAUUCUGCGAUAAAUCUGCCGUGAAUAUCUUUAAUCUGUCACAACGAUACACUAAAAGAAUUUCUAGGGCGGGCCAUUCCGAAGUAUGCAUUCCAGGGUACAAACAUCUAAGUUUUGGUAGAUCAUGGAGUAUCAAAGUGGUGAGCUGUGGAAAGACAAAAUAAGGGAUCACUUGAUCUGCUCUGUUUUCAGAAAUGAUCUCCUGUAAAUCCUCACAGGAGCGUAUUUCUAGGCGUUGGAGCUGCUUAAGGCUUCCGAUCAUAGACGCUGAAAAUAUGUAUUUUAAUUUGUGACAACCCCACACAAUCAAUCGUGUUAAACUUUGAAAGUGAGGAAACACUGCAGCUGGAAUUUGAUUGUAGUGCCAAAUCUUGUCGACAUUAAUUUCAGAUAUCUCCAAAGCCUCCAAGUUAGGCAACGCAACCUAAAAAGAUAAGAAUUUCUUGUUGAAAAUUUCUCUUUGAUUACAAAUUAAUGCAAGUCAGAAUCAAUUUCCAACUGACAGCUGAGUAUGCAUUCUAAUUCAUACUACUUGUUAAGAGCUCAAUUAGUGAGUGCGUGAGAUUAUUUUUUUCCCCAUUGUUUUCAUUUUCUUUCAAUUCUCUAAAUGAUUUAAUUAUUUUCCACGUUUGACAUAAGAGAACGCAUGAUAGAAUAAACUCUGUUAUAUAUAUAUAUGAAUAAAAUGUUAGCCUACGCACCUUCUCAUUGAAAAGCAAAGUUGAAAUAUCCAAAGUGAUUUCGCUGGAGCAAUACAUAGUCGUCGAUUCCUCUUGCGACACUUGUCUGUUCGGUGAUGCUGAAGGAGUCUCCACCUCACGGCAAAAACUUGUAACCUCUGGAAGAUUCCCCAGACUCAAAGAUCUUAAUUGAGCAAACUCUAUCUUCUCAAUUGCAUUAUCAACUUCUUUCCCAAUUGCAAAAAUCUCUUUCAUCUUGCUGCAAUUAAUAACUGCAAUUCUCUCAAGUCUUGGAAGGCAUUUUGUAGUAGAGAGCCAAAAGAUAUUACUCAACUUAUCACAAUUAUAUACUUCUAUGUUUUUGAGUUCGUUGAAAGACUCUACUUUGAGCCGAUCAAUACAUAUCCUCUCCAUGUUGAUCAAAUUGUGAAGGGCAAGUGACUCCAAAAGAGGAAAGGCAUCACAAGCGACCAUCUCCCUUGAAUCGACGAUACAAAAGAAGUCAGGAUUAUUUUGAACCCAGAGGACCUUCAAUUGUGAAAAGCCCUCCGUGUCCAAAUUGAAAAGAACAUUCUCGAUGCCUUGCAGCUUGUCCAACCGUAAGUAUUGAACGUUAUUGAUGCCUUGCAAUUUCAUGGAGCAAAUGUCCAUAAAAUCAAGCUUGAGCUUCAAUGCUCUUGAAAUCUUGCGAUUACUGUCGAUCAAAAAGUGCAGCUGACUUUUAAACCAAUGUUGUCCAAAAAGCAUGGGAUGCAUGAAUAACCCAUUUCCAAUAUGUAUUUUGAACCUUUCGAGCUUUCUGGCCAAAAAGCCUUCUGGUAACAUACUCUCAUUUUUAACAUCAAUUUCUAGAGUAGUUAGCCGAGGUAAAUGCAUCAAUUCGUCAAGGCUAGCAUUACUUCUUUUGCUGUUGGCUCUUUCAACCUCCCAUUCAAUGAAGCAAUUACCCAUAUACAAUUCUUCUAAUCGGAUUAAGCUUGAUAUGACAUUUGGGGCAAUAACUUUCAGACGGAAACAGUGUUAAAUCUAACAGCCUUAGCUUAGUCAGUUGACCCAGUGCUUUAGGCAACUCUACAAUAUCAGAUUGCAAAAAGCUAAGGAUUUCUAGAUUUUCCAACUUUCCAAUAAUGGCUAUGUCUAUGCCUCCGAAAAUGCUUUGAUUAAGACAAAGUGUCUGAAGAUUUACUAGAAGACCAAUUGAAGAUGGCAAUGACAAUAACCGCAUUCUAGUCAAAUCCAAAACCCGAAGCUUUUUCGUCCUUUUGAAGAAGUUCUCGGGAAUAUUAGGCACAGCAAAAGAGUUCUUGGGAGACAUGAAUAGAAGUUCAAGUUGUAGAGAUUCCGACCCUUCAGGAAUGUCAUUAACAAUACUAUCUUUAAAAGAAAUUGCAAAAUAUUUUUUAAUUCAUCUGCAUUUGGCCAUUUCCAAUCAUCCUCAUUUCUCACCACAAAUGCAUUCAUGUCACGAAAUGCAAUUGAAAUGGCAACAUCGCGAACAACAUCGUGCAUAGAAAUGUAUUUACUGCCACCAUCCUCAAGCAACAAACAAGAGUCUCUUAGUUGAUGGACCCAUGCAUGUAAUUUGUUAUGUGCAUCUUCUAGCUUAUGGACACUUUUAAAUACACCCAAGCCCAUGCUGUAUUUGAACAAAUCCAUAAUUGGUGCUGGCGUAAUAAGACUACACAGUAAAAAAGUUUUCUUGAGUUGCUCACCUCUUAAGUACUUGUAACUCAGCUCAAUUGUUGAGUAUGCCUCUGCUGGUACUCCUUCGUCGAAGCUUGCCUCUGAAGGCGUUUGGAGUUCUUGCAAGGCAUUCUUCCACACAGGCAGCUCUUUUUUUCUCAGUGCCUUUGCUACUGUGGUUAGGGCAAUAGGCAAACCUCCGCAUGCCUUGGCUACACUUGUUGCUGUAGAUUUUAACUCACGAUUUUCAACAUAAUCACCAGCCAUUAUCUUGAACAAUCUCCAGGCUUCUUGUUCAUUUAAAAUGCCAAUCGAGAAGUUUUUUUCAGAUCCCAUCCUUAACAGCACAUCAAGAUCUCUUGUUGUGAAUAAUAAUUUACAUCCUCUGUGCUCAACUCCAAAAGGAAUGCCAAUAGUCCCCAAAUCAAGAGGAUUCCAGAUGUUAUCGAGAAUCACAAGGAUCUUCUUCUCAUUCUUCAAUCUUUCAUAUAGUCUACUAGCUCUUCUAGACUCAGCUUCCUCGGACAACUCUAGGCCUAACGUUUCCGCAAUUUCCUCUUGGAUCUUUCUUAUGUCUGGACAUUGGGUAACCUCCGAAAAAACCACCAUAUCGUAAAGCUUGUCUUCAAUGGCUCGCCUUGCAAACUCCUUCACCAGUGUCGUCUUUCCAAUGCCGCCCAUGCCGUACACCCCAAUGAUGCUGACAUCAACAUCGAUCAAUGCAUUUUGUAUGGCCUUCAAAGUAGAAAGUCUUGAUUCGAAGGCUUCGUAGCCUUUGUGAGACUUGAGCCAUAUAUCCUCCGGAAUGGUACGGUAGGAAAUUCCAUCAACAAAUCUCCCAGCUUCUUCUCGGAGUUUAACAAUGGCCUUCACCUUUGUUUCUGCUUUCUUGCUAAGCUGAUAGCGGGUCUUCAAAUUAGGACACAAGCCCAUGAGACAUCGUUUAUUUGUUGUCUUCUCAUCAUCAAUGAAUUUGGCUGCCUGCUCAAUGAUGAUGUUCGCACUAACCAGCCACUUCUCAACCUUCUCUUCAAUAUUUUCCCCUUUUCUUUCAGCCUCAGAAACCCUGUGCUGAAUGCUUCUCCUUUCAUCCUUGAGCUUGUCUAUUUCUGCCUUGAGUUUCUCAACGUUGGCUUUAUAGUUACGCAAAUAACCAAGUCGGCGUUCUGUUGGAGGAGCCAAGCAUUUCACAAAUUCUAAAACAAUAGUAACAAUGCUUUCCACCAUCCUGGAUCCCUUUUCUUUUUUUCGAAGUUUCUGACAAGAAAAUAAACAAUGAGCGAAACACAGAGAGAGUGAGGAGAAAAAGAAAAAGAAACGCAAAGAUGGACAGUUUAUCUGGUUGUGGAAGCGGAGAAAUGAAAGAAAUCGUAAUAGCUGUUAUGGAUCUGCUGAGAAGAUGGAAACAAGGAAAAGGUUUCUAGUUCAACAACUGGAUUGCGAGCGGAGAGACUAAUUAACAAAGACUGGAGAUUACAACAAAGCAGAUGCCAAGAGAAAAGUUGAUCCAGUGAAAUUCAAGAGAGUUGACAGCAAAAGGGAGCAAAGAUUAAUAACAAAACAGCAGUGACUACAAUGAACAAAAGCAUAUGCGUUUCUUGAUUGAGAAUGAGUGCAAAGAAUGAUCCUUAAUCAAUAAAAUAUCUAACAAUAUCUUCACCGAAAGUUUGAGACAUGUGAUCCUUAUUCCACUUCGUCAAUUACACUCCAGACCAAUGCUGCCGUCAUUAUCGAACGGUCGAUAUCCAACACUUGCACGAAGAUUCCAAGAAGUUGCGUGGCUGCCGACUUUUAGAUGCAAAGCCUCAUUGUGUCGAUGUUACACGAAAGAGAGCAGUCCGGGUAAUUGCCAAAACUUAGAACUAAACAGUAGCUUAGUCAGAAAAUCAAACGCCAGUACCGGUAAAAUGACCGAUAAAAAUAUAAAAAAACAAAAAUUUUAAAGUUUUACUUCAUUGCUUUUUUAAUCUUAUUACUAUUUCUCCUUGCACUUCUAAAGAAACCAAAGCUUUAAAAGAAAUCAGCCAAAUCACGAAGAUUGAAAACUAAAUCUAUGGUUUUAGAUUUUUAUUUUAUUUUUUUAGAUAAUAGAUAUUGUUGAGUAAUGAAAAGUACCAGCUCAGCUAUCCCCGCUUCCCUCACCUUGGGGCGAAUCUCCCCAGAUGAAUGGCACAAGCAGAUUCCUGGUAAUACAUCCUGUACGGGGCAUAUGCCAACUAGAAACGAGUACCGACCAGAUGUACAUACCGACCAAGUACUCAUUAUUCAAAGAAAGAGGACACGAACUCACAAACUCACGACAAUUUUGUUAUGCCCCAAACCGUUGGGGAGAACAUGACGCCCCACGUUUACCCACGAUUCGGUGGUUGGAGACCCAUGAAGGUUUGUCAUCACCCGAAAAUGAGGGGCAUGAAUAAGACUCAGAAAACAGGGGAUGAUUGCCUAUAAAAGGCCAAGAAAUCGAUGAAAAAUGGGAGACACAAAUUGAGAGUAAAGGGGAAACUCUGUCAAAUUAUAAUCAGAAAUUCAUAUAUCCAAAUCCUUGAUACAUUUGGUAUUGAGAAUAUUGCAACUAAUAUGUACAACACAAAUCAUUCACUUUUCUCGUAAACACCUUGUACUAACUUAAGUAUCGAAGGGUUUAUGCCCAAAAAACCAUCGGCGUCUCUGAUUUGUUUCUGUGAACGCAGGCCUGGAAGGAAGAAGACGGGUGAUUUGGGUCCCAGAAGCUCGGGAAAUUGCUGAAGCUAAUGGAUCGCAGCCUCUGUUCCUUUGCCAAUACAAGCGUUGGUGAACCAAUCUGGUCGGUCCAAAGGCGACUAGAUUUCAGCAUCAACAGAUAUUAUUUUGAUGAAUUUUUUAAUAUUAGAAUAAUGUUAGGAAUUCCAAUAAUAAAAUUCUAACUUGAGACCCAAUUGUUAUGUGUUAUUUUUUUAUUGAAUAAUGAAUUUCACAACUAAUAAAAUUUAUAUUUCCAUCAUCUAAUAAAUGACUACCAUAUCAGUUGGGACUCAAUUAUUAGGAUCCUUAACAUUGCUCUUAGUAUUAAAUUGGACAUCUUAGCUAAAUCAGAUUAAAAAUCAAAUUAGUUUUUAGGCUUUUAUUCAACAUCUCUUUUUUUUUUUUUUUUGUCUAUUGGAAGUGAACGAAAUAAAAAUACAACAGGGUCAACGACUGGGCAAUUGGUAGUCAAGUAGAAGCAAAUCAAGGCUAAAUGGGAAAGAGAAAUGAUAUUUGUGCAAAAUAAGGAGAAAAUCAGUGUAACAGAAGAGAAUCAAAGUGCUUUUGAGAUAAAAAAUUGAAACAAGAAAAGGGUCGCUUGAUCCAAUGAAAAUGCAAAGAGCUGAUGGCAAAAGGGAACAAAGUUAAAUAAGAAAACAGCUAGCGCUAGCAGCGACCACAAUAAACAGAAAAUUUGAGAUGGAUUUACAAUAUUUCUGCCUUUCUUUAUGCUUUAAAAAAUAUUGCUCUAUCAAAAAAAAUAUUGAACAUUUUUAUUAUUGGAGUCACAAAUGACCUACACAAUAUAGCAAGUGACUAGGAAUAAAUAAGAAUAUAUAACUCUCUCUAAUUCUCACUCUGGCUUUUAAUUGUCACUCAAAACCCAGAAUUCAUCCUUAAAGUGUAGGCAAAUCAAGGAUGACACCGUUUGGUUGUCAUACGUGCCUUUUAGUUUUCGGAUGACAUGGCGUACACUUCUUCUGUAAACCCAACAAGACAUGUCGUACUCUUUUGUUUUGAGAUUCUAUUUCAAACUUUUCAUGCUAUGAAUGAAAGAUAAACUCCAAUCAUCAAAAUAUUUAGUGUUUGUUUGGUAAUGUAAUGUCAUAGUUGUGAAUUGAAAUUAUUUCUAUAAAAUAAAAGGAUUUGGGUCAUUGUUUGUUAUUUUCUGACAACAUUUAUUAAAUAUUAAAAAAUAAAUUUAUAUUUAUUAGGUAUUAAAAAUAAAUAAACAAACAAAAAUAAAAGUAAAAGUUUAUACAUUACGUAAAAUAAUGACAAUAUCAAUAUUUCGCACUCUAUAAUUGAGUGAUGUGUUGUCCAACUGGCAUACAUUGGUCCCAAACGGAGACUUAAAUAUCAAAGUCCAAAGUUAUUAUGAUGAUGACUUAUAAUCGCCAAACUUGACAUACGGGUAAUCAUGCAUUAUAAGGUGCUAAUUUCUUCCGAUCGGAACCUUAUUUUUCAUUUACAAAUAAAUAAAUGAUGUGACUUCACGGUUGGCGGGGUCCUUUGUGUCAUUUGGGCAUUUCACUAAAUGAUUGAUUGUAGCAGGAAGAUUCCUGGAAGUUGCCAUUUGCCAAUGCUACUAACAUUUUCAAACUUGGAAAACCCUUCAAUCAAUCUUUUAGUGGUAGGCUCUGGUAACUUGGUUUGAUUAUGACGUAUAAUUAUUUGAUAAUAAAGUUAGAGGAUGUAUUAAUAUAAAAUUUGUUUAUUGGUGUUGAAGUUAAUUAUCUCAUUAAUAAUAGUAUAAAAAGUUAAUUACUAAGAAACACAUAGCAAUAGUUAAUUGGUGUCAUAUUAUUGGGAUUCUGGGAUACAAUUUUAUAUCAUAACUUUGUAAGUGUAUACUUACUCAUCAAACUAAUAAAAUUAUUUAAAAAUUUCAGUUGGAAAAAAUAAAUUAUAUUAUUUUCAUUUCAAAUAAUCUAUAAGUUAACUCAAAACAUAAUCAAGCUGAGAAUUAAAAUAAUGCUACUGUAUGAGAGGAUUUUUAUUUUUUCCCGAAGUUUCACUAGGAAAUUAUUGAUACAUAGCUUUAUUCGGAUCAUCUCAGUUCAAACGACAAAUAAUUGAAAGACUAAGCUAAAUAGACCAGCCAACAACUUUGUACAAGAGAGUUCAAAAAUUAAGGUCAUGGUAUUAAGGUGUUCUAUCUUGAAAAGUAUAGAGUAGUAAUAAAAUAAAAACUAAUAGUUUUUGGUAAGAUAUGACAUUUAAAUAAUAAUUUUCACAAAAAUACAAGGAAUAUUUAUAAAUUACUUUUAUAGUGAGGGGACCCUCACUCUGUUAAAGUGAAAAUAUCAAUAAUAUACAAAAGACAUAUAUUUUAACACAUUAAAAAUUGUAUUUUUUUUAUCUAUUGGUGUAUUGAAAUAUGUGUUAUUUAGUUUGUUAGUGAUAUCAUUACUUUGUUAAAAUGAGAAUGUCGUUACUAGAGAAUCAUUAUGUAUACAUAUAUAAAGUGCUUCUGUCCAAGACCUAGACUUUAUUAAAAUUUGAGAAAGCAAAUAUAUUUUAUAUGGUAUAAUAGUGUAAUAACAUCACACUAUUAUAUCAUAUAGAGUAAUAGUUUUUCGAACUUUAAUAAAAUUCAAGAUUAUAGAAUGAAUGAUUUUUAUAUAUUAUAAAUUUUUUUAUCAUAAAUGGAGGACAAAAUUAACAUAUUUUCAAAUUAUAAUAAGCAUUUAUCAAAUAAUUUAACAUUGCAAUUUCUCCUAACUAGUAUAGUAAAUAAUACGACCUAGGAGAUACAUUCAAAGCAUUUCAUAAGUUAGUUGUUAAUAAUAAAUUAUAUAUGCAGCUCCAAUCAUCAUUGUACGGUGAGUAAUUUCCAGUUAUAAAUAGAUAUUACUCCCUUCCCAGCAAUUUUUGAUGACUUAAUUUAGUGGGAUCAAAAUCAACAUUGAAUUUUUGACCAGCUGCCAACAACUUGUGAGCAGUUCACAGUGGGUACUGCACAUGAUGCCUGUUUCUCCUUUUGCAUCUAUUUUUGUUGUUAACAUUAAUUUCAAUAGCAGCUCGUUAAUCCCAUUUGUUGAUUUGGGACUAGAUAAGAAUUUAUCUUGGAACUCCAAUUCUCCAAUUAUUUUAGUUGACAAUAUAUUUAACAUUAUUAAUUGCAUAUUAUUUAAUUAUCAGUAUAUAAUAUUCUUUAAUUUUCUAAUUUUAUAGGAUUAGACACAAAAUUGAUUAUGCCUUUUGAAAUUUAAGGGUUAUGUCAAUUGAAUAGAAAACUUGGAGGUAAACUUGUGGAUGUUUUUGUUGAUUAUCAAUUUAUGCAUGAAUUUUUGUACGUUUACUUUGGUUUAUAAUUAUUACUUUUAAACAUUUUUAUUGGUUUGAUUUAGGGUCAAUUUGGUAAUCCUGUAGCUUUUAAAAUAAUUACAAUUAGCUAUGCUGUAGAAAUUGAUCAAUCGUCAAGAGAAUCAGCUGAGCAUUUAGUAAAAUUUAUUUUUAAAAGUACUUUUAGUUUUAAAAGCGUUGUAUGAAUAAAACUGUUACACUAAAAAUUAAAUGUAUUGCCCACUUGGGUAAAUAAAGCUAUAUAUUACAACUGUUACACUAAAAAUUAAAUGUAUCUUAAACCCAAACUUCUUCUUCUUCUUUUUUUGACUAACAAAAUUAAAAACAAUAGUGAACACAUUCUUUAAUAAACAAUAAGUAAUAAAUAAAAUCGUGUUAAAUUUCUUAAAAACUUUCUUUCACGGUUUGCUAAAUAUUUUUAUUAGUAUUUUAAAUAAAUAAAAAUAGUUGAUUUAAUUUUUUUAAAUAAACUUAUUAGGUUCAUGUAAAGAUGUUUUUGUUAUUUUAAAAAGUGUAGAAAGUACUCCUAAAAAAAAGCGUAGAAAGUAAAACUUAAUUUUUUAAAUUUAUUAGCUGAGUGCAUAAAUAAUUGAGUGUUCAUAAUGAUUUUUAAAGUAUAGAUAGUCGGACCCUAAUAUUUUUAAUAAAUGGAAAUUUUGCUAAUAUGUUAAUGAGAAUUAAAAAGAUAAUUAAGGGAGGCAAUCGAGACAUUCAGGAUAGUUAGGAUGGGACAUGAUUGUGAGCGGUUAGAUAUUGGUCCUAAUUUUGAUCACAAAUAUAUAAACAGGACGAGUUUAUCUCUACUUACAUUCCAUUUGAUAAUUAAGAUGAGAGUGGAAUUGUCAAAUCCCAAAUCAUCCCGGACCACUGCCACCAAGGGUACUCUCACUAAUAAUAUCUAAAGAAAAAUCUACAUCUAUUUCAUACUUUUUUUUAAUGGAAAGAGCCCUCAUGGGGCUUGAAAUGGUAUCCUAAAUAAUAUUGAGAAUAUCAGGUCAUGAUUGGGUUUGUGACAAACAAAUACUACAUAGUUGGGAUACGUAGUUAUAAUGUCCCAAUUUAUGUAGUAUCUAUCAUUUAGCGCACAUAUAAAAUAUUAAUCAGCUUAAUUAAUUUAUAAAAUUUAAAUCUAAUUAAUAAGUGAUACAUAAAUGCCAAGUGCAAUACUGUAUAUGCAAAUCAUGUUUGUGGAUCAUUACAAAAUUGGCUCUUGAAAACAAGCAAGAAAGCUUAAUUAAGAACUUAAAACAAAAGAAUUAGAUUGAGAACAGUCAAGCCUUAUUUUUUCAAGGAUGGAGCUUAUAAAUCUUCAAGUACCAACAUACGCUUGGCCCAAUUGUUGUUAUUAAAAUUUCAAUAUACAUAUAUAAGUAUGAUAUAGCAAAAAUUUGAUGGUACAUAUGUCGGAAUAUACUAGUUCAUGGGUGCAUUUGAUUAUUGUUUCCAUAAAUUUGAACCAGGAAGGACGACACGAUAAAAUUUGAUUUUAUGGUAUGGUUGAUUUCAUAGCUCAUGCACUCAUUUCUUAAGAUAAUCAAAUUUUCUCUGACAUCUUUUUCAACUGUCGAAAUAUCAAUUAUGAUCAAUCAAAACGAUUUCAAAACCUUUCAACGAGACAUAUUUCUAAUACAAUAUUGUGAAAAUUACACUAAAAAAUUAAUUUAUUAUAUAUUAUUAUCCAACGAGCACACAAAAAUGAUUUCGUACAAAUCUAAAAUACUAAGCAAUUUUCAAAUAGAAUUUACCAUGUACUACAAGAAAAUAGGGUAUAUGUGACCCCUACUGUGAAUGCAAAAGCAGCCAUUACGCAUAACCCCGAGUUGCUUUUGUUACCCUUUAUGUGACGGCCACACUGCUGUCACAUAUGUUACGAACCGCGUGACGGUGAAGAGCCGUUCGGUAUACUAAUAUUUUAGAAUUUUAAAUUUAUUUCCAGUUAGAAAACUAUUCGCUGGACUCCGUGUUGCUGGCCACCAUCGUAAACAUAACUGGUUGCCAGCGAACGGCGUAAAACGCCGGCCAUCUUCUUCUUCAACGUAUUCUCCCUUCAUCUUUUGAGGUAAGCUUGUGAUUAUGAGUUUCUUCUCUUACUUAGCUUGUAAUUAUAGAUUUUGAUUUUUUUUAAUUCGUAUUGUAGCCGUUAUUGUCAAUUUUUGUCCCGCCAGCAAUAUUUUUUUAUUCCUACAAGUUGAACCCCUGUGUUCUUGUUCCAUUGGUGAGUUUGCUCACUCAAAUUAAUUUUGUUCUGCGGAAUUUACAAAGUUCAAAUGGAUUCAUUUGAAUUACUAUUGAAUUUAGCUUUAAUUCCAACAUCCAUUCUAAUGUUUUGCAAUUAGAUUUAAUUUAAUUUUAUGUUUAAAGCUUCUACAAUGAAUAGCGGAGCUUGGGUUUUAGUUUCAUUUUCUGGAUAACUUGUUUUAGUUUAUCUUGUAUGCUCACCAAAUGCUUGUUAUAUUGUCUGAUAAGUUAUAUACAUUGCUGAUUCUACAUUAAUAAUGUUACGUUGUAUUUUCAGAAAUUAUAAUACAAAAGUUUUUGCAAUGGCGUGCAUCUACAAACUGAAUUGACUUGUAGAAUAAGAGCUCGGAGUAGUGUUAUGUUCUUGAAUAAUUGAAAGUUCAUAUUGUGUAAGAGCAUGUAGAUGUAAAGCAUCAUUACCAUUUCUACAAAGUGCUUUCAUUCUGUUCAUAUGCUCUUCUUGAACUUUGAAAGGUGCCUCGUUCAAGUCCUAGCUAUAACUACUAGCUUUGAUUAAUUAAGUUCCUAUACUAGCUGAAACAGAUUUAUUUAAUUAAUUAAUUGUGUAUGUACUAAUUAUAUUGAAAGUAUAUGAAUUUUUUUUUUAACAUGAAUGACUUCUAAAUGACUUAAAAACCUAAAGGAUGUGUGAAACAAUGCUCAUUUCAUUUGAAUGAGCCCAUUAAUACUUUUAUGUCUAUGAUUUUCAAUAUUGGCUAAAGCAUUUCAGUUAAGUGGUUUACCUAACAGAGAAAAAAAUUUAAUAGAAAACUUCAGAGUUCUAACAGAAAUAUAGUUCACUAUGCAGAUAUAGUUAUUUUACGGUAUACAAAUCAAGUUGUCCUAAUCUCAAUGUCCUAUGACCGAUUUUAUUUUAUAUAGUCAUUAAUUUUUUCCUUGGUUUUUUGUGUUUAUGAGUAUGAAAUAGUGGGAUUUGGUGUACCUUAGCAUCUUUUGAAAAUUCUCUUUCAGUGUGGCCAACAGAAAUAUACAUAUAAUCAAGUUUCUUAAUCGUGUAUAUUAGUUUUGGGUAUGAAUGUUCCUAUUCUAGUUCGAGGCAAAGCUUCUUCGUUUUGGUCUUCAGAUUUCCAGUAGGUUAAGUUAAUCAACUAUCAUAACUGGCUAGCUAGUUAUUGUCUGCCUUGGCGCCAUUACCCAGGCCAUUAUAUUGCAUAGCAUAAGGAAUAGUGAUUAGGGGAUUAUUAGUGAUUUGUUGAGCUUAUUAUCGACCAAACAAACAUAUUCGCCUUUGCCCACAACUUAGUUUGAUUAGUUAUUAGACCAUAAAGAGCCUUGAUCUAUUCAUUGGCUUUAUUAUUUUUAUUUGGUUUUUCUUUCAACAAUAUUGUUGAUUUCUUAUAAAAAUAUUCAUUGGUUUUUAAACACCUAAUCAUUGGCUAUAUGAAGCUAAUUAAAACUGAGGCUUUGGAUCAAUUUCUUCUAACAAGAUACAAAUGAGCAUUAACCUAUCUCCUAUGAGUAAAUUUUUUUAAUAUCCUUGAUUUGUAAGGAUCUGGAGGCCUGAAAUCCUCUAGAUUUUUUUUAACACUGUCAAUGUUCUUUUUAUUCUGAGAAGGAAAUAAAAGGUUUUAUCUUUCAUACCCAAAUAGUAAGCUGGCCUUGUCUUAACAUGGCCUCCCGAGGACUUGCAAGAUUCAUAGUGCCCCCCACCCCAAAAAAUAAAAAUAAAAAACACAAAUAGGAAGAUUUUGCAAGAUUCACCACCAGGUUUUUUUUAAUUUGUUAAUUGUGUGUACGUGCUAGUUAUAUGUUGAAAGAAUAGGAAGAAGUAUUUCAACAUGAAUGACUUAAAACUUAUUGCUCAGUAAACAUAAUCUGCAUGUAUUUAUCGUUUGUAUUUUUUAUGGUUUUGCUAAAGAAAUGAUAUGUGAAAUAAUGCUACAUUGCAUCAGGAAUAAAUUGAAGAGAUUUAUGAUAUUUAUGUGUUAUUCAAAUUUCAGAUUCAAUUUUAAACUUUUGAUACGUGCAUUGAAAGCUUAGACUUGUUUAAGAAAUUAUUAAUAGACACAUGUUUUUAUUAGUGUCAUCUUUGGAUGAUAGUGAGGAUCAUAUGUCUAUUAAUAAUUCUUGAAUUGUCCAGGCUUGGACAGUUUGGGAAUGCAUAGUUCACUCUGGUAGCUAGUAGCUGAAGUUUUUUCCCACGUAAAAAUGGGUUUUUCAGUAGCUGCUCCUCGUGUUCUCUGGGUACGUACUAGGUGAAUGGGUGUCAUGUGUUGUUUUGGCAUAACGCAUAAACACUUAUAUAGCUAUGUCGUGUGCUUGGAGAAUUAUAGGGAGAUGGUGCCGAAAUUUUUAUAAACGUGGAAGAAAACUUUAGGUACUUGAGAUUGAAGAAACUUAUGCAUUCUUGAGUGGGAUAUGUAGGAUUACUUACCUUUUGUAAAUAUGAAGGGAAUGUUGGAUAUAUUGGGGAUAGUGUAGGAGCUGAGUUGGAUGAAUGUAAUUGGUGAUGAUUUUGCUGAGCUGACCUUGGUUUUGAGCUUGUAAUUUUGUUUGUAAAUGGAGUGCUAUCUCCAAUGUUGGUUUAUAAAUAUGUUUCAGGACUUGCUGACCUAAUUUUUUGUUUCUAGGUUACAGGCUUUAUAUAUCUGUAAUUGAUGGCGAAGUGAAGUUCCCAGAACUUGGCGAGGAUGUUUCUUUACAGAAGGUAUUGGAAACUGUUUUUUACAUUAAUUAUUGUUGUAUAUAUACUUUGAUUUUCACAUCUUUUUCUCUGAUUCUUGUGGCUUUGCUUGCUUUCAUAUAUGUAAAUUCUAAUGAAAUUAACCAUAAAAUUGUAAAAUGAUCUUUUUAUUAUAUUGCAAAACUGUGCACACACGAAAAUAUAUUGUUUAGUAGUAGAAAUGAAGAACUAAAAUGAUUUACUUAACUAAUUUUUGUAGCGCAUUAAAAGGAGAUAGUCAUGGACAUGUGUUGGGUUGGUUUGCCAAAUAGAUAUCCAAGUCAUAUACUGAUGGGGAUGAAAAAUUUAUAGAUUUUGCAUUUGAGAAUGUUGUUGGUGGUACAAGAAUUUAAUGUCCUUUUAAGAAGUGUUGUAAUCUAUAUUUCGUUAUAAGGAAAGUGGCUGAUGAUGAUAUGGUUGGAAUGAUACAAUGCAUCACGUAAUCAAAUGUUCAAGUUACACGGAGCAUUGUUAUGGACUAUCAGUGACUUUCUAGCAUUGCCAACUUGUCUGGGUGGAGUAUUAAAGGUAAAUAAGCAUGUCUUGUUUGCCAACAAAACACUAGAUCUAAUUGGUUGAUACAUAGUAGAAAAUUUUGUCACGUGGGUCACCGUCGAUUUUUACCAACAAAUCAUAGGUUUCGAAAAUAUAGUGUCUUUUGAUAAAACUAGAGAGUAGGGACCAGCACAUUCUCGGUUGUCUGGAUCUGAAGUGAAAAAGCAGUUUAAUAUACUUACUGAGUAUAAGAUUGAAGACUUGAAAAUAGGAGAAUGAAUAAAAUGAGAGAAAUGAUAAGAUUACUUGGAAGAAGAAAAGCAUAUUUUAUGAACUACCGUGUUGGGAGUUCAAUUUGAUUCAUCAUAAUCUUGAUCUCAUGGGCUGUUUUGAUUUUUGUUAUGAACUCAGAUCAAAAGUUUAAUGUGAUCAAAAUUUCUUAAAAAUAGUGAAAACGACUCCUAAUAAUAUGGAAGAUGGCUAUAAAAGAUAAAAGGAAAGGCUUAAAAAGAAAAGCCAUGCCUGUCCAAAAAAAAAAAAAAUCAACAAAAAUCAAAACGGUGCGUUUGAGAGUGUAUAAAAUACAUUUAGAGUGGGAGUUGUGUUGUUGCUUGAAGGCAGAAAGAUAUUUGUCGACGAAGCCAAAACCAAAGAUGAAGCCCAUAAAGCUCAAAACUCCACCGGAGCAAAUUCAGACAAUUACGAGGGUUAUGUUUGACAUAGUCAAGGAAGACGGUCCUCUCACCGUUGCCGAAACUUGGGAACGCGUCAAGGUGUGUGUAUCUGUUAAAUUGAAUUUCAACCGUUUGAUCUGUAAUUAUAAUUAAUCCAAUCGAUCUGACAGUGAUCACUGACCAUAAUACUAGUAGUUGUUUUACAUUUUCAGCAGGCUAGAGCGGGUGGAUUGACGGGCAAAAGCUCAGGCUCGUCUGCAAUCACAUGGGCCCUCAUAAGCAAAUCCUGUACACAACUUGGUUCACUAAACCCAACAACUUGAAGCAGCCAAAAUCAGGGAAUGAUCCUUCUCCGUCACAACCCUAGCUGCCUUAACCUUGUAGUGACACGGUGAAGAUGGAAGCCCCUCAGCAUGUAAACUUUUCAACAGCGACAGAGCUCUUAUUCCAGAGGCUGCACAGAAGAGCGACCUGAAUCCUCUUCAAAACUUUCAAAUUUUUAUCAAGUAAAGCUUUCAAAAUUUCUCAACAAACUGAUUAUUUGGUGUGGUUGCCACAUUUUGUGCAACUGCUAUUCGUCUUCAAGUACAAAUUCCUUGCCUUCUAAGUUAGGGAACAUAGAUGUGGAGCAAACAGGGAAAUAGAUGUGGAGCAAACAGGGAAACAGCAAUGAUGGCAAUUAACAAACUAAUAGCAGUAUUACAUUUGAUUCUUUAGCCCAAUUUUGUUCCUUCUGUCAGCCAUUCUUCAAAAGUUUUUGAAAAUUAGAUGUGAAGCAAAAAAAAAACAAAUUUAGACAACAGAAGCCCUGUGCUCAACAUCAUAUAUAUACCUUGAAUACCUAAUAUACUAAAUUUCACAUAUAAAAUACUAGAGAUUUCAAACAGUACCAGCAAUAGAAUAAUGACAACGACAACAAUAACAGAAAAUUACAAGAUUGCUGACAAAAUUUAUGUGAUUUACUGUGCCUUUAUGCAUGCAAAAUGAAACUGAAGAUAAAAAAUUUAGGGAAAAGGACACAGAGACCCCCAACGUUUGAAUAAGGGACACAAAAUCCCUUAAUGUUUCAAAAAAGACACUCAGACCCCCAUUUGUUAACAUUAAAUUAUAAUUUUACCAUUGUACCCUUAUAGCAUAUUAAAAAAUAAUUAUUCAUUAUCCAAUUUAUUUCUAUAUUAUUAAUAAAAUUACGAAUAUAACUUCAUUACUCAAUUUUUCCAUUUAAUUUUUAUCAAAUUUUAUCUUCAAACUAAAUAAAUUUAAUCCAUUGCUCAAAAAUAAAAAUAAAUUAAAUUGAUUAUUAAUAUAAUAAAAAUAACAAUUCUCCAUAUGUUAUUUCUUAUAAUUUCUUAUAUAUAAAUUAAAUUGAUAAUUUCUUAAAAAUAACAAUUCUCCAUAUAUAAAUUAAAUUUAUUUUAAUUUAAUAUAUGUUAUUUUUAUAUUAAAUAUAUGUUAUUUUUAUUAUAUUAGUAAUCAAUUUAAUUUAUUUUUAUUCUUGAGUAAUGGAUUAAAUUUAUUUAGUUUGAAGAGAAAAUUUGACAAAAAUUAAAUGGAAAAAUUGGAUAAUGAAGUUAUAUUCGUAAUUUUAUUAAUAAUAUAGGAAUAAAUUGAACAAUGAACAAUUAUUUUUUAAUAUGCUAUGAGGGUAUAAUGGUAAAAUUAUAAUUUACUGUUAACAAAUGGGGGUCUCAGUGUUUUUUUUGAAACAUUAGGGGUUUUGUGUCCCUUAUUCAAACGUUGGGGGUCUCUGUGUCCUUUUCCCAAAAAUUUAUAAACUAGAAAUUUAUAAUAAUCUAACUUAUUCUCGUUACUAUUAAAAAAUAAGUAAACAUAUCAAUAACAAUAUAGUUUAUUAUGAUUAUAAUUCAUUCAAUUAAAAUAAAUAAUUUAUUCUUAUUUCUAUUCUCUAUUCUAAUUUCAGUAAAUUUUGAUUUUAGUUUAUUUUAAUUAUUGAUUAGUUGUAAACUUAACUGGAAAUUUAUUGCAUAUAUUACGAGAAGCAGUACACACCAAUGGUAAAUUGAUACAUCGUUUUUGAGCUUAAGAUAGUCAAAUGAAAGAAACACAACGUAGGGUUCAUGAAACACUUUCAAAGCUGCUGAUGACUUAAAGUGAAUAACCUCAGCAUGUAAACUUAACUUCAAAGGACGGAGCACAAGUUUCACAGAAAAACAGCUCUUAUUUCUGAUGCUGCGAACACAGAGGAGUGACCUCAAUCUUCUUCAUCACUUGGGAAUUCUGCAAUUAUAGAGCACGACAUUGAGCAUGAACUAGAAAAAAUAUUUAUUUUCUACAAUUUUCAUAUAACCUCACUAACCAAGAUUAAUUUUGUGGUAAUGUAUUGGGUCAUUAAUUCAUAUGUUUUUACUGUCAUCACUUUAGAAAAAACUAAUUUCUCAAUGUGAAAUGGCCCAUAAAAGGUAUUCUCAUUUAAAAACUAAAUUUGACAAACCCCUCGAUUAAAGCAGGGGAGAGAAAAGAAAAAAAAAAAGAUCUGAAGGCUUUCCACAUGAAAAUGUUGUCACUUUGGAUGAUAUUUUCAAGGGAUUUCAUUCUAAAAAUAAAAUACCUGGGACCUUAUUCUUCAAAUUGACAGCUCGCCCAGUACUAAACGCGUAUGAGAUCAGUACUGGGACAAGUAACGAGACGACCCCUCCAACAGCUGAAAAUAAAAUUCGCAUUCAUCAAUUUAAAUUGAAAUUCAUAUUAUGAAAUUAAAACUAAUGAUUAAUGAAUUUUCAAGGAAUUUAAUAAGAUUCUCAUAUAUAAACGUGAUAAAAAAUUCACUCAUCAAUAACAAAUAUUCUAACAUUUUGUUGAUGUAAUUGUUGUAUGGUUGUGUUAAGGUCAUUAUUAGACCAACGCAGUUUGUCAUCACUCAUUCCGUACCAGACGUUUACUCUCGGAGGCGUGAUUGAUUCUCCUUUGGUGAAAUCUUCAUCUUCGGACAACCAAUCACAGUAAGAUAUUCCAAAGAUGGGAAUUUGAAGGCGUAAUUGCCAGAGGAGAAGCUUGUGAGACUAUCUAAAUCAAACAGGGACAACGUAGUCAGUUUGCUGAAAACAAUCUCUUCUUUUAAAUAUGCUGUUUCAUUUCAAGACUGGCAAAAUUCAUUGUGUAAUCAAAGUUUUCAAUGAUCCAACUAAUAUAUAUAUAUAUGUAUGUAUAUUCCUUCUCUAGUGCAGACAUUCUCAUUUUUUUUUUUCAUGUGGACCAGUUUUUAGAUCCCCUGGUUUAAAAGAGUUAGUUUUUAACUCUUUAAAACCGCAUGGCUUCAUAAUUUAUUUAAAAACUAACUCUCUUAAACCGCACGGUUUAAAAGCGUGUCCACAUUAAAAAAAAAAUACGGACCCCCACACCUGAGAAUGAUUAUAUAUAUAUAUAUAUAUAUAUAUAGACACACGCUCUUAAACCGUGGGAUUUGAAAGCUUCUCCGCAUGAAGAAAGUAAAAAAUAAGGGCAUUCCCACUAGAAACAAACUCCAUAUAGGUAUUUAUUAAACCUCCUGAUCUGUGAGUGAGGAACAACAAAUAUAAUUGAUAAAAAAAAUCUAAAAUUUGGUUUCAUACCUUCUUGAACGAGAACAGGGUUGUUGUGCCGGAAUACCAAAUUGAUCAUUCUCGUUAUUCUGGGACAACGUUAUUUUAUCACAAUUACAGGCCUCCAAUGUUUUUUAGUGCUGGCCAUUCUGAAGUAUGCAUUCCAGGGUAUAAACAUCCGAGUUCUGGUAGACCUUCGAGAUUCAGAGUGGUCACUUGUGGAAAGACAAAAUAUGGGGUCACUUGAUCUGCUCUGUCUUUGGAGAUGAUCUCUUGUAAACCCAUACAUAUCCGUAUCUCCAGGUGUUGGAGGUGCUCAAGGCUUUGGAUCAUAGAAGCUGAAAAUAUGUAUUUUAAUUUGUCACAGCCCCACACUAUCAAUCGUGUCAAACUUUGAAAGCCGCAAGUUGAUUGUCAUGCAAAAUCUCGUCGACAUUAAUAGCAUUCAGCUCCAAAGCCUCCAAAUUUGGCAACACUACCUGAAGAUAAUUUUCUCUUUAGAUCCAAUAUCCGUAUGGAAAGCACUUGUUUUGACACAAUAUCCAUAUAAGAAGCACUUAAUUAAGAGCUUAAUUAGCGAGUGUAUGAGACUUUUUUUUUUUCAAAUGCCAGUGCAUGAUAGAACUAAAAAAAAAAAAGAAGCAUUAGCCUACGUACCUUCUCGUUGAAAAGCAGAGUUGACGUUUCCGAACUGAUCUCGUUGGAACUGGCUGUCAAUUCCUCUUGCGACUCUUGUCUGUUUGGUGAUGUGGAAGAAGUCUUCACUUCACCGCAAAACCUUGUAACCUUUGGAAGCUUUCCCAGACUCAAAGAUCUUAAUUGACCAAACUCUAUCUUCCCAUCAACAUCAACAUCAGCUUCUCCUCCAGUUGCAAAAAUCUCUUCCAUGCUGCUGCAAUUGAUAACUGCAAUCCUCUCCAGUCUUGGAAGGCAUUUUGUACUACUAGAGAGCCAGAAGAUAUUACUCAACUCAUCACAAUUUUCUACUUUUAUGGUUUUGAGUUCAUUGAAGGACUCUAUUUGAGUCGAUCAAUACAUAUCCUCUCCAUAUUGAUCAAAUUUUGAAGAGUAUGGGACUCCAAAAGAGGAAAGGCGACACAUGGUUCUCUCUCCAUUGAAUCGACGAUACACAGGAAGUCUGGAUUAUUUUGAACAUGGAGAUGCUUCAAUUGUGAAAAGCCCUCAGUGUCCAAUUCUAAAACAACAUUCUUGAUUCCUUGCAACUUAUCCAAACAUAAGUAUUCAACGUUAUUGAUGCGCUGCAACUUCUCGGAGCAAAUGGCCAUAGAAUCAAGCUUGAGCUUCAAUGUUCUUAAACUCUCAUGAUUACUGAUCAUAAAGUGCUGCCGACUUCAAACCAAUCAUUCUCAAUAACCAGGGUAGAGUCGAAUGAUGCAUCUCCUAUUGAUAUAUCAAACCUUUCCAGCUUUUUGGAAAAAAAGCCAUCCGGUAAAAUGCUAUCAUUUUUAACAUCUAUCUAAGGUGGUCAAUCGCCUCAUAUGCAUCAAUUCGUCGAGGGUGGCAUUACUUCUUUCACUAUUGGCCUUUUCAACUUCCCAUUCAAUAGGGGAAUUACCCAUAUACAGUUCUUCCAAUCGAGUGAAGCUUGAUAAGACGUUGGGCACAAUAAAUUUUAGUUGCAAAACAAUCUGUUAAAUCUAACAGCCUUAACUUAGUCAGUUGACCUAGUUCGCCAGGCAACCGUACAAUAUCAGAAUUUAAAAAGCUAAGGAUUUCUAGAUUCUUCAACUUUCCAAUUAUGGCUAUGUCUCCCAACAUGCUUUGAUCUAGACAGAGUGUUUGAAGAUUGCUAGAAGACCGAUUGAAGAUGGCAAUGAAAAUAAUCGCAUUCGUGUCAAAUCUACAACUCGAAGCUUUUUCAGCCUUUGAAAAUGUUGUCAGGAAUAUUGACCUCAACAAAAAGUGUUUGGGAAAUAUGUAAAAAUUCAAGUUGCAGACAUUCAAAUUCCUCAGAAACUUCAUGAAUGCUACUAUUUAGUAAAAGAGAUUGCAUAGCAUUUUUUAAGUGCAUCCUCAUCUGGCCACUCCCACACAGCCUCAUUUCUCACCAAUAAAGCAUGUUGGUCUCGAUUUAAACUUUAACUCAAUUUGAAAAACUGAGCAAGUAUGCGUUACAGGAAAUCAAAAAAGCUCCACAUACCCAGAUCAUGAUCUCACGUUGAAUCCAGGUGGGAGAUAUAUUUAUGAUCAAGCCCAACAAUCGAAGGGGGCAAAAAAAAAAAAAAAAAAAAAAAUCUACCAGACAUAUGAUCAUAUUGACCACGAGCUUCAUACGCCGUGGAUUUAUUAACAAAAGUGGAAUUAAUUAAUCAUGAGCAUGUGUUCUAGUUAAGUCAAAAGAGAACUUAAUUAAGAACGCAUAUAUAAUUCAUAAUCAGCACAUAAAAAAUCACUAGUGCUUGCCCCUCCUGCCCUUGCCGUGCUUGCCGUGCUUGCCCCUGCCCUUGCUCUUUCCAUGCUGGUAGUAGCCGCCGUGCUUGCCGUGUGUGUAUGCACCGUGAGCUCCAGGAUAUGCGUUAUUAUCUGCAACAAAAUAAGAAAUUAAAUCAUAAGGCUUAUAAUUAGCUCGCUCGCUAAGAGUGAUUAAAAUAAUACCGUGCGGAACGGAUGGGCCAGGAUAUCCCGUUGGUGUGUAACCACUGGCGAGUGCUGCUCCUGUAGGCGGGUAGCCGGCACCGGCUGGGCAGCAUGAUCAGCACCUUCCAUGAUUUUGAUGAUCACCUAAUAAAUAAUAACUUGGUCCAAAAUAAACAACAAUAAAUAAUUGUGAUUAAUAAAAAGUAAUAUAUUCUCUAAUUAAAAACAUUAAUGAUCAUUGGAGAGCAAGCGAGAAAUACUUACUGAAUGCGAUGGGACAGACAACAUCAUGCAUAGAGAAUUGUUCAUCUUCAACGAAUUUGGCUGCCCGGUCAAUGAUGCCGUUAGCACUAACCAGCCACUUCUCAACCUUCUCUUCAAUCUCUUCCCCUUUUUCUUUUGCCUCUGAAACUCUGCGCCGAAUGCUCGUACGUUCAACCUUCAACUUCUCCAUUUCCGUCUUGAGAUUCUCAAGGUGGCAUUGUAGUUCCGCUUGCGCAAAUAAACAAGUUGGCGUUCUGUUGAGGAGCCAAGCAUUUACAAGUUCCAAAACGAGAGUAACAAUGAUUUCCAGCAUCUUGAAUCCUGACAACAAUGUAGAAGUGAAGAAGGCCAAAGGACAGUCAAAACAGAGAGACAGCGUUACGACAACAGUUAUGAGCUAAAAAUAAAUAACAAACAAACAGAAGCAAAGUGUUUUUCGAAUGAGAAGAAGGAAGCAAGAAAAACUUAAAACUAGUAUAAUAAAUUUAUACUAAAACUAGUAUAGUAAAACAAGAAGUCAAGAACCAGCAACUUUUACACACAAAAUAAAACCUUAAAACUAGUAUAAUAAAUUUAUCAUCAAGUUGCAGCCUUCUUAUUCAACAAUUACAGCAUUAUCUUGAGCUCUGUGUUUCUUUUUUUAAAAAUUAUUCAAAAAAAUCUGCAUUUUUUUUCAACGAUAAAAAUUAUAUUUUUGUCUCAUAUAAUAUAAAAUUAAAAAAAAAACAAACAUAUAUUAAAGGUCUGUUUGGGAUUAUUUUUAGAGGCUCAAAAGUAAUUUUUUAAAAAGUUAAAUGCUAAUUUUGGUAUUUAAUAAAAUUUUUAGAAGUCACCUUUGGUAAAAUCAUCAAUCCUACAACAAAUUUUGAAAGCAAAUAGUUUUUCAAAUUUUUAUUUUGAUAAUUAAUUUUAUACUUAAUAUAAUUCCAUAUACAUCCCUACAUAUAUUAAUUAUCCUUAUUAAUUAGAAAAUAAAAUUAUUAACUUUAAAGAUAUUAUCAACAAUUACAUUGAGAUAACAAACUAAAAAUAAAAUUAAUAAUAUAAAAUAUUUAUUUUAGUAAUCAAUUAUUAUACUUACAAGAUAAAAAAUAUUUUAUUUAAAUGUUUAUAAAUGUACAAAUAAAUUUUAUUUAAUAUUAUAUUCAAUUUAGUCAUUUACAUUGUCAAUAGGACUUCUAAAAAUAAAUUUUCCUAAAUGUUUAACUAAUUCUCUUCAUAGUGAUUAUUUNUUUUAUUAUAUUAGUAAUCAAUUUAAUUUAUUUUUAUUCUUGAGUAAUGGAUUAAAUUUAUUUAGUUUGAAGAGAAAAUUUGACAAAAAUUAAAUGGAAAAAUUGGAUAAUGAAGUUAUAUUCGUAAUUUUAUUAAUAAUAUAGGAAUAAAUUGAACAAUGAACAAUUAUUUUUUAAUAUGCUAUGAGGGUAUAAUGGUAAAAUUAUAAUUUACUGUUAACAAAUGGGGGUCUCAGUGUUUUUUUUGAAACAUUAGGGGGUUUUGUGUCCCUUAUUCAAACGUUGGGGGUCUCUGUGUCCUUUUCCCAAAAAUUUAUAAACUAGAAAUUUAUAAUAAUCUAACUUAUUCUCGUUACUAUUAAAAAAUAAGUAAACAUAUCAAUAACAAUAUAGUUUAUUAUGAUUAUAAUUCAUUCAAUUAAAAUAAAUAAUUAUUCUUAUUUCUAUUCUCUAUUCUAAUUUCAGUAAAUUUUGAUUUUAGUUUAUUUUAAUUAUUGAUUAGUUGUAAACUUAACUGGAAAUUUAUUGCAUAUAUUACGAGAAGCAGUACACACCAAUGGUAAAUUGAUACAUCGUUUUUGAGCUUAAGAUAGUCAAAUGAAAGAAACACAACGUAGGGUUCAUGAAACACUUUCAAAGCUGCUGAUGACUUAAAGUGAAUAACCUCAGCAUGUAAACUUAACUUCAAAGGACGGAGCACAAGUUUCACAGAAAAACAGCUCUUAUUUCUGAUGCUGCGAACACAGAGGAGUGACCUCAAUCUUCUUCAUCACUUGGGAAUUCUGCAAUUAUAGAGCACGACAUUGAGCAUGAACUAGAAAAAAUAUUUAUUUUCUACAAUUUUCAUAUAACCUCACUAACCAAGAUUAAUUUUUGUGGUAAUGUAUUGGGUCAUUAAUUCAUAUGUUUUUACUGUCAUCACUUUAGAAAAAACUAAUUUCUCAAUGUGAAAUGGCCCAUAAAAGGUAUUCUCAUUUAAAAACUAAAUUUGACAAACCCCUCGAUUAAAGCAGGGAGAGAAAAGAAAAAAAAAAGAUCUGAAGGCUUUCCACAUGAAAAUGUUGUCACUUUGGAUGAUAUUUUCAAGGGAUUUCAUCUAAAAAAUAAAUACCUGGGACCUUAUUCUUCAAAUUGACAGCUCGCCCAGUACUAAACGCGUAUGAGAUCAGUACUGGGAAAGUAACGAGACGACCCUCCAACAGCUGAAAAUAAAAUUCGCAUUCAUCAAUUUAAAUUGAAAUUCAUAUUAUGAAAUUAAAACUAAUGAUUAAUGAAUUUUCAAGGAAUUUAAUAAGAUUCUCAUAUAUAAACGUGAUAAAAAAUUCACUCAUCAAUAACAAAUAUUCUAACAUUUUGUUGAUGUAAUUGUUGUAUGGUUGUGUUAAGGUCAUUAUUAGACCAACGCAGUUUGUCAUCACUCAUUCCGUACCAGACGUUUACUCUCGGAGGCGUGAUUGAUUCUCCUUUGGUGAAAUCUUCAUCUUCGGACAACCAAUCACAGUAAGAUAUUCCAAAGAUGGGAAUUUGAAGGCGUAAUUGCCAGAGGAGAAGCUUGUGAGACUAUCUAAAUCAAACAGGGACAACGUAGUCAGUUUGCUGAAAACAAUCUCUUCUUUUAAAUAUGCUGUUUCAUUUCAAGACUGGCAAAAUUCAUUGUGUAAUCAAAGUUUUCAAUGAUCCAACUAAUAUAUAUAUAUAUGUAUGUAUAUAUUCCUUCUCUAGUGCAGACAUUCUCAUUUUUUUUUUUUCAUGUGGACCAGUUUUUAGAUCCCCUGGUUUAAAAGAGUUAGUUUUUAAACUCUUUAAAACCGCAUGGCUUCAUAAUUUAUUUAAAAACUAACUCUCUUAAACCGCACGGUUUAAAAGCGUGUCCACAUUAAAAAAAAAUACGGACCCCACACCUGAGAAUGAUUAUAUAUAUAUAUAUAUAUAUAUAGACACACGCUCUUAAACCGUGGGAUUUGAAAGCUUCUCCAUGAAGAAAGUAAAAAAUAAGGGCAUUCCCACUAGAAACAAACUCCAUAUAGGUAUUUAUUAAACCUCCUGAUCUGUGAGUGAGGAACAACAAAUAUAAUUGAUAAAAAAAAUCUAAAAUUUGGUUUCAUACCUUCUUGAACGAGAACAGGGGUUGUUGUGCCGGAAUACCAAAUUGAUCAUUCUCGUUAUUCUGGGACAACGUUAUUUUAUCACAAUUACAGGCCUCCAAUGUUUUUUAGUGCUGGCCAUUCUGAAGUAUGCAUUCCAGGGUAUAAACAUCCGAGUUCUGGUAGACCUUCGAGAUUCAGAGUGGUCACUUGUGGAAAGACAAAAUAUGGGGUCACUUGAUCUGCUCUGUCUUUGGAGAUGAUCUCUUGUAAACCCAUACAUAUCCGUAUCUCCAGGUGUUGGAGGUGCUCAAGGCUUUGGAUCAUAGAAGCUGAAAAUAUGUAUUUUAAUUUGUCACAGCCCCACACUAUCAAUCGUGUCAAACUUUGAAAGCCGCAAGUUGAUUGUCAUGCAAAAUCUCGUCGACAUUAAUAGCAUUCAGCUCCAAAGCCUCCAAAUUUGGCAACUACCUGAAGAUAAUUUUCUCUUUAGAUCCAAUAUCCGUAUGGAAAGCACUUGUUUUGACACAAUAUCCAUAUAAGAAGCACUUAAUUAAGAGCUUAAUUAGCGAGUGUAUGAGACUUUUUUUUUUUUCAAAUGCCAGUGCAUGAUAGAACUAAAAAAAAAAAAGAAGCAUUAGCCUACGUACCUUCUCGUUGAAAAGCAGAGUUGACGUUUCCGAACUGAUCUCGUUGGAACUGGCUGUCAAUUCCUCUUGCGACUCUUGUCUGUUUGGUGAUGUGGAAGAAGUCUUCACUUCACCGCAAAACCUUGUAACCUUUGGAAGCUUUCCCAGACUCAAAGAUCUUAAUUGACCAAACUCUAUCUUCCCAUCAACAUCAACAUCAGCUUCUCCUCCAGUUGCAAAAAUCUCUUCCAUGCUGCUGCAAUUGAUAACUGCAAUCCUCUCCAGUCUUGGAAGGCAUUUUGUACUACUAGAGAGCCAGAAGAUAUUACUCAACUCAUCACAAUUUUCUACUUUUAUGGUUUUGAGUUCAUUGAAGGACUCUAUUUUGAGUCGGAUCAAUACAUAUCCUCUCCAUAUUGAUCAAAUUUUGAAGAGUAUGGGACUCCAAAAGAGGAAAGGCGACACAUGGUUCUCUCUCCAUUGAAUCGACGAUACACAGGAAGUCUGGAUUAUUUUGAACAUGGAGAUGCUUCAAUUGUGAAAAGCCCUCAGUGUCCAAUUCUAAAACAACAUUCUUGAUUCCUUGCAACUUAUCCAAACAUAAGUAUUCAACGUUAUUGAUGCGCUGCAACUUCUCGGAGCAAAUGGCCAUAGAAUCAAGCUUGAGCUUCAAUGUUCUUAAACUCUCAUGAUUACUGAUCAUAAAGUGCUGCCGACUUUCAAACCAAUCAUUCUCAAUAACCAGGGUAGAGUCGAAUGAUGCAUCUCCUAUUGAUAUAUCAAACCUUUCCAGCUUUUUGGAAAAAAAGCCAUCCGGUAAAAUUGCUAUCAUUUUUAACAUCUAUCUAAGGUGGUCAAUCGCCUCAUAUGCAUCAAUUCGUCGAGGGUGGCAUUACUUCUUUCACUAUUGGCCUUUUCAACUUCCCAUUCAAUAGGGAAUUACCCAUAUACAGUUCUUCCAAUCGAGUGAAGCUUGAUAAGACGUUGGGCACAAUAAAUUUUAGUUGCAAACAAUCUGUUAAAUCUAACAGCCUUAACUUAGUCAGUUGACCUAGUUCGCCAGGCAACCGUACAAUAUCAGAAUUUAAAAAGCUAAGGAUUUCUAGAUUCUUCAAACUUUCCAAUUAUGGCUAUGUCUCCCAACAUGCUUUGAUCUAGACAGAGUGUUUGAAGAUUUGCUAGAAGACCGAUUGAAGAUGGCAAUGAAAAUAAUCGCAUUCGUGUCAAAUCUACAACUCGAAGCUUUUUCAGCCCUUUGAAAAUGUUGUCAGGAAUAUUGACCUCAACAAAAGUGUUUUGGGAAAUAUGUAAAAAUUCAAGUUGCAGACAUUCAAAUUCCUCAGAAACUUCAUGAAUGCUACUAUUUAGUAAAGAGAUUGCAUAGCAUUUUUUUAAGUGCAUCCUCAUCUGGCCACUCCCACACAGCCUCAUUUCUCACCAAUAAAGCAUGUUGGUCUCGAUUUAAACUUUAACUCAAUUUGAAAAACUGAGCAAGUAUGCGUUACAGGAAAUCAAAAAAGCUCCACAUACCCAGAUCAUGAUCUCACGUUGAAUCCAGGUGGGAGAUAUAUUUAUGAUCAAGCCCAACAUCGAAGGGGGCAAAAAAAAAAAAAAAAAAAAAUCUACCAGACAUAUGAUCAUAUUGACCACGAGCUUCAUACGCCGUGGAUUUAUUAACAAAAAGUGGGAAUUAAUUAAUCAUGAGCAUGUGUUCUAGUUAAGUCAAAAGAGAGACUUAAUUAAGAACGCAUAUAUAAUUCAUAAUCAGCACAUAAAAAGAUCACUAGUGCUUGCCCCUCCUGCCCUUGCCGUGCUUGCCGUGCUUGCCCCUGCCCUUGCUCUUUCCAUGCUGGUAGUAGCCGCCGUGCUUGCCGUGUGUGUAUGCACCGUGAGCUCCAGGAUAUGCGUUAUUAUCUGCAACAAAAUAAGAAAUUAAAUCAUAAGCUUAUAAUUAGCUCGCUCGCUAAGAGUGAUUAAAAUAAUACCGUGCGGAACGGAUGGGCCAGGAUAUCCCGUUGGUGUGUAACCACUGGCGAGUGCUGCUCCUGUAGGCGGGUAGCCGGCACCGGCUGGGGCAGCAUGAUCAGCACCUUCCAUGAUUUUGAUGAUCACCUAAUAAAUAAUAACUUGGUCCAAAAUAAACAACAAUAAAUAAUUGUGAUUAAUAAAAAGUAAUAUAUUCUCUAAUUAAAACAUUAAUGAUCAUUGGAGAGCAAGCGAGAAAUACUUACUGAAUGCGAUGGGACAGACAACAUCAUGCAUAGAGAAUUGUUCAUCUUCAACGAAUUUGGCUGCCCGGUCAAUGAUGCCGUUAGCACUAACCAGCCACUUCUCAACCUUCUCUUCAAUCUCUUCCCCUUUUUCUUUUGCCUCUGAAACUCUGCGCCGAAUGCUCGUACGUUCAACCUUCAACUUCUCCAUUUCCGUCUUGAGAUUCUCAAGGUUGGCAUUGUAGUUCCGCUUGCGCAAAUAAACAAGUUGGCGUUCUGUUGGAGGAGCCAAGCAUUUUACAAGUUCCAAAACGAGAGUAACAAUGAUUUCCAGCAUCUUGAAUCCUGACAACAAUGUAGAAGUGAAGAAGGCCAAAGGACAGUCAAAACAGAGAGACAGCGUUACGACAAGCAGUUAUGGAGCUAAAAAUAAAUAACAAACAAACAGAAGCAAAGUGUUUUUCGAAUGAGAAGAAGGAAGCAAGAAAAACUUAAAACUAGUAUAAUAAAUUUAUACUAAAACUAGUAUAGUAAAACAAGAAGUCAAGAACCAGCAACUUUUACACACAAAAUAAAACCUUAAAACUAGUAUAAUAAAUUUAUCAUCAAGUUGCAGCCUUCUUAUUCAACAAUUACAGCAUUAUCUUGAGCUCUGUGUUUCUUUUUUUAAAAAUUAUUCAAAAAAAUCUGCAUUUGUUUUUCAACGAUAAAAAUUAUAUUUUUGUCUCAUAUAAUAUAAAAUUAAAAAAAAAAACAAACAUAUAUUAAAGGUCUGUUUGGGAUUAUUUUUAGAGGCUCAAAAGUAAUUUUAAAAAGUUAAAUGCUAAUUUUGGUAUUUAAUAAAAUUUUUAGAAGUCACCUUUGGUAAAAUCAUCAAUCCUACAACAAAUUUUGAAAGCAAAUAGUUUUUCAAAUUUUUAUUUUGAUAAUUAAUUUUAUACUUAAUAUAAUUCCAUAUACAUCCCUACAUAUAUUAAUUAUCCUUAUUAAUUAGAAAAUAAAAUUAUUAACUUUAAAGAUAUUAUCAACAAUUACAUUGAGAUAACAAACUAAAAAUAAAAUUAAUAAUAUAAAAUAUUUAUUUUAGUAAUCAAUUAUUAUACUUACAAGAUAAAAAAUAUUUUAUUUAAAUGUUUAUAAAUGUACAAAUAAAUUUUAUUUAAUAUUAUAUUCAAUUUAGUCAUUUACAUUGUCAAUAGGACUUCUAAAAAUAAAUUUUCCUAAAUGUUUAACUAAUUCUCUUCAUAGUGAUUAUUUCCAAACAUAACUACCAAAAAUUACUAUAAUAGAUACAACAUUACCAAAAAAAUAUUGAGAUAGAUUUUAAUUAGGUAAUUGACUUAAUUAUGAAUCAAUUUAUUAUUUCCAUAUGUGUUAUCAAAACCAGCUCAAUAAUGAGAUCACUCUUUUUCUUAAAUAAAAAUAUUUGUGCCAAACAAUUGUUGCAAAAUUUCAAAUAUAAAUUACAAACAACAAAAUUUUCUAAAAUCAUAACAAUAAUUUAUGUUGUGAAUACAUGUAACUAAACCACAUUGAAAUUUUAUUGUUAGUAAAAUUGUUUUUCACGCAAAUGCAGUGACGGAUUCAGUUUCAUGUUUCACCCUCAAUAACUUAAUUUUCAUAUCUAACAAAUCAUCCAUAUUAUUAACAAUAUCAUCACCAAACAUAAUCUACCUAAACAUAAACUAAACAUAACACAUACAUAUAACUAUAUACAUACCGAAUCAGGAAAACAAUGAAAGCUACACGUAUCCGGCUCUACAAUUCCUUCUUGAUACCCUUGUGCUUCUGAAAUAAUCAACCAAUUAUAAAAAUUAGCUUAGGCGCAACUUUACCCCUUUUUUGGAAAACUUAACGAUAAAUAAAGUAUACAAAUCUCUAAAUUAACUUCGUCCCCAUGAAAUUCAGCAUAAAUAGAAAUAGAAUUAUAGAAACCUUACUACCUUUUAUGAGAAAUCCAACUUAUAUAUUUGAGACCUCUCUCUCUAAACACGCGCUUCCUCUCUCUGUACACUUUCCACCUUUGAAUUUUCCUUCACUAAGUCUACCUAAAUGAAUUUAGCAUUCUUCCAGUUUCUUUAGCAUUUUUUCUCCGUGAAAAUAGGUGAAAAAGAGAAAGUGGUUUGAUUAUUUUAAUGUAUGACAGAUCUGGUUUCCAUCUCUGUAAUUUAAGUUUGUCAAAACGAGAUAAUCAACUCUUUGUCGAGUCAGUCAAAUAUAAAAGACAAAUUACUAAACCAAGCAGAGCCCAAAAAAAAAUAUUUCCAAUUAAAUAAUCAUCAAGUCUUUUUCAAUUAAAUUAGGGAGUGCAGAACAACUGUCGAGAGAUAAUCAUUGUUUAUGGAGCCAUAUUAUAUUUUCGAUUAAAAUAGUUGCGCGUGAACAAUUGGCAGAAUUCGUAUAAAUUGUUGUCAGGUCUAUUAUAAUUAACAAGCGGAAUGGCCAAUGGAUGAAGAACCACUGUAAUUUCGUUUAUGAAUUCAAAAUGCUAAAGAAACUGGACAUCAACGCUAAAUGUCAGCCUGCGGCCCUUGCCUCAGUGUCUUUCAGGCGUUACUCUGGGUAGUUGAUAUACUGACCGUCCCUUUAUCAAUUAAUAAUCGAAAUAGGUUAAAAUAUGAAUGGAUUGGAAUGGUAUGACUUGGAAUUAAAAUAUGGAAUGACGAUUAGAUUAAUUAAUUUAUUUAAAUUGAGAAAUUAGAAUCAUAAUAAAUUAUAUUGUUAUUGAUGUAUUUGUUUUAUCUUAAAAUUGCGAUGAGUUGUUACAAAUUACUAAUAUGCCUUUGAUUUUGUAUUAUGAUAAUUAUUAUUUAUUAUAACAUUUGUCAUAUAAUAAUAAUAAUAAUAACAACAACAACAAUUAAUAUUGAAAAAUUUUUAUUGUUAAUAAUAAAUAGGCAAUUAUCCACCGAUCAUGUGAUCUUUUGGACGUUUUAAAAAAUAUACAAACACUUUUUUCUUUGCAGAAAUCCACCUGAAAUUUACAAAGUGUUUCAAUUGUUCACUGUCAUCUAAAUUUUGUUAGAAUUUUCUUGACGUUGUAAGGAUAAAAUUGUUAUUUUUACCUUGACUUCCAAAGAGGAUGUCUUUCAAACAUGAUGAAAAUAAAAAAAAGGAUAAAAAAUUAUCUGUAAACUAUCUGAUCUUUUAGCCAUUAUACAAAAUAUUAAAAAAAUAUACGAACAUUUUUUAUUUUUUUCAACAAUCCAUCUGAUAGUUAUGAAGUGCAUUAGUGCUCCACUACUAUCAUAACCCUUUAAAAAUAUCGCUUAAACACGAGAACCUAUUGCCUAAAAUUAUUUUUCAAGAAAAUGUAACUACAGAUUUGGUUUUGAUCUUCAUGACUUUUAAGUGUACAAGAACAAGAUGAACGAACCUUUGUCGAGUUGAUGAAUUAAGAUAAAUCAAUUACAAAUCGAGAACAAACUUACGGGUGACAUUUUAGUAUUAAGCAAACUAUAAUUGAUCAUCCAAUGAUAGGCUUAUUUUCAAUUAAAUUAGAGUAAAGAUAGACAUUCCAAAUUUUUUCUCUCAAAUUUAAUCCUAGAUAAUGUGUUAUUAAUUGAGUGCUUGGUAAUUCUUUCAAGAUCUAAGUGAAUUAAUUAUAUUAUCUCUCCAACCAAUUGAUGAAUAUUAUAUUAUUUGAGAUAAUUUUUUUUUAUCUCAAAUCCCAGCAAAGAAAACAGAACAAACGGAGCAAAAAUAUUUUUAGAAACCUAAAAUAACAAAAAAAAACUUUUUCUUGUUUUUCUUAUUUUCCACUGUUAAACUUCAAAAUGAACAACUUUAUUCUACCAUCUCUCAAAUAAUAAUAAUAACAACAAUGUCAUCAUCAUCAAUAAUAAUAAUAAUAUAUUAACUUUGUAGGAUGGAGCUCUCGCAAAUCUUCAAGACACAAAAUGUGCUUGACCCCAUUGUUGUUAUUAUAAUUUCAAAAUCAUCUGUAUUAUAUAAUAUUAGGGAAUAUGACAUAGCAAAAUUGAUGGUACAUAUGUUGCAAUAUACUUGUUCAUGUGGCGACACAUUGAAGUAAAGCACAAGCAAAACAACGAAAAAUGUAACGGGAGAGCUCUCAUUAUGUAGAUUUUCAAUAGAAGUAAUGCAAAUUUCACAAGGGCAAUGGCCUUAUUUCGAAUGCUGCACCUGAGGAAUGACUUGAAUCUUCUUUAGAACUCAAGCAUUCUGUAAUCAUAGGGUAUAACAUUUCAACAAAAAUAUUAUAUAGGUCGUUCCUUUAUAUAUUUUCUGGGUACACAUACAGAAAUAUUAUUUUAGGUACAUUUCUCACAAUAAAGCCUGCCCAAUCUAGCAUUUUCGUAAGUUGGGUUUCUUAUUUACAUGUUUUUUCCAUUGGUUAAUUAUCACAAACCUCCACUGAGAUUUAGCAUGUUUUUAGUUUGAUAGAUUGUAUUCGCGUAUUCUCAAAUACCUUUUAGUUUACCACUUCGUAUAAAUUAAGUUGGUGAGGAUAAAAUCAUAAAAGUACACAUUAAUGAUAAAAAAAUUCAAGUAAACUUGAAAUUUUCAAGGGGUAAUUUUUCGGGACCUCCCCUGAGGUUCGGUGUAUUAAAAGUCUCAUAGAAAGUAUUCAUGUAAUUAUAAGAACCUCCCCUGACGUUAGUACACAGUUAACUUGACUGUUAGUGGACUGAUAAAAAGUCAAAAAUGCCAUUGGCUACAAAAAUGAGUGCAACAAUUUGGAGUUAAAUAGUAAACACCACAUUGGAGCACUAAAAAGUCUAUAAUAAUCAUGGAAAAAAAUCAUUGACAUUUACAUAAUAUAAAAAAAAAAAGUAAAAUAUAAAUUAAGAAAAUCAACAAAAUUGUCAACGUAUAGAAUAUUUACAGCAGCAGUGGCUAUAAAUACAACCGUCGUCAAAUUAAAAUAUCACCAUUAGUAAACUACUUCAAUAAGACAAUAAACCAUGAUUCACUCUUCAAAGCAUUCAAAAUACACAACCCGCACAAUAGAAUCACAUACGCACACCUGCUAAUGAAAUAUAAGAACAAACAGGAAAUUGAACUGACAUGGCUAAGAUACUCCUUCCCCAUAGCUAUUAGAAAGAUAAUGAGCGAUUUAUGAAUCAUGAUGCUUGCUUUACUUUCUGGCAGUGUUAGCUUCAAAUUCAAUGAUAGUAAAUGAACAAUGGUUCAUUCAUUAUGAAAGUAAGUGUAAAGCUAGGAAUUUAUAAUAUUCAGAUGUUGGAAUUGGAAAAAUAUUCCUUAAUCGUUUCAAUUGAAGCCAAGGAAGAAAAGAAAUGAGUCUUCUUUUUUCAGGAGACAAGCCAUAUGAAGAAGGCAGACCAGAGCAUAAGAACGAAUGCUACUGCCACAGUAAAAGCCUGGAUCAAUGGGUAAUGGUACCUGCCAUGUCAAUUUCAAGACAAACAAAAAUCAAUUAUCAUCCCCAGACCACAACACCACCAAACCAACCUUUUGAAUCUAAAAUAACAAGUUAAUAAAUCAAAGAUUUCAAUUCAUUUAAGUUUGAAAUCAACUAAAAUAGAAAAAAAAAACCCAAUUUCUUUUUUGUUCAAUAUAACUCAUUCAGCAUCUUCUUCAACACAUUUUUAUCAUUCUUCAUCAUCACAACAAUAAAAAGAAAAAAAAAACAUUGAGUCCAACAUGCAAGUUUUUUUUUUGGGAAACUAACCGUUUUUAGGUUCCAAUUCUAGUAGUCUUAAACAGUAGCCGCCGACGAAAUUCGCUUGGCGACACCCUUUUGCCACCAUUGCAGCUUGUCAUGUUCAUACUCAGCUUAAAAUUACUUGAAGGCAGCAGGGAUUUUAUAGUUACAAAAGUUUCUUCAGAGCUUUUCAAGCUUGAAAAUGGCUGAGAGUUUCAUUUCAUGAGAGAGAAAAUGGAGUUUUCAUUCAUCUUAGAUAAAUUGAAGAUAAUUUGCAUUGUGGGUAAUAAAUUGAUUGUCAGUGCCUAAAUUUGGGUCAUCGACACAACUUUGGAAUUUUUUUUAUUUUUCUUUGAUUUUUAUUAUGAAACUACUAAUUUACCCUCAUAUACUAACAUAUAUGAAAUGGCAUACUAACGUCAGUUAUGUCAAGCAGCUCCCUGUAAUUACGUGAAUAUUUUUCAUGAGACUGUCAAUACACAAAAUCUCAGGGGAAAUCCCUAAACAUUACCUAAUUUUUAAGUUGUGUUCUGAAAUUGGUCUCAACUUUGUAAUGUGUAAUGCCCACAAAAAAAGAAAAGGAAAAAUGGUCAUCUCUUUCCUCCAUUCGAACUGAAGCCAUGAAACGCAAUAUCCCUUUCAUCUUCUCUCUAAUGCUUUGAUUAAAAAACUUGCUUACGAACGGGAGACCAUGACACUGAAUCCGAAGACAGAAAUACCUGAGAUGACUGAUUCACGCCGGCGAUGUGGAAGAAUACCGACCAGUGACUUUCGCCGUCGACCCACAAACAAUCCCAGUGUUUUCGAGCCGCGAAUGAGGUAUGAAUAAGAUUAUUUCCGUGCGUGUCAGUUUUGUAAGGAGAUUUGAUUAAAAAAAAGAAUAAUGGGUCUCGAAAAUUUUUUGAGUAUUUCUGUUGCUUAAAUUUUUUUCCAUCGAUUAAUGUUAGUUGUAGGUGAAUGAUUGUUGCAAACGCAUGUUCGCUUGUGAUUGAUUGAAAAUGACUUGUUAUUUGUUAUGCUGCCAUGUGACUCAUUGAAAAUGCCUCUGAAAUUUUUUUAUUUGUUUAAGGUACUGAUUCUGAUUAUUGAACAGGGAUUCAUGCUAGUUUUUAUUAAAUUAAAGAUGAGAUUAUUUUUUAAGAGAUCUACCAAACCUUCUCUACUAUAGAUUUGGCUUCUGACAUACCUGGUUCGCUGGAGAUAAUUGUUUAUAUAGUCAUUGCUGCUCGUAUUAAUCAGGAACAUUGAUUAGCAAUGUACUGGAAUAGAGAUUGGUAUAAUUUUGGAAAAUUAGUCGUAGAUGCAACCUGAUUAUGGUCUCAAAUAGUGUGAUCUGUCAAUUCCGUUUGCUCUAGCCUAACAACCUUGAAUCUGAGCUAUGCCACUAUACAAAGUCCUGACCUAAUCAAGCUUGUUAGCCAAUGUCCAAAAUUGCAGUGUCUUUAGAUAAGCCCUGUCUUACUUGUUUGAGUUAUAAAUGAAAAUUGAAGUGUCUUUGGAUAAUCACGCUGAAUGUUCAAGUUAUUGAAGAGAAGGGACCCCCAGAUUCAAGGCCGGAGCUCCCUGUUGAGAAGCUUUACAUAUAUGGGAUUGUCGCUGGGCGGAGGAUCGAUAUGCCCGGUUUUGUUUGGAAUAGGGAUGAAGAUUUUGCAUUGAGGCUUUCUUGAUAGAUCAUUCUGCAAAUCAAGCUCCAUGUACCUAUCUUCAGACUCUUGGAUAUGUAUAAAGCAGGUGCAUGCUCUAUAUGUUACUCAUUGUAUCACGAUUAUUUUUCUAUUGCUUAAAAUAAUUGCAGUCCUUGAUGUAGUUGGAGACAACUUAUGGAGGGUAUACAGAGGCUCGAGAGUUUGAUUGCCAUUCAUUUGACACUUGGCUGAGCUACAGCAUACCAACUAGUGAUUAAUAAAGAGAAGGUAUGAAGGUCCUGUUGCUGGUGGUAUUAUCAAUCAGAAUUGUUAUUUUACUUAGUCAUAGUUACCAUGUAUAAGAUUCGUAGACUUUUUGCAUGUUUAUGCAUUCGCAUCAUCUUUUUGUUAAGCUAGAGAUGGUUGAUUUGUGUACUCAUUUGUAUCACUUGUAGCCCUUGAGGAAUAAAAUUUAAAAUUUUGUUGCAUCUCCUGUACUAAAUACUAAUUUUGUUUGCUUUAUGUAUGGGAAAUGGUUCAUUAUCUUAUUUCUUUGAUGUGUAUAGUGUUACACUGUCUAAAGUUGAAAAGUAUUUCUAUCACUUGUGUAAAAAACAAACAAUUUUUUUUUCACUCUUCUUAUAUUGAAUAAAAGAAGGACACCAAGAUCUUCACCAAGAUUGAACGAAAUUUGAUGCAGAAAGCAUAGCAAUUAGGCCAGUGCAAAAUAGCUUCCUUCUGAUUCUCUGAUAUUUGACUUAAAUCUUUUGUUUGUUUCAUUCAUCAAAGUCAUUUUGGAAAGUAGCAGGCGUGAUUUGAUAUUUUCAUUGUAUUCACAUCCGUUGGCACCAAAACAAACAUGCUGGUACUAACCAACAAUUUUUUAUUUUUAGUGUACAAAUUAUUAUUUUUAAGACAAAUAAGCUGGUACUAACCAACAAUAUUUUAUUUUCAGUAUACAAAUUAUUAUUUUUUUUUCUAAAUUAGGGGUAUUAAGAAAAGGUAUGCUAGCACCAGGGGAGGUAUUUGAAAAUAUACAAAUACAAUCUAUCAAACUGAGAAUACACCGAACCGGCAGGUUUCUGAUAAAUCCUUUUUUUCUUUUUCCUCCAUUCACUAUAGGUUCAAUUUAGACGCUGUUGACCAAACAGAAGGUUUGGGUUGGUAAACGCACUGGUGUUAAUGCCAACAACCCAAGGGGCUUCAUGGUCCUCUGGGCCGAAAUAGCGUAAUUAUUAAUUCUCCUCCAGUGAAAAUCUUCAUCUUGGGACAAAUAAUUACGAAUUGACAUUAUAGCUGUGGAAAUUUGGAGGUGUAAUAACCGGAAAAGUAAAAAUCUUAAGAGACUUUUUAAAUAAAAAAGAUACAACACCUUCAAUUUGCUAAAAGUAAUGGUAUCAUUUCUUGUACGGAUAAUGGAUGAUUAGAUUUUGUUUUUUGUUAUCCGACGAAGGAUAUUCAGUUGUUCUUUAUGUGUUCACAGGCAAGAGCAUGAGCAUAUUCAUGGUUUCAUAUAUGCUUCUUGCAUUUUCUAAUUAAGUACUCUCUUUCCUUGCCUUCUUAGUUUUGAAAGAAAGAUGUGAAGCAAAGCAAACCCAGUGAAAUAUACAGAGAAACAGAACCAUCAGAGGAAAAACUAAAUAACAGAACCACAAUUGAACCAAACAAAAUCAAAUAAACCGAGGCAACGGAUACCCUGAAUCAGGCAUCCCUUUUUCUCGAAAGAAAAUAUGUUUGCAUGGGUGGGAACCUAAUAAUUACUCAAGAGUUGGAGUUGGAAAGAUUUGGUAUUCAUAUCUUCACAAUUCAUAAGCUUUAAUGCAGAAUCGACAGCUUUAUAUUAAUUUAUUCAACCAAAAACGAUAAAGUAGGAAAACCACAAUAAUCCACCAACUUUUGCUACUUUUAGGAAUAAUUUUUAGUCAACUUUCAAAAAGUGAGAUGACGAUCUUUGAGUUGAUAAAUCUUGGCCUGCUGCUUAGUACCCUUCCAACAUAUAAAGUACUAGAUGUUUAGCUGAGAAAAUGACGAGAUCAUUUAUCAAAUUUCUUGCGCAUAUAUACAUAUAUAUACAAGAAAUAAGAAUCAGAGUGAUUAUAAGACCUUGCAAUGAGGCAAUAAUACAUCAUCAAAUCUAAAAAUACACAAGAAAUUCGUGACGUAUAUAUAACAAUAGACCUCUCAUUGAGUCAUACAUAUUGAGAAUAAAAUGUCAAAAUGCAUACAAAGAGCUUAUACAGAAAAUGAAUUUACACACAUUUAGAAUAAACUGUCUUUGAACUUCCGAUGGUCAAACAAAGGAAACAGACAGGAAAUGACACACACUAUCAUAUAUGUAGCGACACGAUGAAGUAAAUCACAUGAAGAUGGAAACGGAACCCCUCACAACAUAAAAUUUGAAUAAAGGGGGAAAAAAAGGCUUCAUUUCAAAUGUUGCACAGAAGAAGAGUGACUUGAAUCUCCAUCAAUAUCCAAACAUUCUGCAAACAUAGUGCUGAGAAUUUUAACAAGAAUAACUGUAAUAUCCCAAAUCUCCUAAGGGUAUUUAAGUCUUUUUAAUUUUUAGUGAUCCUUUUUACCCUAGUAUAAAUAGAACAAGAUGUCUUUUUCAUUAUAAGAGAGAGAGAAAAAGAGAGAUCGGUUGAAAAAGAGAGAUGGAGAGACAAGAGAGAAAAGAAAAGAAAAAAAGAGAAGAAGAAAGUCUUCUUCUUCUUCUUAGUUUUUGCCAUAGACAACACAUGGGAUCAAGUUGUUAUUGUUGGGAGAAGUUUUGGAGGUACGUUUUAAUUAUUGGUUUCUAUUAAAUUGUUGUGGAGAAGCAUGAUUGUAAUAGAAGUAGAAAUCAAAGAUUUUACAUAAAUAUGCUGACAGCGAAUUAUUACAGAAAUCAUAGUAAUUUGUACAAAUUGAUUUUGAUUCUGAUUUUUGGGUAUGUUAAACUAGACAUCGUCUAGAAUGUUUUGAAACUUGUUUCAAGUUAAUCGGAUAAGAUUUCAAUUAAUUAUGAUUUUUCAAAUUCAAGUCUGAAAACCUGGAAAUUUAUGAUUUCAGUGAAUAACGUGAAUUACGAAAUUAUUUUUACCAUAGUUAGACUUCUUCAAAAAUUAUGAAAUUUGGACCAAUGCUUUUUAUAUAUGUCUAGUAUGAUUCUGGAAAUUUUCAUGAUUUUAUGAUAAAGCAAUAAAUUGUUUUGUAUUUGUAAAGCAAGUGUGUUCAAAACAGAAAACUGUUUGACAGUAUUGAUGAUGUCUGAAACGUGAAUUAUUUUCAAUAGUUUUUGAAGGAAUUAUGUUAUGAAUUAUGCUAAUCUUCUCUGUAUCGUUCCAAUUUUAUUGGAUGGGAAUUGCUCUGAUACCAUUUGAAACACCCCAGUCCGAAAUCCAAGGGCAAAUAUGUCCACAACUCACAUAUGAUUUAAAUAACUCUUUACAACUGAUAAAAUUCGAGCCUCAAAUACAAAAGCCAGCGGAAUAACUUAAAAACUUAACCAAACCAUCUACUAUCCUCAAUUCAAAACCAUCUUCUCACUCAUCACGAAUCAAUCCUGACUUCUGAAAAUUGAAUCACAAUAAACUAUAAUGAGUACAAAACCCAGUAAGCAAACUAGUUUUUCUUAUACGGAAAAUACAUACAGACUUAUACAUAAUGCAAUGGUUGAUAUGUCAUGAUCUUUUGGAAAUACUGUAAAAUAAAUUCAUAAAAAUCUCUUUCUGUCGCUUUCAAACUUUCUUAUUUUCUUUCGAUGAAAUACGUAUCCUACAAUGUGGCACUUUGUGCUGUACGUGGCACUUUGCGGCGCCCUGGCCCUCAAGAGGUGGCCCCCGCAUAGUCCCAAGAGGUGACCCCCACACAACUUCAAGAGGUGGCCCCCAAUGCAAAAUCUCAUAAAACAUAAAUUCUGUUUGCUAAAAUCCACUUUCUCAUUCGUAGAAAACUCAAUGCAUUUUCGUGCUCAUGCCAAUGAACCAUCACACAUACAUAUGCCCAUGUACAUAAUCACGCUCAACACAUGCCAACACAUCACAUAAACACAUGGGCAAAGACAUCUAAAUCCAUAUCCGUAUAUAUAUCAAAAUAUGCUUUUCACACAAGUCAAACAUAUAUAUUGUUUAGUGUGAUUCGUUUUAAAGUCUAGUUUACUUACCUCUUGGCAUCCUCAUGUAACAAAUGCGUACUGAUACCAUUAACCUAAAAUCAUCAAUAACGCCUCAUAAGAUAUAAUCAAAUCUCAAUCACAAACUGUAAUGUCCUCAAAUAUCUCAAUUUAAACAACUCCUAAGCUCAACCUCAAAUGUCCUCAAUAAUCGGCCCUCAAAACAUAAAUCCUUUACAAAUACUCUUUAUCAGUUGUAAAGAGUUAUUUAAAUUAUAUGUGAGUUGUAGACAUAUUUGCCCUUGGAUUUCAGACUGGGGUGUUUCAAAUGGUAUCAGACCGAUUCCCAUCCGAUAAAAUUGGAACGAUACAGAGAAGAUUAGCAUAAUUCGUAACAUAAUUCCUUCAAAAACUAUUGAAAAUAAUUCACGUUUCAGACAUCAUCAAUACUGUCAAACAGUUUUCUGUUUUGAACACACUUGCUUUACAAAUACAAAACAAUUUAUUGCUUUAUCAUAAAAUCAUGAAAAUUUCCAGAAUCAUACUAGACAUAUAUAAAAAGCAUUGGUCCAAAUUUCAUAAUUUUUGAAGAAGUCUAACUAUGGUAAAAAUAAUUUCGUAAUUCACGUUAUUCACUGAAAUCAUAAAUUUCCAGGUUUUCAGACUUGAAUUUGAAAAAUCAUAAUUAAUUGAAAUCUUAUCCGAUUAACUUGAAACAAGUUUCAAAACAUUCUAGACGAUGUCUAGUUUAACAUACCCAAAAAUCAGAAUCAAAAUCAAUUUGUACAAAUUACUAUGAUUUCUGUAAUAAUUCGCUGUCAGCAUAUUUAUGUAAAAUCUUUGAUUUCUACUUCUAUUACAAUCAUGCUUCUCCACAACAAUUUAAUAGAAACCAAUAAUUAAAACGUACCUCCAAAACUUCUCCCAACAAUAACAACUUGAUCCCAUGUGUUGUCUAUGGCAAAAACUAAGAAGAAGAAGAAGACUUUCUUCUUCUCUUUUUUUCUUUUCUUUUCUCUCUUGUCUCUCCAUCUCUCUUUUUCAACCGAUCUCUCUUUUUCUCUCUCUCUUAUAAUGAAAAAGACAUCUUGUUCUAUUUAUACUAGGGUAAAAAGGAUCACUAAAAAUUAAAAAGACUUAAAUACCCUUAGGAGAUUUGGGAUAUUACAAUAACAGACAAAAUAUUGUGCUUAUAUACUUUUCACAAAACUAGACCAAAUCAGUUCCCUUUUUGGUUUGUGAAAACUUGAUAUUUUUGAAAAUUCUAUCCAAUGCUUUCAAACAAUAUUUCCACAAUAUAGUUGUUCAUAGCUAACCUUUGAUGGUGUAAGGAUUUGUUGUAGGCAUAAUGGGCUAAUUAUAUAUAUAUAUAUAUAUAUUUUACCCGCUGAAUGAUAUUCAGCUUCUUAAUUAUGUGUUCAUAGGCAAGAGCAUUUUCUUAAGUACUUUCGUUGCCUUCCAAGUUUCCAAAGAACAAACAGAGCAGAAACAAAUAUAACGGAACAGCAAUGAUGACAAUAAAUGAUUGGCAAAGAAAGAAAGAAAAAAGUUCGCAUGAUUUCAAGGAAUUAUAAUAUCUGAAGACAUUCAACAUGCAAGUGUUGCCCCUUUUAAUGAAAUUUCAUCAUAAAAUGCUUGCAAGGAAUUAUAAAAUUUUAGAGAACAAGCGAAUUCUCAAACAAAAUACUCAAAUUAAAUUAAAUUAGACCAAAAGACAAUCAAUGACGCAAAAUCUUCCCAUAAAAGCCUGAACGAAUCAUGAAAAGUGCAUUCCAUAUUGACAGUAAACCAAGUGACCCAUUCUAAACAAUUGAGAUGAAAUUGUGAAACAACCCACGAGAUCAAAUAAAUAAAAUAAGAAUUAAUUACCAGCUGGGACUUUCUUCUUCAAAUUCGUAACUCCAAGUCAUAAGAAGCCUAUGAAAUUAGUCGUAAUCCACAGAGUAUGACGACGACCCCGCCAACAGCUGAAAAUAAAAUUCUUAUUCAUUAAUUUAAACUAACUUUAUAACAAAUAUCUUAUCGAUAUUUUAUUUAAAAAGAAAAAGCAAAUUUUGUAAAAUUUUUCCAUGGGAGAUAGAGAGUAACAUGUAUAUCCGUACCUUCUCAGCAUGUAAUUGUUGUAUGGUCCUGUUAAGAUCAUUAUUAGCCCAGCGCCGUUGAAAACCCGCUGUCUCUCCAUACCAGACAUUUACUCUAGGAGGCGUGCUUGAUUCUCCUGUAGUGAAAAUCUUCAAUUUGGGACAACCAAUCACCCACAACGCUUGCAAAGAUGGGAAUUUGAAGGUGUAAUUGGCAGAGGAAAAACUUGUGAGGCUAUCUAAAUCACUCAGUUCCAACGUCUUCAAUUUGCGGAAAACAAUCUCUUUACUGCUCUGCCCCCACAUAAUAAAGUAGCAUUAGAGUACUAGACAAGCUCACCACGUCUAAGCUAAGCGGAGAAUAGACUUCAUCAACAACGCUUUCGUGAAUAUGUGUUGCAUUACAACGCUCCAAUGUGAUCCUCAUCCAAUACCCAUUAUUUGUGAUCCUUAUUCCACUGCGUCAAUUACACUCCAGUCCAAUGCUGCCAUCAUUAUCGAACAGUCGAUAUCCAACACUUGCACGAAGAUUCCAAGAGGUUGCCUGGCUGCUGACUUUUAAAUGCUAAGCCUUAUUGUGUCCAUGAUACACCAAACAGAGCAGUCCCGGGUAAUUGCCAAAACUUAGAACUAAACAGUAGCUCAGGUCAGAAAAUCAAAUGGAGUGAUGAUAAGAAGCUGAGGCACACCAAUCGAUUGCCUAAGCCUAACAGCAGAUUGGAGGAAUAUGCAUGGACACAUGCGGCUCGACGUCCACGCCAUGCAACACGUGCAUGAGUAGUGUAAGGCACGUGAGAAUUGAUUUGCUAUUAAUUGGGAGCUGAAUAAUUGAUGAUUUGGAGCUGACCUUUUCAAAAGUUGUUGCUGAUUUGGAAAGGAUCUCACGCAUGAGUUGUUCUUUUCUUUGAUUUGAUAUUUAUUCCAAAAUAAUAAAAGUUGUUUAAAUCAAUAUUAACAACUCGAUCUUGUAAGCUUUGAUUAAGCCUAACUACACGCUACAAAGCAUAAUAAUUAGUUUUGCAUUACAACUAUAAAUAAGCUCCAUCAGUGAAUAAAAUCAUCAUCAGACUUUUAUCCAAACACUACUAGCAAUUGUGGUAGUUCUCACUCUAAGAAGAACAAAUUAUUCACUUGUUAUUUCUACUAAUUCUGACUGGGACCUAUCAAGAUGAAACCAUAAAAUUUGAUUUUAUUGUAUGGUUGAUUUCAUAUCUCUUGCAGUCAUUUCUUAAGAUAAUCAAAUUUUCUCUGGCAUCUUUUGCAACUGUAGAAAUAUCAAUUAUGAUCAAUCAAAACGAUUUCAAAACCUUUCAAUGAGACAUAUUUAUAAUACAAUAUUGUGAAAAUUACACCAAAAUUUUUAUUUAUUAUAUAUUAUUAUCCAACGAGUACACACAAAUGAAUUCGUACAAAUCUAAAAUACUUAGCAAUUUUCAAAUAGAAUUUACCAUGUACUACAAGAAAAUAUGGUAUAUGUGACCCCUAAUGUGAAUGGAAAAGCAGCCAUUACGUAUAUCACUAACUUUGUAACCCCGAUACCUUUUAUGUGACGGCCACACUGCGGUCGCAUAUGUUACUAACCACGUGACGGUAAAGAGCCGUUCGGUAUGCUACUAUUCGCUGGACUCCGUGUUACUAGCCACCAUCGUAUAAUUUAAUCUCCCUUCAUCUUUUGAGUUAAGCUUGUGAUUAUGAGUUUCUUCUGUUACUUAGCUUGUAAUUAUAGAUUUUGAUUUUUUUUUAAUUCGUAUUGUAGCCGUUAUUGUCAAUUUUUGUCCCGCCAGCAAUUUUUUUUUAUUCCUACAAGUUGAAGCCCCUGUGUUCUUGUUCCAUUGGUGAGUUUGCUCACUCAAAUUAAUUUUGUUCUGCGGAAUUUACAAAGUUCAAAUGGAUUCAUUUGAAUUACUAUUGAAUUUAGCUUUAAUUCCAACAUCCAUUCUAAUGUUUUGCUAUUAGAUUUAGUUUAAUUUUAUGUUUAAAGCAUCUACAAUGAAUAGCGGAGCUUGGGUUUUAGUUUCAUUUUCUGGAUAACUUGUUUUAGUUUAUCUUGUAUGCUCACCAAGUGCUUGUUAUAUUGUCUGAUAAGUUAUAUACAUUGCUGAUUCUAUAUUAAUAAUGUUACGUUCUAUUUUCAGAAAUUAUAAUACAAAAGGUUUUACAAUGGCGUGCAUCUACAAACUGAAUUGACUUGUAGAAUAAGAGCUUGGAGUAAAUGAAAGUUCAUAUUGUGUAAGAGCAUGUAGAUGUAAAGCAUCAUUACCAUAUCUACAAAGUGCUUUCAUUAUGUUCAGAUGCUCUUCUUGAACUUUGAAAGGUGCCUCGUUCAAGUCCUAGCUAUAACUACUAGCUUUGAUUAAUUAAGUUCCUAUAUUAGCUGAAACAGAUUUAUUUAAUUAAUUAAUUAUGUACUAAUUAUAUUGAAAGUAUAUGAUUUUUUUUUUAACAUGAAUGACUUCUAAAUGACUUAAAAACCUAAAGGAUGUGUGAAAUAAUGCUCAUUUCACUUGAAUGAGCCUAUUAAUACUUUUAUGUCUAUGAGAAAAAAAUUUAAUAGAAAACUUCAGAGAUGUUUCCAGAUAUUAUCUAGAAUCACAAGAAUCUUAUUCUCACUCUUCAAUCGUUCAUACAGCUUGCUAGCUCUUCUAUAUUCAGCUUCAUCGGACAACUCCAGACCUAACUUCUCUGCAAUUUCCCCUUGAAUCUUUUUUAUCUCUGGAGUUUAUGAAACCUCUGUAAAACCACCCGAUAAAACAGCUUCUUUUCCCUGGCUUGCCUAGCAAACUCCUUCACCAGUGUGGUCUUUCCAAUGCCGCCUAUGCCGUACACCCCAAUAAUGCUGACAUUCGCCUCCGUCAAUGCAUUUUUUAUAGUAACCAUUGCUAGACUUAAGCCAUAUCUCCUCCGGAAUGGUACGGUGGGAAACAGUAUCAAACUUCUUAACUUCUUCUCCAAGUUCAAUAAUGGCCUUCACCUCCGUCUCUGCUUUCUUGCUAAGCUGAUAGCGACUCUUCCAAUUAGGACUCAAGCCCUUGACACAGCGCUUAUUCGUUGACUCCUCAUCUUCAAUGAAUUUGGCUGCCCGGUCAAUGAUGCCGUUCGCACUUGGCAGUAACCAGCCACUUUUCAACCUUCUCUUCAAUCUCUUCCCCUUUUUCUUUCGCCUCUGAAACCCUGCGCUGAAUGCUCGUAUGUUAAACCUUCAACUUCUCCAUUUCCGCCUUGAUAUUCUCAAAGUUGGCAUUGUAGUUCCGCUUUCGCAAAUAAACAAGUUGGCGUGCAGUUGGAGGAGCCAAGCAUUUUACAAGUUCCAAGACGAUAGUCACAAUGAUUUCCAGCAUCUCGAAUCCUGACAAAAACGUAGAAGCGAAGAAGGCCAAAGGAAAGUAAAAACAAAGAGACAGCGAUAGGACAAGCAAUUGUGUUUUUCAGAUGAGAUGAAGGAAACAAGAAAAGGGUUUCUAUCACGACGUAAAGAGCUAAAAGAGCUGAUGGGUACAGAAUAAGAAAUGAGACUGAGGAGUGAGCAAAGCUAAAUAAUAACAGAACAAGAACAAUGACGAAUAGAAGAAACAGUAGCAAAGAGCCGUUUAGAUGAUUAGAAUGAAAUUAAGCGACUGGAAAGAGUGGAUGGUAGACUAAAGAGAAAGUGAUUGAUUAUUUUUGGAGGCCUAUUAACGUAAUGACAGACCCGGUUUCGAUGUUUGUAAUUUGAGUAUGAGGUAAAUCGAUUCUUUGUCGAGCCAGUCAAAUACAAAGGCAAAUUAGUAAAACAAGAGCCAGCAACUUUUACUCACACAUAAGCCAAUAAUAUAUUGAGAUCACGCAACAUUGCAAUAAAGUUAUCAUCAAGUUGUAGCCUUCUUAUUCAAUCAAUUAUAGCAUUUUCUCUAGCUCUGUAUUUUUCAAAAAAAAAAAAUUAUUCAAAAGAUGUCUGUCAUGAAUUUUUCAAUGAUUAAAAUUAUAAUUUUUGUUUAAUAUAUAUAACGUAAAAUUUUAAAAGAAUCAGACAUGCAUUAGGGUAAAAAUAAAAAAUAUGGAGGUAGCUUUUAACUAGGUAAUUGGCUCAACUAUGGAUUAGUGUGAGAUCGCUAUUUUUCUUAUAAAAAAAUAUUCCAGCCAAAACAAUUUUCGCAAAAUUUUAAUAUAAAUUAUAAAAAAAAAAAUUCUAAAAUCAUAGCAAUAAUUUAUAUUUUGAAUACCUGUAAAUAAACCACUUAGAAAGCUGUCGAAACACGAGAACCUAUUGCAGUAUUGCUAGUAAAAUCAUUUUUCAAGCAAAUGCAGUGACAGAUCUGGUUUUGAUCCUCGUGACUUUUGGGUGUAAGUACGGGUGAACGACUGUCUAGUCCAGAACAACUUGGGCGCGACAUUUUAGUAUUAAGCAAACGGAACUUUUUUUAAUUAAAUUAAUCUCAAAGUGAUAGGCUUCUCAUGAAUCAUGUAAUGUUGUCGUUUUUCAAGACAUGACAAUGCACAUCACUUGUUUGUCACAAUGUCCAAAUAAAUAAUUUUUUUUUUUAAAAAAAGUUAUUUUCAUUCUUUCUUUUCAAGUAUCCUAAUUCCUUUAGCAGUUUGAUUCCUCUUUUCCUGAAAUUUGUUCCUUCCAUUAAACUAAUAAUUUAUUUAAGGGUAAUUAAGCGUCAGCCCCCAAUUGUUUAGUAUUUCAUACAGCACACCCACAUCUUUCGACCAUGCGCACCUCUUCCCUAUUUCUGUCAAAAAAUCAACUAUCAACUAAUUGUAACUAUUUAGACUGUUAUAAAUUUAAAAGACUAUACUACCCUUGUUUUGAAUGAAUUGGGUAUAUAAGCACUAAAAUAUCCUUACAACUUGUAAAAUUUAUAUCAAAAAGCAAAAAUUUAUUAUAAUAUUUUUAAAAUUAUAUGGAGACGAUUUUUUUUUCUGGAUUACGAACCCAAGAUUAUAAACCUAGUAAAUUACAAAAUCAGAGGCAAAACAUGAUUCCAAUGUGAAAGAAGAAAAUCAAACACACAUUCAUCAAUACAUUACAAAAUAAGUCCAAUAAUCCCACCAAAACAAAUAAAACCCAAUAAGAAAGAAACCCGAAACUAAUGAUACCAAAAUCCCUGACAACAAAUUUCAUUGUAAAAUUCUAUUACAAAAUAAAUUCAUACUAAGAAAAUUCAAUAAAAAGAAACCCAAUAAUCAACAAUCCUAAAACUAAAGAUAUCAAACCCUAAAUUAAAUUAUAGAGGCGGCGAAGGAAAAAGGGUUUUUUUUAAUUAUAUAUAUUAUUUUAAUCUUGUAUUAAUUACCAUUCUACCCUUCUUUCUGUUAACGUUAGAUUUGAAAGAAAUGGGGGUGGUGGACAUGGUCAGAAGAUUGGGGGCACAAUGCAAAAUGUCGAAACAAUUGGGGCUAACGCUAAAUUACACAUUAUUUAAAUUAAAUUAUCCUAGUUGUAUUUGACUGUGACUGUGACCGGAACCGUUACAAUCACUUAGUAUUUUUAUUAAUUAAUUAACAAUUUGUUUCAUCAUUAGACGGUACUAUGAUAGUUUUGUCACUAUGUUUGUUACCAUCUCUUAAAUCGUGUAACAAAGAUUUCAUGAAAAAUUAGAAAACAGCACGACAUGAUACAAACUUUUUUUUAAUACAUGUAGACCUUAUUUUUUUAAAAUGAACAUACAAACUCUUUUUUAAUACAUGUAGACCUUUUUUUGUAUUUAAAAAUAGUUACACAGAUCCUGAAUUUGUGUGUCCCUCAAUAAAUUUUCAUGAUCAUUUUUUAAAAUAAGGGAUUUUUGUGAUUAUUUUGCCACGUCCAAGGAUGCCGCUAUUCUUGUCACCAAAAAUUAUUCUCAUUAAGAGUCAUGAUUAAUUGGACGUCAGCAAUGAGGGCAUGUAAUGAAAAAAUUUUGUUUUGCAUGGGAUCCAAUAAUUUUAAUUACCAUGGUGGUGACAGACCCAGCUGGAAAAUCAACUGAUUUUAGAAUUCUGUUGAAAAUUCUUUAAAUGAUCACUAUAUCUCUAGUUCGAUUAUAUCCUUAAGCUCAUUGAUUCUUUUGUAUUGAUUUUGUUACUUCUUUUCUAAGUACUUAUAUUUAAGCAUUGAAAUAGGAUUGAAUAGACAAAGACGAUAACUUGAGCUGAAAAUUUUUCAAGUAUGGCGGAGGGGAAAGUGAGAGAGCCGCUAUUGAAGAAGAAAUAUUAUAAGAACUGCUCAGGCUGUAAGGUUGAUAAGCUUAAAGAGUCGGAACGAGGCUUACCAAUUCGUAAGCUUUUAAUUAUUUAAAUGUUUUAUUUAAAUAUAACUAGCAAUUAUUUAAUUAAGGGUAAAAUAUGUAUAUAUUAUAUGCUCAUCAAAUACCCCCAAACUUAGAUUUUGCUAGUCCUCGAGCAAAACUAAAACUUAAAACAAAAAUAAAAAUAACAAAACAAAAAGUAAAUCCUAACUAAACCACUUUCGCAGGUAAUCACGAUUGCAUUUAGCAUAUGCAACAAGCCUUUAAACCCCUAGGCGGCCCUAGUGGACGAGUUAUAGUCUCGUGAGGGCUUCAGUGAUGAUACCCACAAACAUCAUUUUUAAAAAAUAAAAUAAAGAGAACAAAAAAUUUUUAAAUAAAACAUGAAAAUAGCCUCAAAGAUUGCAUAAAUUAUAUAACUCAAAGAAAAUUUCAAAUAUUGGCAAAGUUCUAACUUUAAUUCAAUAAUCAAUCCCAUCUCUCUUUCGAUUCUUGUAGUGUGUGUGUGAAAUCAAUUCAAUCAAAUCCAUUCGCAAAAUCUUCAAUAUCAACAGCCUUCGCCUCAAACAAAGAAAAGAGUAGGUCAAACUAAUCUUAUCAUCUUAAUCUCCAUUUUUUUUUUCACAUGCUUUUAUGUGCAUUUUCUUUUGAUUUUUUUUUUGUUCAGCACAUGCACUUGGUUUUUUUCUUCUUUUUUUCUCAACCAUAGUCAGGAGCUUUCACUCUACCCCUUAAGGUAACCUUCUUCUCAUGGUAGAUUAUCCUCUACAUACUGGUGGUACAUAGGCCUAAAUUACUCAAGGAUAGCUUCACUCUUAAGGGUUAUAGGUAGCUAUUUCUGACUUUAGCGCCCGUGUAUACUAUUUUGUAUUGUGGAGAUAAGAAUCAAGACAAACAGUCAUUUACUCUAUCUAAAAUUCUCAACUCAGGCUGCGUCAAUCUCAAAUUUCAAGUCAAAAUUAUGAAAGAAUUGAUAUUAGUGCUCAUGGUUUAAAGAAUCUCAAUCAAGAGGAACUAACACAAGAAUCAAGUAUAAACUAAGACAAUAUUCAACCCUUUCUAAGAACCAUAUUCAUUGUCAAUCAAAUUCUUAUCAUUGGCUUUUCACAUAAAAACAAAUAACAAUACAAUUUUUUUAACAAACAAAACACACACUAUUCCCACCCCCAAACUUAUUUGGAACAUUGCCUCAACGUGUCACAAACAAAAGAUAUGCAUGCAAACAAAUGAGAAAAAAAAAAUAGUAAAAUUAAAAUAAAAUAAAAUAAAAACAUAAAUAAUAAAAAAGAAAGUUGGAGAGAACACACCUGGAUGGGCUAGGAAAGCUUAAAAGAAAAUGCCAAAUGAAAGAAGACGUUAGAAGAAAUAUAAAUAAUAAAAUAAAAAAACAAAAUAAAAAAAAUCCUACUAACUAACAAAUUAAUGUAAACAACAAAUCAACCAGGAUCAAUAAGAAUUUGGUGAAAAUCAAAGCAAUUAUACAGAAAAUACCAGAAAGCAUAAUUGAUUAAACACUGGAGCAUUUUAUCCAUAAAAGGAUGAUGGUAAUGAAACUCCUCAAUAUCGCACUGCUUUGAUCUCUUAUGUUCCAAGAUUUCCUGAGAGUUAUCUGAAGUAGUAUAAAAAUCUAAUAAUUUAAGCACUUUAGAUCUUACCACCUUUUUCAUGUCAAAAUGUGACCUAUGUUGCACUGCUUUAGGACGUAGCUCCAAUUUGAAUGGUUCAAUUUUCUCUUCAGGAGGAAGUGGCUCAAUCUUUUCUGUCCACUUAAUUAGAUCUAUGAUAAGAGUCGAAUCAAGUAAAGCAUUAACUUCUUCAAUACCACUAUCAACAUCAACAGAGAAAUCAGAGUCAGUUGUGCAUGGUAUUAAUAGAUUGUCACAGUGGUUAGAAAUAAGUGAAUCAUCAAUUGAUGCUUCUAUCAUAUCUACUUCAACGACUUCAUCAUCUUCUUGCGCCUGCUUGGGAACAUUAAAAAUGUUUAAUUCCGUGGUCAUGUUACCAAAAGACAAUUGCAUGUUUCCAGUCCUGCAACUAAUAUGAGCAUCAGUUGUAGCUAAGAAAGGACGACCUAGAAUAACUGGGGUGUGUUUCUUACGAUCCUGUACAUGCUGAGUAUCAAUAACAAUAAAAUCAACAGGAUAAUAAAAUUUAUCAAUCUGUAUCAACACAUCCUCUAUAAUACCACGAGGUAUUUUCAUUGACCUAUCCGCAAGUUGCAAAAUAAUAGAAGUUGGGUUUAACUCACCUAAUCCAAGUUGCAUGUAAACAGAAUAAGGCAAGAGAUUAAUACUAGCACCCAAAUCCAAUAAUACUUUAUCAAAACAUUGGUUCCCUAUAACACAUGAGAUAGUAGGAGAACCAGGAUCCUUAAAUUUUGGUGGCAUUGUACAUUGAAGUAAAUUGCUAGUUUGUUCAGUUAAAAAUGCCUUUUUAGUAACAUGCAAAUUUAUAUUUUUAGUGCAUAAGUCUUUCAAAAACUUGGCAUAUGAAGGAACUUGCUUAAUAGUAUCGAGUAAAGGGAUGUUUAUACUUACCUGCUUGAAAAUUUCCAUAAUCUCACAUGUUGAAGUCCCUUUCUUUACCUUUGCUAACCUUUGAGGAAAAGGAGCCUUGGGAAUGUAAGCUGGCGGGCCACUCUCUUCUGGAUCAUUUGGUGAUGAGUCUUGUGAUGGAAUUGGAUCUGAAGAAGUAGGCUCAUAUGUCUUUCUUGUUUGAACCUCUACUUUGUUGUCAAACAAUUUUCCUCUUCUUAAGGUCAUAAUAGAUUUUGCUUCUUCAUGCUGAUGACUUGAACUCGAUCCAACUUCAUGCACUCCUUUGGGAUUGGGAAUUGGUUGACUUGGGAAUUUUCCUUUUUCUCUCUCAGCUACAAUAGUUGCUAAUUGACCCAAUUGAUGUUCAAGUUUUAGAAUAGCUUGAGUGUUUAACUGAAAAGCUUGUUGGGUUGACUGAAUGAAACUUUGAAAUGUAUCCUCUAAAGAAGGUUUUCUUUGUUGGGGUGCAACAAAUUGAGACAUAGGCUGUUGGGUAGGAGGAUAUACUUGGUUAGGAGGGACAAAUUGUUGAUUGGGCAAGCUAAAUUGUUGUCCUCCUUGGUUGGACAAAGGUUGAUUUUGUUUCCAAGAAAAAUUAGGGUGAUUCCUCCAAUUAGGAUUAUAUGUGGAUGAAUAUGGAUUAUUGGAGGUUUUCUCAUAUGAUUGUAAGGCAUGUACCUCAUUAGCUACACUAGGAUGAUGAUUCAUGGAUUGGUUCAGAGCUAAGGCAUCUACUUUCCUAGAAAGUGUAGCUAGAGUGGAUUUCACAUCAAAAUCAUCCUUAACUUUAUAUAACCCCUUUCUAGAAACUUGAGAUGAUUUUUCCCUUUGAUUUGAAAAAUUCCACUGUUGAGAAUUUUCAGAAAGUGAAUUAAAGAAAUCCCAUGCAGCCCCUUCAUGUAGGUUAAAAAAUCUCCCACCAUUCAUAGACUCUACCAUAUGACGAUUCGACAUGGUUAAACCGUUAUAAAAGCAUUGUAUAAGUCUCAAUUUCUCAAAACCAUGGUGGGGGCACUUAAGGAGUAAAUCAUUAAAUCUUUCUCAACACUCAUAAAAUUGCUCACCCUCUCUUUGAUAAAAAUCACUUAUUUCUCUCCUAAGGGCAUUUGUUUUAGACAUAGGGAAAAACUUGGUAAGGAACUUAUUACUCAAUUCAUCCCACGUAGUUAUAGACCAAGCAGGAAGCGAAUUCAACCAAGCUUUCGCUUUGUCUUUUAAUGAGAAAGGGAACAUACGAAGCCUAAUUGACUCAUCAUUAAAAUCUUGAAAACGGAAUGUAGAGCAUAUGUCAAGAAAUUCCUUAAUGUGCAAAUAUGGAUCCUCUCUCUCUAACCCAUGGAAAGAUGGUAAAAGUUGAAUGACUGAGGGCUUAAGUUCAAAGUGUGUUGCUGUAGUUUGUGGCAACACAAUACAAGAUGGUUGGUUGGUUGCAAGUGGUGAAAAGUAUUCUCUAAGGGUUUUCUCUGCUUGCACUGGUGGUAGUAUUGGCAAUAAUCUAUUUGGGUCAUCCAUGACUUGAGAAGAACUAGCUUGACUACUAUCAAUUUUCGACUCUCUUUUAACCAAACGAUUUGUUGAAUCACGUUCCCAAACACUCAUAAACUAACUAGACAAGGAAAUAAAAAAAAAAAAAUAGACCAAAAAAUGAGAAUAAACGAAAUUUAAAAAUAAAAGAAAUCAAACAACCAAACAAUGAAUUUAAAGACAAAUAAUUUUUUUUUGUGUUUUUUUUAAUUAAAAAAUAAAAGACAACCUAAAUUAUAACUAGUGGAAGAAUCAAAUCAACCUAGAUUAAACUGACUUUCUAGCACAAUCCUCGGCAACGGCGCCAAAAACUUGUUGUGAAAAUUUUAAUAUACUCGCAAGCGCACGAAUCUAGAAAUUGAAUAGUGGUAACGAGGUCGAUCCCACAGGGAUUGUUAUAAAUUGAAAAGUCUAAUUUAAAUCUAAAAUUAAUAUUAAUUCUAACCUAGUUGAGCAAAUUGAGUUUUAAGAGAAAUUAAACUAAUUAAACUAAGAAAACAAUUAAAGUAAAGGAGAAUUCAAUAGGAUAGAAAUUACCAAGGUUUCAGAAUCCACCACUAUUCAACUAGUAAUUAUCUAAAUAUUCGUUAAUCCCCAAUUUUAGAGUGACAACUCGAAAUCAAUCUGUCAUCUCAUGGAUAUAACAAUUAAGCCCAAAUAAUUAAAUCUAAUAUAGGUUCUUUUUCCGCUUAAUAGUAUGACAUCUAAGUAUCCCAUGUGAACAUAUUGAAUAACAAAGAGUCAAAGUUUUCCUAAACACUCUAUGUAAACAAUUUAAUGAAAGACAUAGAAUCAAAGAUAAUCAUGUAUGAACUUUAUAAAUCCAAGCAUAGAUUUAAUCGAAUAUUAAUCCUAACAAUCAAUAAUACAUGACAUAAUUGAUGAAAAGAUUUUAAUAACAUCAAAUUAAUCAUGUGAAAUAAAAACCAUAAUCAUUAAAGAAUAUAUAUGGGAAUUAAAUAAAUAAAAAGAUAAUUAUUUUAUUGAAUAGGGUUUCAUCCUUAACCUCAAUAUAAGAAAAUUAGCUGGACAUACUUGAAUUAAGAGUAACAAAAGAGAUAAAACCAGCCAUGAAAGUCGAACUACUGCAGAUUUUCUUCUCUUUGUCUCGUGUUUCCCUCCUCUGGCGGCUCUCCCCUUGCAAAAGCCAAAGUUCGGCUUUUAUAUUGUAACACCCUCCAAAAUCCUCAAAUCAAAAGGAUUUAAAACAAGCCAAGCACAACCGACUUUGAGCCCAUGCACGUGAAGCCCACUUGGAAUUUUCAUUCUUUUUGUAAUGCCAUGCAAUUGCUUCUCACGUGCAGGCCACUUUAGCUUUAAAUUUCUUCUUUGUUUGCACUAGCAUGGAGAAUUCAAUUUAUUGGCCUCGGCUUCUUCGGAUUGAAUUUCAUACAUAUUUACUUAACUGCUUCCACAAAUUGACUUGAUCUUCAAUGUUGUCCAGUUGUUAUUCUUUAUGCACUUUUCAUCCAUAAUCUCUAAUUAAUUCCCUAUUCAAUAAAACAAUUCAACUAAUUAAAAAUAACAAAUAAAUAUAACUAGCAAUUAUUUAAUUAAGGGUAAAAUAUGCAUAUAUUAUAUGCUCAUCAGCUUGCAACUAGUAAAUUUUUCAACUUCAACUCGAUAUAAUGAUUUUGGAGAGAACCAUUUACAAUGAUUUUCAAUUCUUUUGUGAUUUUUUUUUUCCGUUUUGCCGGUCGCAUCUUUCUUUCCCUUCCUUUAUUUUAUGGUGAGUGGAUUAUUAUUGCCUUCAGCGUUGUGGUUAUUAGUGAGAAAAUUUAUAUUUUCCCAUCAUGCUUGGUGAUUUUCUGAGAAAUAUAAGAAAAAGACAAGUUUUAUAUGUCAAAUAAUUCAUUGCUUUUUCACAGCAGUCAUUUAUGAUUUCUUUUCAGAUUAGGGAUUUUCACAUUGCAAAAAAGGAGGAAGAUAUUGGAUUCUAUGCUGGUUACGUGGGUGAGUUAUUCUAUGUUUUUUUUUAACGUAUUUAAUAAAUGACACACAGUAUGGAGUCCGUCUUGGGUACGAAUGUCCACACCUUAUAAAGUGCUGACUCACGCCUUUACAACUCUGGGAGGACAUUCUACCGAGACUUUACAUCACUGUAAACGCACUGUACAAGAGCUUUACAAUGCGGACCCGCGUCUUUACAACUUUAAAGGGCCAAGUCCAUGCUUUAAAAAGUACAUAUGUUCGCACCUGGAAACGAUUUACAUAUGUAUGUAUAUAUGUAUAUAUGUGUGUAUGUGUGUAUAUAUAUGUAUGUAUGUAUGUGUGUGUGUGUGUGUAUGUAUGUACGACCAAUAAAACAGUUCAAAUUCCUCAAGAAGUUAUCCUAACAAACAUCUUAAUACCUUGAUGAAAUUGAAGGGUCUUCAUACAUGCUUGGCAGAGCUCUAACAUCUGUUUUGUGGGGAAUGGUGGCUGACCACCGUGGUCGAAAGCCUGUAAUAAUAAUAGGAAGCAUCACAGUGUUAGUGACUUCUAUUUUCAUAUGAUCAAGCUUGAAAUUGAUGAUACUUCGGCAAUUUCUGGAUUUCUUGUCUGUCUUAAAAUGCUCACAGGGUUAUUUUUAACACUCUUUUUGGGCUUAGUGUGAAUUUCUGGAUGGCCAUAGCUACAAGGUUUCUCCUUGGGGCUUUGAAUGGUUUCCUUGGACCAAUAAAGGUAUUGAUUGGGGGUAUUUGUUGAUAAUUCCAAUUUAAUUCCUGCAAAUAAUUGUGCUCAAACUUCUCUUACACCACGAGGCAUAUGCAUGUGAAAUAUUGUGCGAUCAGCACCAAACUUAUUACGAAACUAAAAAUGUUACUUGUUUUCUGUACUUGCUUUCGCAUGCAUCACCCCCACAAAACUGCUUGACGAUUGUCCUCAUUUUGAACUUACUAUAGGUUUCAGUCUCCUUGUUUUUCAACUUACUCUGUACCCUUAAGGAUUAUUGGGCCAAUAAUCAUAACACGAAUUGCAGGGGGUAAAAUUUUGAGCACCUCAUGCGGCAUUUGGACCAUUUGAUAGUUUGUUUGAAACAUAUCUGUUUAUAAAAUACUUUUCUUCAUGGUUUUGGUCCCAUAACUUUCUAUGUAUGUACAGGUUUUAUCGAUACCGCUUUUGACAAGUUACACUUACAUAGCAAUGUUAUCGGGUUCAGCCUUGCCUUUUUGAUAAACUGUGCUUCUGUGAUGAAGAAUGUUUUAUCUGUAAGUGGAUAUCCUAAUCAUUGAUCCAUAUACUUAGGUUAUAUUAUCCACCAGCAAGUAUGUAUAAAUUAUUUUAUGUCUUAUUUAUUAGAAUUGUUGUAAUUCUUUUUUACUUUUCCUAAAUUGUAACAUCAGGUGUCUAUAAUAACUGGAUUGUUCCUUCUGCAAAACAGAGCAGUGGUAAAUAUAUUUUCUUUUGUUUGUUUAGUACAUUUCCAUGCUUUCAGCUUUUUCAAAUUUUGUAUGUGCCAAAGUUUAAAUUAAUUGGUUGGUUUAUGGUAUAAUAACAGGUACGAUAAUUUACUAAUGAAAUUUCUCACUAGUUUGUGAAUUACUUGGUGCUAAUCAGCUUAGUUAGCUGCUUAAACUAAAGUGCAGGUAACCAGGUGAUUUUUUUCAUCCUGAAUUCGGUGGAGGCACUUGGAGUAAUAUUGACAUUCAAACCGUUUCUAACUCAACGUGCCCCGUGAGUGGAGAAAAGAUGCGUCUGUUGAAAUAUUCAAAUAUAUGUCAAGCAAAUUAAAGCUUUCAAAAUCUUUCAACAAUUUGAUUGUUUGAUGUGGUUGCCACUUGCCAUAUUUUGUGUUACUUUUCUAAAGGCUUAAAUAUGAAAAUGGUUGUUGGUGCUCACGCCAAUUGAUUGCUGGUAACAUUAAUUGUGCAGUACUUGUCAGAACUACCACAAUUUAUCUUCACAAUGAUGCUAGCUAGAAAGAAAAUUUCAUGUUAAGUAAAAUAUUGAAGCCAUAAAGAGUCUUAUUCCAGAGCCUUAUUAAGUACUGAGUUUUCUGCCAUGCUUUCAAAGUUACAAAUUCGAAGCUUGGGAUUCUGUAACAAUGGAGGAUAAAAAUUAUAUAAGAAUAUUAUUUUGUACAAUUUUCAUACCCAGACAGAAGCGAGCAUUAUUUUUUGAUCAUAACUCAGAUCAAAAGACCUUCAAUGAUGUAUAAUAUGCACAAAAAGCUAGCUCAGAACCAGACAUUAGAACUUAUGAUGAAAGGGAAACAUAGAUGUUGAGAUUGAAAACAUAGAGAAAUUUUUUUAAAAAGUCUGAAAUUUUAUUACUAGAAGUUUGAAUAACAAAAUUAGGGUAUUGGACCCUUUUUAUACAAAUUCUAAAUAUUAUGUAUUUAUCAAAACAGGCAAACUUGAAAUAUUAUUACAUAAUAACGUUCUCCUAACUGAAAUAAGAAAAAUAAAAUAAAUCAUACUUGAAAUCUUAUAUUUAGAGAAAAACAUAUCGUACUAUGUCGAGAGAGAUGACGACUCCUCCAACAGCAGAAAAUAAAUUCUUUCAUUCAUUAAUUUAAAGUAAAUUUUGUAAAUUUAGGUACUUGCACAUUGAGAUUUGCAAUUUAAUUUGACAGGACUUUUCAUUGAAUAAUGAAAUUAAAAACUAACGAUUAAAGAAUUUUUUAUAAUUCUCUAAACUCUUGUGGAAAUGUCAGCUGUAAAUAGGACAAUUUCAAGAAUCUUUAUCUGAAAGCGUAAUUGGCAGAGCAGAAACUUGUGAGACUAUCUAAAUCACACAGACUCGAUGUCUUCAAUUUGCUGAAAACAAUCUCUUGUUUUGAAUUUAAAUUUGGUGCUCCAUCUUCUUCUCCGUCACCUAUUACCACCUCUGUCAUUGCCCUGCAUCCACCUACCUUCAUUGAUACGAGCCGCACUAGAGUUUCUGCUGUAGUGGACGGAUGUUACAAUUCCUUGCAAUGGAAAACCGACAGUUCUGUCAGAUUCCCAAAAGAUAUAGAUGAUCAUGGGAAUAGACUUAAAUGCUUGUAAAAUAGUCUUAGAAUGUCAAAAUAUUUAAAAUGGAGUCCAGUUUGGAGUUGCUUCAAUGAUUAAGUCUGGACAGGAUUAACCAUUUUAUCAGUGCCUACUUCCCCACUUGUUUCUACCAGUAUCCGGCUUGAUUUAAGAAUUUCUCUUUGUAUGAACUAUAACCCAGUAGGAGAUACUACCAAAAAAAACUUAUUUCAAAUGACGCACAGGAGAAGAGUUACCUGAAUCUUCAUCAGUAUCCAGACAUUCUACAAUCACAGAGUAAAGAGUUCUAACAGGAAAAACUGAGAAAACAACGUUCUUCUAUACUUCUCAUAAAACUAGACCAAAUUAGUCCCUUUCUUGGUAUCCAACAUUUUCAAACAAUAUUUCCACAAUAUAGUUUUUCAUAGCGAAGAGUUUUGCUUUGAUGGUCUAAGGAUUUGUUCUAGGCAUAAUGCUCUGAUUAGAUUUUGUUUAUUUUUAAUUUUUUAUCCGAUGAAUGAUUUUCAGCUGGUCUUAAUUAUGUGUUCAUAGGGAAGAGCAUUUGGAAAGAUCAUCAAAAAAAAAAAAAAAAAAGUUUCCAAACAAAGAUAGGUGUGAAGCAAACCAAACUAAAUGAACAAACUAAAAUAACAGAACAGCAAUGAUGUUUUCAAGGAAUUAUAAAAUAUGAAGACUUUUAAUGAAAUUUUAUCAUACAAAGUAUGCAAGGAAUUAUAAAAUUUUAGAAAACAAGGGGAACUCUCAAAAAAAGAAAAAAAAUACUCAAAUUAAACUAGACUAGAAGACAUUCAAUGAUGCAAAAUCUGUCCACAAAAGUCUGAACGAAUCAUUAAAAUUGCAUUCCAAAUUUAACAGUAAAGCCGAUUGACCCAUUCUAAAUAAUUCAGAUGAAAUUGCGAAACAAGCCACGAGAUCAAAUAAAUGAAAUAAAAAUUAAUUACCAGCUGAGGCUUUCUUCUAAAAAUUCACAACUCCCAAGUCAUAAGAAGCCUAUGAAAUUAGUACUGGGUAGAGAACGACGACGGCACCGCCAACAGCUGAAAAUAAAAUUCUUAUUCAUCAAUUUAAACUUUUACUUUAUAACAAAUAUCUUAUCUAUAUUUUAUUAAAAAAACAAAUUUUGUAAAAUGUUUCCAUGGGAGAUAGAGAGUACUGCGUAUAUCAGUACCUUCUCAGCAUGUAAUUGUUGUAUGGUUGUGUUUAGAUCAUUAUUAGCCCAACGCUGUUGAUUCGAUGUGUGUCCAUACUGGACGUUUACUCUCGGAGGCGUGAUUGAUUCUCCUGUAGUGAAAAUCUUCAUCUUGGGACAACCAAUCACUUCCAGAUAUUCCAAAGAUGGGAAUCUGAAGGUGUAAUUGGCAGAGCAGAAACUUGUGAGACUUUCUAAAUCACACAGAAUCAACGCCUUCAAUUUGCUGAAAACAAUCUCUUCUUUUUCAACUCCUUCUUUGUCAUUUAUUACCACCUCCGUCAUUGCUCUGCAUCCAUAUAUACUCACUUUGACGAGUUGCACUAGAGUUUUUGCUGUGGAGGAUGUUACCAAGUGUAUCAAUCCCUUGCAACCGAAAGCUACAAGUUUUGUUAGGUUCCGAAAAGAUACCGAUGAUGAUGGCAAUAGAAUUAACAGACUUUGACAAUGAUAUACUCCUAGAAUUUCAAGAUACUGAAAAAUGGGGCCAAGUUUGGAGUCUUGUUUGCACAGCUGCUUCAGAUGAUAGUGCCGGUGCAGCUCUAAUGUUUUUAUCAUUGCCAACUUCCCCACAUGUUUCUCUAAGCUUCCUUCCUCCGAAAAUACCUCUUCGUUGAAUGCCAAAAAAGACAGUACGAGUAUUUCGAGAUUGUGAAAUCUCUCCAGUACGUUCCAGAUUGGAAAACAAGCUGAGUCAUCUGCAGUAAUGUCUAGUUGUCUAAGAUUGCCAAAAAGGUGUUGUGGGAAAUCGGCCUGCAAAAUCAUCUUCACAUCUUUUCCACUUAGUGAUAGUUCCUUCAAGUUGGGUACGAUCUGAUCAUCAUCAAUCAUAAUAACUAAUGAGGUCAAUUGAUGUUCUUUCAAAUGAUUUUGAGUAAUCCAAUCACAAGCAGUGACUUUAUAGUAUUUAUUUUAUAUUAAUUUUACCCCUAAAAAAAAUGAAUUAUAUAAAAAAUGAAUUAGUGAUAAAAUUCAUUAUAUGAUUUUUUUAUAUGUUAGUUUUAGAGGUAAUAAAGAGAUUAGGGAAAAAAACGAAAUUAUUUUAUUGCACGAUAGUAAAUUACUAAUUUAUUUUGUAAGUUUUUCUAUAUGGAAAGACUAAGGAUUCUUUUAUAAAUGCUAUACCUAAAAAUGUUCAUAUAAUUAUUAAUUUACCACAUUGAUCCCUUAGUCUGUGGUCCCUUAGUCUAGACUAGCAAAGAUUAUUGUAUAACAAAAGUUUUCAAUUUAUUAAGUAUUAAUUUAACCAUGCUUUGCAUAUUUUUCAAAGUUAAAAAUAAGCUAUUGAAAAAAAAUCUAGAAAAUGGUUUCAUACCUUUUCCAACGGCAUUAGGGGCUGUUGUGCAGGAAUACCAAGUUGAUCAUUCACAUUAUUCUGCGAUAAAUCUGCAGCGAAUAUCUUUAAUUUGUCACAACGAUACACUAAAAGAAUUUCCAGUGCGGGCCAUUCCGAAGUAUGCAUUCCAGGGUACAAACAUCUAAGUUUUGGUAGAUCUUGGAGUUUCAGAGUGGUGAGCUGUGGAAAGACAAAAUAAGGGAUCACUUGAUCUGCUCUGUUUUCAGAAAUGAUCUCCUGUAAAUCCUCACAGAAGCGUAUAUCUAGGUGUUGGAGCUGCUUAAGGCUUCCGAUCAUAGAUGCUGAAAAUAUGUAUUUUAAUUUGUGACAACGCCACACAAUCAAUCGUGUUAAACUCUGAAAGUGAGGAAACACGGCCGCCGGAAUUUGAUUGCAAUGCCAAAUCUUGGCGACAUCAAUUUGAGAUAUCUCCAAAGCCUCCAAGUUAGGCAACGCAACCUUAAAAAAUAAGAAUUUCUCGUUAGAUCCAAUAUCCAUAUGGGAAGCACUUGUUGAAAUUUCCUUCUUUGAUUACAAAUUAAUGCAAGUCAGAAUCAAUUUCCAACUGACAGCUGAGUUUGAUGCAUUCUAAUUCAUACUACUUGUUAAGAGCUCAAUUAGUAAGCGUGUGAGAUUCUUUUUAUCCUUUUUUCCAUUUUCUUGCAAUUCUUUAAAUGAUUUAAUUAUUUUCCACGUAUGACGUCAAAAGAGAACGCAUGAUAGAAUAAAAUCUGUUAUAUAUAUAUAAAGAAAAUGUUAGCCUACGCACCUUCUCGUUGAAAAGCAGAGUUGAAGUAUCCAAAGUGAUUUCGCUGGAGCUAUACGUAGUCGUCGAUUCCUCUUGCGACGCUCGUCUGUUCGGUGAUGCUGAAGGAGUCUUUACUUCACGGCAAAAACUUGUAACCUCUGGAAGAUUCCCCAGACUCAAAGAUCUUAAUUGAGCAAACUCUAUCUUCUCAAUUGCAUUAUCAACUUCUUCCCCAAUUGCAAAAAUCUCUUUCAUCUUGCUGCAAUUAAUAACUGCAAUUCUCUCAAGUCUUGGAAGGCAUUUUGUUGUAGAGAGCCAAAAGAUAUUACUCAAUUUAUCACAAUUAUAUGCUUGUAUGAUUUUGAGUUCGUUGAAGGACUCUACUUUGAGCCGAUCAAUACAUAUCCUCUCCAUGUUGAUCAAAUUGUGAAGGCCAAGUGACUCCAAAAGAGGAAAGGCAUCAGAAGCGACCAUCUCCUUUGAAUCGACGAUGCAAAAGAAGUCAGGAUUAUUUUGAACCCCGAGAAGCUUCAAUUGUGAAAAGCCCUCCGUGUCCAAAUUGAAAAUAACGUUCUUGAUACCUCGCAGCUUGUCCAACAAUAAGUAUUCAACUUUAUUGAUGCCCUGCAAUUUGAUGGAGCAAAUGUCCAUAAAAUCAAGCUUGAGCUUCAAUGCUCUUGAAAACUUGCGAUUACUGUCGAUCAAAAAGUGCGGCCGACUUUCAAACCAAUAUUGUCCAAAAAGCACGGGAUGCCUGAAUGACUCAUUUCCAAUAGAUAUUUUGAACCUUUCGAGCUUUCUGGCCAAAAAACCUUCUGGUAAAAUACUGUCAUUUUUAACGUCAAUUUCUAGAGCGGUUAGCCGAGGUAAAUGCAUCAAUUCGUCAAGGCUAGCAUUACUUCUUUUGCUGUUGGCUCUUUCAACCUCCCAUUCAAUGAAGCAAUUACCCAUAUACAAUUCUUCUAAUCGGAUUAAGCUUGAUAUGACAUUUGGGGCAAUAACUUUCAGAAGGAAACAGUCUGUUAAAUCUAACAGCCUUAGCUUAGACAGUUGACCUAGUUCUUCGGGCAACUUCUUAAUAUCAGACUUCAAAAAGCUAAGGACUUCUAGAUUCUUCAACUUCCCAAUGAUUGCUAUGUCGCCCAACGCACUUUGAUCCAGACAUAGUGUGUGAAGAUUUACUAGAAGAUCAAUUGAAGAUGGAAAUGAAGAAAACUGCAUUCGAGUAAAAUCUAGAACUCUAAGCUUUUUCAUCCCUACAAAAAAGUUCUCAGGAAUAUUGAUUUCAAGAGAAGAAUCUUUGAGAGAGAGAUAUAAAAAUUCAAGGUUUGGGCAUUCUAAUCCUUCAGGAAAUUCACGAUUACUAUUAUUUCUUAAAGAGACAGCAUUGCAUUUUCGAAGUGCAUCCUCAUCUGGCCAGUCCCACACAUCCUCAUUUUCGGCCAAAAAUACAUGUUGGUGGCGGCAUGCAAUUGAUAUGGCGACAUCGCGAACAACAUCAUGCAUUGAAAAUUCUUCAUUGCUAUCACCCUCAAGCAACAAACAAGAGUCUCUAAGUUCAUGGACCAAUGCAUAUAAUUUGUCUCGUGCAUCUUCCAUCUUAUUGACUCCUUUAAAUAUACCCAAACCCAUGGAGUACUUAAACAGGUCCAAAGUAUGAAUACCGUUACCCAUUAGACUACCGAGGAGAAAAAUUUUCUUGAGUUGCUCACCUUUUAAAUGGUUGAAACUCAGCUCAAUACUUGAAUAAGUCUCUGCAGAUACUCCUUCGAAGUUCACCAUUGAAGGCGUUCGGAGUUCGCGCAAGGAAUUCUUCCAUUGAUGCGGACUCUUGCUUCUCAGUGCCUUUGCUACCGUACUCAAGGCAAUGGGCAAACCUCCACAUGCCCUGGCGACGUCUAUUGCUGUAGAUUUCAACUCACGAUUUUCAACAUCAUCACCGGCCAUCAUCUUAAACAAUCUCCAAGCUUCUUCUUCAUUUAAAUUGUUAAUCAAGAAGUUGUCUUUAGAUCCCAUUUUCAAGAGGACACUACGAUCUCUUGCCGUCAGCAGUAGUUUGCAUCCUUUAUGAUCUUCCCCAAAAGGAAUUCCAACGGUCUCCAAAUCAAGGUGUUUCCAGAUGUUAUCCAGAAUCACAAGGAUCUUCUUCUCAUUUCUCAAUCGCUCAUAUAGCCUACUUGCUCUUCUAGAUUCAACUUCCUCGUGCAACUCCAGGCCCAACUUCUCGGCAAUUUCCUGUUGAAUCUUUUUUAUGUCUGGAGUUUGCGAAACCUCUGAAAAGACCACCAUAUCAAAGUGCUUGUCUUCCAGAGCUUGCCUGGCGACCUUCUUCACCAGUGUCGUCUUUCCAAUGCCGCCCAUGCCGUACACCCCAAUGAUGCUGACAUUAACAUCGAUCAAUGCGUUUUUUAUAGCCUCCAAAGUAGAACGUCUUGAUUCGAAGGCCUCGUAGCCUUUGUGAGACUUGAGCCAUAUAUCCUCCGGAACAGUACGGUAGGAAAUUCUAUCAUCAAAUCUCCCAGCUUCUUCUCGGAGUUUAAAAAGGGCCUCCUUCUCUGUUUCUGCUUCCUUUCCAUGCUGAUAGCGAGUAAUCCAAUUAGGAAACAGCCCCAUGAGACAUCGUUCAUUUGCUUUCUCUUCGUCUUGAAUGAAUUUGGCUGCCUGCUCAAUGCUCUUGUUCGCAUUAACUAGCCAUUUCUCAACCUUCUCUUCAAUCUUUUCACUUUUUCUUUCAGCCUCAGAAACUCUGCGCUGAAUGCUUUCUCUUUCAUCCUUGAGCCUAUCGAGUUCUGCCUUGAGAUUCUCAAAGUUGGCAGAGGAGUUAUACCAAUAACUAAAUUCGCGUUGUGCGUGAGGAGACAAGCAGUUUACAACUCCUGGAACAAUGCUUUUCAAAAUGUCCAUUUUUUUUUUCUUUUUUGGGGAAGUGAACGAAAUAGAAAUAGAACAGAGUCAACGACCGCGCAAUUGAUAAUUAAGUAGAAAACAAGGCAAAAUUGAAAAAAGAAAUUAUAUUUGUACAAAACAAGGGGAAAAUCAGUGUAACAGAAGAGAAUCAAAGUGUUUUUGAGAUCAGAAAAUUGAACCAAGAAAAGGGUUGCUUGAUCCAAUGAAAAUGCAAAGAGCAUGGCAAAAGGAAACAAAGCUAAAUAAGAAAACGGUUAGCACGAGCAGUGACCACGAUCAACAGAAGCAAAGUGUGUAUGAGAUCAAAAGACGAAAAUCAGGAGAGGUUUUCUUGAUUGAGAAUUGAAGGCAAAGAGUAGGAGCUGACGAAUACGGGGAUCAAGAGGGAAAAACUGCUUGCUCGUAAAACUGCUUUCAAGCGAAUCUGAUAAAAUUAUUUCAGUACAAGUGGGCGACUCCCUUUUAAACUGCAGAAGGAAAAAAAAAAAAAUUCUGAUUUUCAAUAUAUUAAUCUCGUAAUCAAUGAUUAAUUAGUAGAUAAUCUUUCUAACAAAUAUGUGUUGAAUAGAUAUAUUUCUUGAUUAUUCGUAGGUUCGAUAUACUUUAGUAUAGGAAUGAAAGUACAAAUUGUGUCAUAUUAGAAUAAAAAUUAGACCUAAAAAUAUUGUCAUAAAACAUGUGAUCCUCAUCCAAAGGCCAGGUGAACAAAUAUAAACGACAAAUUCUUUUCAAUUAAAUAAUCAUCAAGUGAUAAUAUUCUAUUUCAGUACAAAUAGCGAGUGCAGAACAACUGUCAAGAGAUAAUCAUUGUUUAUGGAGCCAUAUAUAUUUUCUAUUAAAAUAGUUGCGUGAACAAUAGCCAGAAUCCGAAAAAAUUGUUGAAAGGUCUAUUAUUUUCGUUUAAAAUUGUUGAAAGGUCUAUUAGUUUCGAUUAAAAUAUUUUCGAUAAAAAUAGUUGUGUGAACAAUUACCAUAAAUAGUGUUUACAUUUUGGAUUGGACUGAGAAUCUUGAAGAGUGGAAAUCUUAGAAUUGAGAGUAUGGAGUAGAAGUGGGUGUAAGUUGUUUACUUACACUGAAAUAUAAGCAUGGAAUGAAGAUUAUAAUCCAAUUUAUGUAUUUACUUUAUCUUGGAUUGGGAGUAAAUAGUUUCAAAUUAUAAUUUUAUCUUCAUUUAAAGAAUUAUAGUUUUUAAUUACAAAGUUAAUAAAAAUAUAUAUUUAAUGAAUAAACAUUUAUUUUAUUAUAUUUAUAAAUUUAUAAUAAUUAUUAAUAUUCUUAAUUAUGUACAUCAUAUUUUUUAUUAAUUUUAAUUUUAAAUAUAUAAAUUAAAAAUUAUUGAUAAGAGCAAUGUAAAUGAAACAUUUUUACUAUUAACAUAGUACAAAAUUAAUAUUUUCUUAUAAUUAACUAUUUAUUAUUACUAAUUAUUGAUAUUAAAUAAAUAUAAUACUAUUAUUUUUAAAUAAAUAUAAUAAUAUUAUAUUUUCAAAUAAAGAUAGUAUAUAGUAAUAUUAUUAAUUCUCUAUUAAUAUAAUAAUAUUAUUUUAAGUAAUUUAAACUUAGAAUCAAACCAAAUUAUUAUUUAGUUAAAUAUAAUAUUAUUAUUUAAAUAAAUAAAAUAUUAUUUAUUUUAUUUUAUUAAAAAUAAUUAUAGUAAAUUUAAUAAAAGGGGGUUAAAAAAGGAAGGUAAAUAUAAAAUGAAAUAUUAUUUUAUUUAAUUAUAUUAAAUUUAUUAUUAUAUAAAUAAUAAUAUAAUAUUAUUUAGUAUAAAAUUAAUAUUUUCUUAGAAUAAACUAUUUAUUAUUAUUAAUUAUUAAUAUUAAAUAAAUAUAAUACUAUUAUUUUUAAAUAAAUAUAAUAAUAUGAUAUCUUCAAAUAAAGAUAGCAUAUAAUAAUAUUAUUAAUUCUCUAUUAAUAUAAUAAUGUUAUUUAUUUUAUUUUAUUAAAUAUAAAAUAUUAAAUUUAAUUAAAUAAAGGUAGAAAAGGGAGAGGUGGGAGUGGAUUUCCCAUGGGAGUCCCACUCACACUCCCCACUCCAAAAAUGGGUGGGGUCCACGGAGUGGGAUUUCCAACCCCUCCUUAAAAUGGUGAAGUAAACACUGGAGUGGGAGGAAUGCACACUGCUCACACUCACCCCAGAAAAUAAACACCGAAAAGGCCAGAUGAUGAAGAACCACUAUAAGUUCUUUUAUGAAUUUAAAAUGCUAAAGAAACUUGACACCAACGCUAAGCUAACAAGUGCAUAUUUUUCUGUGGCCCUUGCCUCAAUGUCUUUUGGGCAUUGCUCGGGGGUAGUUGAUAUAUUGAUUAAAAUAUGAAUGAAUUGGAAUGGAAUGAGUUGGAAUUAAAAUAUGGAAUAGUAAUUAAUUAAUUAAUUUAAAUUGUAAAAAUUAAAAUAAAAAUAAAUUAUAUCAUCAUUGAUAUAUUUAUUUUAUUUUAAAAUCACGAUGAGUUGUUACAAAUUACAAAAUAUCUUUAAUUUUUUAUCAUAAUAAUAAUAAUUUAUUAUAAUAUUUUGUUGGCCUAAAUGGUUAUAUAAUCCUUGAUUUUGAUGAUAACAAACUACAUAGAGUACAAUAGUAAAUUUAUUUCUCACAAUCUCACAAGUUUUUGAAGGGCAAAAAUCAUUCAAGUGGGAUCAAGAUCAAGAUACUCAAUAGACAAUGACAAUCAAGGACGAAUACUAAGGGUACUAGUUUAAGCCAUCUUUAUUGUUAAAUUUCUUGUAAAGCCAGUGUAAUUUAACGUGUGCAUGAUGUAACAUUUAAAAGCUCAAGACAUUUUUCAUGACAUUUUCAAAUUAAAUCAUCAUUUUCUAAAAUAUAAAAGUUUUAACGAUUUUAUAAAAUUAGUUGCUUUUUCCAAAUUUAUGAACUAAAUUGAAAAGUUUUGAGAACUUUGAAAUCAACUAAUAAUGUUUUAAAACAUAGAAAUUGACAUAUUUGUAAAUAUUUCAAACGUUUUGGGUCGUAAUAUAAUUUCAAAAAAAUUAGGUCUAAUCUAUAAAUCCUGGAACAAUAGUGGCUAAUCGCUUAACCAAUAGCGACUAACUACUUCAAGUCCAAAAACAUAGCAGCUAACCGCUUAAAUCAAGUGACAAUCCGCUUGAACCAAAGUUUUCAAAUUUGAUUUGCAACUGUAACUUACCAUAUCAACAUAGUGGCUAAUCGCCUCAUUUUAACGGCGAUCCAGCAAGUCCCUAGAAAAGCCAAUAAUUGCUAGUUUGAUUAUUUAAACUAUAAAAUUCAAAUCUAACAAUUUUUUUUUUCAAUCUCAAUUAAGCUAAAACUUAUUCAUAUAUCUUGAGCUUUCAUUUUGCUUAUCUACAUACAUUAAUCAUUAUAGAGCUAUCAUUUGCUUAUACACUCUUAUAGAGUGUAAUCUUUGUAAUCUUCAAUUAAAUAUCAAAAUUGAGUGAGUAUAAGUGUGGGAAACACUUGGGAAAAGAGGUGUGUGUAUACAUAAUUACUUGUAAAGGUUUAUUGACACCUUAGAAGUCAAUUGUAAAAUUUUGGAGCCUUGGAAGGUUUGGAUAGUAGAAUUCUCAAGUUUGGAUUGCUUGGAGGCGUAGUCAUAGGCGGGUUUGCCGAACCACAUAAAAAUUCAUGUGUUUGUUAUCUUCUCCCUUAUCUUUUUAAUUUCACGUAUAGUUAAAUUUACCAUUAUUAAAUUUCUUGAAGUAUUUGUUUAAUUUGUAUUGUGUUUUUGUUAGUAUAAUUUUUAAUACCUAAUUCGCCCCCCUCUUGGGUUGCUUAGCUAGAAUUUCAUUUGGUAUCAAAGGAAGUUCUCUUGUUAGGACUUAACCAUCUAGAGUAAAAGAUCCAUAGUAAUCCAAAAUGAUCCCAGAUUUGGGGAAGGUUAAUCCCUUACUAGAUCACCAUUCUUUGAUGGGAAUGAUUAUCCAUGUUGGAAAAUUAUGAUAAGAAUUUAUUUGCAAGCAUUAUAUUAUGAAAUAUAGGAAGUUGAUUGUGAUGGUCCAUUCAUGCCUACUGCUAAAAAUGAAGAAGGGAAAGAAAUUCUAAAACCUUCACAAGAAUGGAAUGAGUCGGAAAAGAGAAAAGAUUCUCUUAAUUUCAAAGUCAUGAAUGCUUUGUUUUGUGACUUAGAUAAAAAAGAAUUCUAUAGAGUUUAAGGUUGUUCCAAUGCUUAUGAAAAUUGGAAAAAACAUAAAGUCAUUUAUAAAGCUACAAAUCAAGUCAAAUAGUCUAAAAUUAGUAAAUAUACUAGGCAAUACGAAUUGCUAUAAAUGGAACAAAAUGAGAGUGUUAAUCCCAUAUACACUAGAUUAACAGACAUUAUAAACACUUUAGGAGCUCUUAGAAAGACUUUUUCAAACAGCGAAAAGGUAAAAAAAAUCAGUAGGUCUUUACCAAAAGAAUAGAGACCUAAGAAAAUUCCCAUUGAGGAAGCCAAUGAUAUUUUAUCUAUUGAUGAUUUAAUUAGUUCAUUUAUUUCUUAUGAAAAGGAUUUGACAACUGAAAAAUAUAAUGAAGACGAGAAGAAGAAGAGUUUUUCCUUAAAAGCAUCAAGAUCUAAAAGUGACAACGAAAGUGAGAUCGAAAAUGAAGACAUGGCUAUGAUAGCUGGAAAAUUCAAAAUAAUUUUCAAGAAAUCCAUCGAGCGAAGGAAAUUCAAAAAUUAGAAAGAGAAGAAGGAGGCAAUUAUUUUCUUUAAAUGCAGGAAGCCUAGACACAUAAAACUAGCAUGUCCUUUUCUCAAAAAAUUAAAGAAGAUAGCCAUGGUAGCAACACGGGAUGAUAGCGAUAAGGAGACUAUAGAUGAAGAGUAGUCCCAUGAAGUGUCAAAUUUGGCACUUAUGGUUAUAGGAGAUGAACUUGAUGAGGUAAACCUCUUAGGAUGAGUUGUUUGAAGUAUUCUCUAAAUUGCAUAAAGAUGUAAAGAAGAUUGAAAUGUAAAAUGUUUCUCUUGGAAAGAAAAAAGUAGAACUUUUAAAUGAGAAUGACACUUUGAAUAAAAAGAUUAAGUGCCUAGAAGUAUUUGUGAAGAAAUUGCAUCUUUUAAAGAAAAAACAAAAUGUUUCAUCUAAGAAUAAAGGUUUACUUGUAAAUGAUUUGAAAAAGAAAAAUGAAAUAUAUUGCUUUAGAAUUUGCUUAGUAUUAGUCAAUUGUGUGAUAAAUGUUACAAAGUUAUUUUUAUGUGAUAAAGACUAUAGAGUUAUUUUUUAUAAAACAAAAUGUGUUAUUAAAAAUACAUGUGAUGACAAAGUUUUAUUUGUUACAUAAAGAUGUGUUAAUGUAUACACCAUUGAUAUAGAUAGUGUAUCAACUCAUGAUAAAUGUUUUUUUCACAUUACAUGAUGAUAGUUGAUAUGGCAUGGAAGACUAGGUCAUGCGAGCAUGGAUUUGUUUUCAAAAUUUUUUAAAAAUGAUUUGGUUAUAGGUCUUCUAAAAAUUGGUUCUAAAAAAGAUAAAAUUUGUGAAGUUUGCCAAUUUAGAAAACAAAUAAAACGUCCUUUAAAAAAAAUUCAUAUUUCUACUUCAAAACCACUUUAACUUUUUCACAUGGAUUUGUUUGAAUUUUCUAAAUAUGCUAGUUUAAGUGGUAAAUAUUAUGCAUUUAUAAUUAUAGAUGAUUAUUCUAUAUACACAUGGUAUUACUCUCAACUAAUAAAGAUGACACCUUUAAUGCUUUCAAAGUUUCUAUAAAAAGGUUCAAAAUGAAAAAUGAUAUGUUAUUUCUUGCAUUAGAAGUGAUCAUGGUGGAGAAUUUGAAAAUUAUAUUUUGAAAAUUUUUACAAUAACUUUGGCAUUGAGCAUCAAUUCUUGUUACCAAGAACUCCAUAAUAAAAUGGAGUAGUUGAGAGAAAGAAUAGGUCUAUCCAAGAAAUGGCUAGGACCAUGUUAAAUGAAAAUGUUUUACUAAAAUAUUUUUGGGUUGGAACCGUCAACAUUGUUUGUUAUAUUUUAAAUCGUGCAUUGAUUAGACCUUACCUCAAUAAAACUCCUUAUGAGUUUUGGAAAAAUAGAAAAACAUUGACUAUUUCAAAGUUUUUGGUUGCAAAUGUUUUCUAUUGAAUACAAAAGACAAUCUUGGUAAAUUUAAUCUAAAAUCUGAUGUUGAUAUUUUUCUUGGGUAUUCAAAUACAAGCAAAACUUAUAGAGUGUAUAAUAAAAGAUCCUUGGUCGCUAAAGAAUCUAUACAUGUUAUAUUUGAUGAAUCUAACUUUUCUUCUAUGAAGAAAGUUGUUGUUGAUGAUGAUGCAUAUGAAGAGUUACAAAAACAAAAAGUCUUUAAAAGACAAACAAGAUGAUUUACCGGUAAAAAUCAAGAUGAGCAACAAGAAAAACAAGUUAAACAGAUUCAAAAUGAAGGUAAUUCACAAACACUCUCUAAGGAGCUAAGGUAUGUCUCUUCACACCCUAAAGACUUAAUCUUAGGAGAUCCUUCAUGAGGUGUAACUACUAGAUAAUCACUUAGAAAUACAUGUGAACAUACUGUAUUCAUAUCUCAAGUUGAGCCAAAAUCCUUUUCAGAUGUGGAAAAUGAUGAAUCUUGGAUUAUAGCAAUACAAGAAGAGUUAAAUCAAUUUGAAUGAAACAAUGUAUGGAAACUUAUUCAUAAACCAUAACAUCAAUCUGUAAUAGGCAAUAAAUGGGUAUUUAGGAAUAAAAUCGAUGAAUCUGGUGUAGUUGUAAGGAAUAAAGUUAGAUUAGUAGCUCAAUGAUGCAACCAAGAAGAAGAAAUUGAUUUUGAUGAAACCUUUGCACAUGUAUCGAGAUUAGAAUCCAUUACAUGCUUUUAUCAUUUGCAUAUCAUAAUGAUUUUAUUUUAUAUUAAAUGGAUGCUAAAAGCACCUUUCUAAAUAGUUGUAUUAUGAAGGAAGCUUAAGUGAAACAACCCCCUCAUUUUAAAAAUGAAAAAUGUUUUUGGAUCAUGUUUACAAGUUGUCCAAAGUUUUAUAUAGUUUAAAGUAAGCAUCUAGAGCAUGAUAUGAUAGACUUAGUAAAUUUCUUUUAGAAAAUAGUUUUUCAAUGGGUAAAGCGAAUACUACUCUAUUUGUUAAAUACAAGGAUCAAGGUAUACUUGUUCAAAUUUAUAUUGAUGAUAUUAACUUUAGUUCUAUUAAUGAGUUUCUGUGUAAGGAAUUUUCAUCUUGCAUAAGUAGAGAAUUUGAGAUGAGCAUGAUGGGAGAAUUGAAGUACUUUCUUGGACUUCAAAUUUAAAAGAAAAAAAAGAAUUCAUUAAUCAAGCCAAGUAUUUCAGAGAUCUACUCAAAAGAUUUUGCAUUCAGGACUAAGGACACUCCAAUGAGAACUACAAUCAAUCUCGAUAAGGAUAAAAAAAGUAAAGAUGUUGUAUCAAAAGAUAUCGAGGUAUGAUCAUAUUUUUACUUUACUUUACUACUAGUAGACAUUACUUUAGUGUAUGUUUGUGUGCAUGAUUUCAACCAGAUCUCAAAGAAUCUCAUUUGCUUGCGGUUAAAAGAUUUUUUUCAUUAUUUAUGAGGAACAAUUGAUCUUGGUCUAAGGGAACUCAUAUAAAUUAUUAGCUCAAUAAAUUUUUCAAAGAAUCCCAUUCAACAUUCUAGGACCAAACAUAUUGAAAUUAGGCAUUAUUUCUCACGUGAUCAUGUUCAAAUGAGAGAUAUUGCUUUAGAAUUUGUUUCUAUAGAAAAAUAUCUUGCUGAUAUUUUUACAAAUCCUUUUUGUGAAGAAUAGUUUUCAAAGAUUUGGAUUGAGUUUGGAAUGAUGACAUUUUCACAUCAAUAUUUCAUUGCAUGAUAUUGAGACUACAAAUUUGCUUGAUUUUCUAUCUUGAUUUUAAUGUGUUAUAUGCUUGAAUUUACUUCUUUGAAUGUUUAUCAUCAUAUCUUAUGCAUUAAAAAUGGCUUUUGAAAUACUUCGGGAUCACAAAAUGGUCUCAAAAUUAAUUAAAUUUUGGCCAAAAAGCAAAAUCGUGCAAAAUUUAGGGGAACUAGCUAACCGUUAACAACAAGCGACUAGCCAAUUAUGAGGCAGAAACUAGCUGGUCAGUAGGGUUGGCAAUGGGACGGGAUGGGAUGGGAUUUACCAAUCCCAGUCCCAUCCCGUAUAUGCAAAUGGGAUGAAAAAACGUCCCAAUCCCGUCCCUAUAUUUUUUUUGGGACAAAAAUAUGUCCCAAUCCCGUCCCAAAAGAGAUGGGAUCCUGCGGGAUCCCAUCCCAAUUGGAAAAUUUUUCAUUCUUAAUCGGUAAUGAGACGGGAUGGGACGGAAUUUAUCAAUCCCACUCCCGUCCCGCAUAUGUAAUUGGGAUAAAAAAAAUGUCCCAAUCCCAUCCCAAAUUUUUUUAUGGAACAAAAAUAUGUCCUAAUCCCAUCCCAAAUGGGAUGGGAUCCCGCAGGAUCCCAUCCCAUCGGGAAAAAUUGCCAUCCCUACUGGUCAGCCGGCUUAAAGCAAACGGUUAAUUGCUUGGUUUCUAAAAAUGAAACGGUUAACCGCUUUCUUCAAGAGGCUAGCUGGCUUCACGUUUUAAAUGUUGUUCAUCUUCUUUUUCCCACUUUCAGUUGUUACCCUCUCUCUAUCACUGUCAUCUCUCAUUUCUUUUACUCUCUCUCUAAAAUCUUCCGUUUUUACAUCACUUUUGUGUCAAAUUAAACUUUCCAAAUCAUUUCCCAUCAAUUAAUCUUCACUCAUUUGCUUUUAAAACACAAUCUAAUCACUCUUCUCUCAAAAUCUUAAAACCUAAGUCACCAAUUUCAACAUUCUCAAAUUUGAACCAUUAUUUGACCAUUUUUGACCAAAAUAAACCCAUACAUUCCUUAGAUCUUCUCAAAGAACAUUUUAAUCGGUUCAAAAUCAUCUAUUUCUGUAAAAACUUUGUGAACUCGAAUUUGUGCAAUUUUGGACACAUUUUGAUAAUUUCUUAAUGGCUAGUGGUGAGAAGUCUAAGGGUAAGCAUAUGCCUAAAAUGUAAAAAAAAGAUUCAUAAAGACAUUUUCAAAUUCAUUUCCACCCACUUCCCAAAUCCGCCCCAAUGGAAUGAUUCUCUGAUCGAUUUAUGACAAGGUCAGUCCUCCCAUACUAUAUAUGUUAAUCUUGAUUAAUUAGAAAAUUUGUCAAGUUGUAGCAAAACUCUUAGAACUUUACUUGCUGAAUUGGGUUGGACAAAUGUCUUAGUUCUUAAGGAACAUAUUUGUCCUAAUUUGGUACGAGUAUUUUAUUCGAACAUGCUUAUUUCUACAAAUACUGCCAAUAUGAUUAUUACUAAUGUUAUUGGGAUUCCUAUUAAGUUUACUGUAGAAGAUUUAAACAUGAAUCUCAGAUGAUAGGUUGCAUUUGUAUACAUCUAGGACUAAAAUUGAUUAUCCCUGGUAUUUAGUUGUAGAUGAUGUUUGAAACAUAGAUGUUCGAAACAUAUGUAGGUGAUCUGAUCUAUCCAUGGAGCUUUUUAACUCCUCUCUUAGAUCACAAGUGUUGCCUCUUCAAGUUCGGAUCCUACAUAAUGUUCUUUAGCUUGUGAUCAGUCCUCGCAAGGGACAUGGUGCUGAGGUUACACGCUUAGAUGUUACUUUAUUAGAUAGCAUCCUUGAGGGUAAAAGCUAAAUGUGCGAAUAUUAUCAUUCAGCACAUGCUUAAUACACUGAGUAUAGGAAACCAAUCCUUUUCGGUCGGUAGUGUCAUUACCCACAUCCUUCAAUAUUUUUGGGUCCCUAUAGCUGAACCAUCUCAUAAUGAACCCAAGGAGUUAGGGGAUGAGGUCAUUGCUAGCUUAGGAUUUGGGUGGGUAGAUGACCAAUAGGUUAAAAAUUAGAACUUGUUGAGCAAACCCACAAAGCUGGCUCUUUUUUAUCAUUGCAUCUUUAACGAUGUGCUUCCCCUUACUGGGUUCUUGAUCUUAGUUCUUCCAUGAGGUCACAAGCUCUACAUUGGCCUUCUGAUGCUCCACCAUCAUCAUCUUCAGCCAUUCCCAAUAACCCAAUCCAACAGUUGUUGAAUAAAGUGCGUUCCAUAUCCGAACAAUAAAGCAAAUUUAAGAUAUCGUUCGCAGCAUUCCAGGAUCAUUUUCUUUCUGAGCAACAACGUCUCUUUCUUCAACAAUAACAAAUUCUAGACCAUCACUAGCUUAUUUUCAUUGCUCUCAAAUUUUCGCCACCAUCCUUAUUAUCUUGUUUGCUACCUCAUCAGUGAUUUUCUUUUAUCUCUUUUGCUUCAUUGUUUUAUGCACCGACAUUAUUUAUCAUAUGCAUUUUCGUUUUUAGCAUCAUGGAUACUUGAUGGAUGUUAUUUUACUUAUGCAUUAUAGAUACUUGAGUUGAUAUGGAUUAUCUUUAUGCAUUCUAGUUAUUGAUUGUGGUAUCUUUAUUAAUUAUCUUUAUGGAUUAUCUUUAUUGAUUAUGGAUUAUGUAUAUGGAUACUUGAUUAAUGGUUAUGUGUGGAUUUUCGAUUGAUGAUCUUUGUGGGGGAUAAUUAUUGAUAAUAUUUGUAUAAUAGAGGAGUGAUUUUUCAUGAUGAAGGGGGAGAAGAUAUUGACAUGUAUUUUGAAGUGUUUUGACAUGUUUUUGGCUCAUGGGGGUUGAUUGAGUGUUUGUAGUAUUUUAGUUGCUUUCUGAGUCACUCAAGGAGAGUUUACAAAUGUUGUACAAUUAUUGUUAGCCUAUAUGGUUAUAAAUAUUGAUUUUGAUGAUAACAAACCACAUGUAUUGAUUAAGAAAAGAUUUAUUAAUUGUACUUUUAUAAUAAGAAAAUGAUGUUAUGGAAUUAAAGUAUUUUGGACUAAAAUGAAAGUAUUUUAAAAUCUUUGAUAGUGUUUUAAAUUUCGGAUUUGGACCUGUUUGAAACUAUUUAAAUAUUUUUUGAUUAUUCUAUAAUUUCAUAUAGUUUGGGUGAAAUCAUAAUUUCAGAAAGUUUUGGGAUUGACAAAGCAUUAUUUAAAAUUCUGAAAUUGGACCUAUUUGCAAAGUUUCAUAAAGUUUUGAGCCAUAAUAUAGUUUUAUAAAGUUUUGGGGUCAAACUAUAAAUUUAAAAAAUAUUUCACUGUAGCAGUAACUGUAGCAAGCGGCUUACCGGAUAUGGUUAAACGACAAACUGGAUAUUGGGCAGUAAGCGUCUGGAGCAUAAACGGCUUACCGGAUUUUGUAAGCAGCAAGCCGGAUAUUCUGAAAUUCAAAAUUUUGCCAUAACGGUAACAUAAAAGCGGCUUACCAGAUUCCUAAAUGGCAAGCCGGUUAUAACAGAAAAUGUGCAUAACAGCUAGUUUUUUAGCUCAAACUAUAAGAACUCAAAUCCAAAUCAUUUUCAAGCUCUCCAACAAGCAUAAACAAAAAGCACACGAGAUAUCUUGAGCUUUCAAGUUGCAAAACACAAAACAUUUAAUCAUGUCUUGUUUUUCAUUUUUGAAUAUCUGCUUUUUGAGUGAGUUUUAUUGUAACUUUCAUUUCUUCAUCUCAAUUGUAAGAGUUUGAGUGUGUGAGACACUUGAGUGAAGAGAUUGUUAGAUAAUCUCUUUGUUGUAAAGGUUCAUUGACACCUUGAAGUCAAUUGUAAACAGUUAAAACCUUGGAAAGGCUUGGAUAGUGAAAACCUCAAGCUUGGAUCGCUUGGAGGUGUGGACAUAGGCGGAGAUUGCCGAACCACGUAAAAAUUCGUAUGUUUGUUUCUUUUCUCCCUUACUCAUUAGUUAUUGUGUUUUUAUUGAACUUAUUGCUUUUAAUUUUUAUUAAGACAUUUAGAUUGCUUGUUGUGUGGAUUUGCUAAGAAAUUUUUUAAAAUUCCAAUUCACCCCCCUUUUUGGGUUGCACACUUAUAUUUCAUUUGGUAUUAGAGCGAGGUGCUCUUAUUUGGACCUAACCGUUUAGAACUAAAUAUCAAUGGCAACUCAAAAUGAUUCCACAUUUAGGGAAGGACAGUCCACUACUAGACCACCUUACUUUGAUGGAAACGAUUACCCAUAUUAGAAAACUAGGAUGAGAAUUUACUUGCAAGUCUUAGAUUAUGAAAUUUGGGAAAUCGUUAAUGAUGGUUCUUUCAUGCCUUUGACUAAAAAUGAAGUCGGAGAAGAUAUUCCAAAACCUUCACGGGAAUGGAAUGGAUUCGAAAAGAGAAAAGCUUCUCUAAAUUCCAAGGCCAUGAAUGCCUUAUUUUGUGCACUAGAUAAGAAAGAGUUUCAUAGAGUGUCUAGUUGCGAAAGUGCUAAUGAGAUUUGGCACAAACUUGAAGUUGUCUAUGAAGGCACGAACCAAGUGAAAGAAUGUAAAAUAAGUAGGUGCACUCGACAAUAUGAAUUGUUCCAAAUGGAACAAAAUGAAAAUGUGUACUCUAUGUAUACUAGAUUUACAGACAUAGUGAACACUCUAGGAGCCCUAGGAAAGACCUUUUUAAAUAGCGAGAAAGUCAAGAAAAUCAUUAGGUCGCUACCUAAGGAAUGGAGACAAAAAAGGACUGUCAUUGAGGAAGCCAAAGAUUUAAAUGUAUUACCUAUUAAUGAUUUAAUUGGUUCUCUCAUUUCAUAUGAAGAAGAUUUGGCAGCUGAAAAAGGGCAUGAGGAAAAGAAGAAAAACAUUUCUCUCAAGGCUUCAAAAUGUGAGAGUGAUGGGGAAAGCGAAAUGGAUGAUGAGGAGUUGGCAAUGUUGGCUAGAAGAUUUAGAAAAUUUUACAAAAAGAAUAAUGAGCAGAGAAAGUUCAGAGGCUACAAGAAUAAGAAGGAGAAGAAUGAGUCAAUCACUUGUUAUGAAUGCAAGAAACCCGGAUACAUACGACCGAAAUGUCCUCUUUUCAACAAACUCAAGAAGAAAGCUAUGGUGGCCACAUGGGAUGAUAGCGAUGAGGAAACAAGUGAUGAUGAUGAGCAACAGGAAAUGACAAAUUUAGAUCUCAUGGCCAUUGGGGAAGAAUCAUGUGAUGAACUUGAUGAGGUACGUGUUCUUCCUACAUAUGAUGAAUUACAUAAUGCCUUUAAGGAUUUGCAUGAUGAGCUGAUGAAGAUUGGUAAAAAGAAUAUAUGUCUUAAAAAGAAGAUAAUAGAGCUUAAAAAUGAAAAUGAAUCAUUUAGUGCAAAGAUUACAUGCCUAGAAUUAGAAAAUAAAACAUUGCAUGAUAGCAUUGCAUUAUUUGAGAAUUCUAGCACUCCACAUGAGCACUUAGAGUCACACAUGAAUGACUUGAAAAAUGAAAAUGAAAUGCUUAGAAAGAAGAGCAAUGAACUAAAUGAAAUUCUACUAAAAUUCACAAAUGGGAGAAAGAUGUUGGACAAUUUGCUAAACUCACAAAAAUGUGUAUUUGACAAAAGUGGCAUUGGUUAUAAACCAAAUUUGAAACAAAAAUUUUACAAGAGUUGUUUUGUGAAGAAUACAUCUAUUAACAAUCAAAUUGUAUGUCAUUAUUGUAAUCAAAAUGGUUAUAUGAAAAAUAGAUGUGCAGUGAAGAGAAAUGCAUAUUAUGGUGUGAAAUGUGUUUGGGUUCCGAAAGGAACCAUUGUUAACUCUUAAGGACCCAAAAAGGUUUGAGUACCUAAAACUUGAGAUUUUCUCUACAGGGCUUGAAGAAGAAGAAUAAUAAGUGUUACUUGGACAGCGGUUGUUCAAGACACAUGACAGGGAAUUAUUCUUGGUUUUCAAGUUUUACUAAGAUCGAAAAUGGUGGAGAUGUAUCAUUUGGAGAUAAUUCAAAAGGAAAAAUCAUUGGGAUUGGAAAUGUCGGUAAUGCAUCCUCUACUCUCAUUGAAAAUGUGUGUUUGGUUGAAAACUUGAAAACACAACUUGCUUAGUAUUAAUCAAUUAUGUGAUAAAGGAUAUAGAGUUAUCUUUGAUAAAUCAAAAUGUGUUAUUGAGAAUGCAUGUGAUGGGAAAGUUUUGUUUGUAGGAAAUAAAUGUGUUAAUGUCUAUACUAUUAAUAUAGAUUGUGUAUCAACAAAUGAUAAAUGUCUCUCUGCAUUACAUGAUGAUGGUUGACUGUGGCAUAGAAGAUUAGGUCAUGCAAGCAUGGAUUUGAUUUCAAAAAUCGUGAAAAAUGAUUUAGUUAAAGGUCUUACAAAAAUUAGUUUUCAAAAAGAUAGAAUUUGUGAAGCAUGCCUAUUUGGAAAAAAAAUCAAAACUUCCUUCAAAAGCAAGAAUCAUGUCUCUACUUCAAAACCACUUCAAUUACUUCACAUAGAUUUGUUUGGACCUUCUAGAUAUGCUAGUUUAAGUGGCAAAUUUUAUGCAUUUGUAAUUGUGGAUGAUUAUUCUAGAUACACAUAGGCAUUGUUCUUAGCUAAUAAGGAUGAUGCCAUUGAUGCAUUUCAAAUUUUCUCUAAAAAGGUUCAAAAUGAAAAAAGGUUAUUCUAUUACUUGUAUUAGAAGUGAUCAUGGUGAAAAAUUUGAAAAUCAUGCAUUUGAAAAUUUUUGUAAUGACUUUGGCAUUGAACAUCAAUUUUCAUCACCUAAGACUCCACAAUAAAAUGGAGUAGUAGAGAGAAAGAAUAGGUCUAUUCAAGAAAUGACUAGGAGCAUGUUGAAUGAAAACUCUAUGCUUGAGUAUUUUUAGACCGAAACCGUCAACACCGCUUGUUAUGUUUUAAAUCGUGUGUUGAUUAGACCUAAUCUUAAUAAAACUCCAUAUGAGCUUUGGAAAGAUAGAAAACCCAACAUUGGCUAUUUUAAAGUUUUUGGAUGCAAAUGUUUUGUUUUGAUCACAAAAGAUAAUCUUGGUAAAUUUGAUCCAAAAUCUGAUGUUGGUAUUUUUCUUGGUUAUUCAAAUUCAAUCAAAACUUAUAGAGUUUAUAAUAAAAGAACUUUAGUUGUGGAAAAAUCUAUGCAUGUUACAUUGAUGAGUCUAACCCCUCCUCUACGGAGAAAGUCGUUGUUGAUGAUAAUGCAGAAGAAGAACUACAAGAAGAAGCAUCAAAUGACAACCAGAAGAUGCACCACAUGAAAUUCAAGAGGAACAUCAUGAAGAAAACAAAUGUAGAGCAAAAUGAAGUACUUCUCAAACACUCCCAAGGAGUGGAGGUGUGUUUCCUCUCACCCUUAGGAUGUAAUUUUAGGAGAUCCCUCACGAGGUGUUACCACUAGAUCAUCUCUUAGGAACACAUGUGAGCAUGCUGCAUUUAUUUCUCAAAUUGAACCAAAAUCCUUUGCGGAUGCAGAAAAUGAUGAAUCUUGGAUUAUGGAAAUGCAAGAAGAGUUGAAUCAAUUUGAGAGAAACAAUGUGUGGGAGUUAGUUCUAAAUCCAGAACAUCAAUCCAUUAUAGGCACUAAAUAGGUAUUUAAAAACAAAAUGGAUGAAUUUGGUGUGGUUGUAAGAAAUAAAGCUAGAUUAGUGGCUCAAGGUUACAACCAAGAAGAAGGAAUUGAUUUUAAUGAAACUUUUGCACCUGUAGCAAGGUUAGAAUCCAUUAGGAUGUUGUUAGCAUAUGCAUGUCAUAAGGAUUUUAUUUUAUAUCAAAUGGAUGUCAAGAGUGCUUUCUUAAAUGGUUAUAUUAUGGAGGAAGUUUAUGUGAAACAACCUCCUGGUUUUGAAAAUGAAAAUUUUCCAGAUCAUGUGUAUAAGUUAUCUAAGGUUUUGUAUGGUCUAAAACAAGCACCUAGAGUUUGGUAUGAUAGGCUUAAAAACUUCUUGUUGGAUAACGAUUUUUCGAUGGCUUAAAAAUCAGAAUGCCAAAAUAUAAAACAACAGUUAAAUUCCAUUUAAACUCCAAGAAAAGUAAUUCAAAUUCCGGCCACCGAGCCAAGUUCUCCAACAAAAUUUCCAAAGAUUAAUGGAAAUAUUCCAAUAGCAAGACUUCCAGAAGCAAUACCCUCUUCCAGCGGCAAUACAUUGUUUAGAACUACAACACUAAAACAUAAAAGCCAAAUACUAUAUUAAACUCAUAAAAAGCUUAUAAUUUACAGGAGAAACUGAAAGUAUCAAUCAAUUUUGAGGCAACCAAUUUGACAAUUUAAUAUUAAACUCAUAAAAAGCAUUGCCAGUAGUGAGUUUAAAUAUACCUGCAUCUGUGUCCUUGCCAAUUCAAUGGGGUAGCAACUAAUACAUGCUAAUGAACGUGCAACAGACCCAGCAACUAGGGGAACAUAUUGUGCCAACAUUGGAGCAUUGUCAAUAGGGAAUUUUCCAUCAAAUUGCGAAAACUGUCAUAACAAGGAAGGUAAAUUCCCACCUGAAAAGAGUAAUUAACAGAAAAAAAAGAAAAUAAUCAUCAUAAUGCAAAAAAAUUUCAAUGCCACACUGAUGUAUGGGAUGAAAUAUUUGAAGAAACACAAGCAAUUUAUGUACAAGAGAGACUUAUUGUUGGCAUAGACAACGCUAAACUUGCAUAAGUGCCUCUCCAUAGUCGGGCAAAUCCCUCCUGCACAUGUUUAGCUCUUAUGAAACCUUUGAUAUUAAAGAUCAAAAUUUAAGAUUCACUAACAGUAGCACCAAGAAAUCUAUUUAUUGAAGGCACAUUAACUACACAAUACAAAAUCUCUUUCCAUAAUAUAUGUAAUCACACUGCAAGUAUAAUGCAGUACACUAAAAUGCCAUCAGUUGACUUGUUCUAAAAAAUGUCUAUAAGACAUUCUGUACAAAUCCCAGUUCUUACGGAGUUAUUUUGCCCAUGGAUCAAAUCACUUUAGGACUGGAAAAAUGACGUCAUCUAAAUAGGAAAUUAGGAGUAAUAACAUGUAAUUCCAAUUGAAUUUAGUUUUUCUUCUUCAUAAUUUUCCUGUGAACUAUAACAACUGCUUUCUAGGAUCUCUUUCUUCUUUAGAGAUACAAUAGUUUUACAAAGAUCCAAUAUAAAACUCUUUAGGAUAAAAAUAGUCCAAGGAAAGCUUUUCUCAACAGCAUAAACUAUACACUUUUGGAAAACUUCAGUUCUUUUUAUUAGAUAUAUGUGUAAUUUAUUCAUAAAGUCCUUGUAUCCACCAACCUGGCAUACGAAUUUGUAGAAAACAUCCAGUGUUCCUUUAUAUUUAUUACAUUCUGGAGCUGGUUUAGAGCCUGGAACUGCACACGUGCAUGAUGGGGAAUUUCUCAUAUCUGGAAGCAUCUACAGAAACAAUUUGAAAGACAACACUUGUCACAAGAUCAUAUAACAAAGAGCAAUAAGAAUAGUAAUUGUUGAGUGUUAGAAAAUGUAUAUUUAUAAAGGAGAAAAUCGUCAUUUUACAUUUCAAGUCUUACUAACAACCCUUACUUUUAUGUAUUUAAGCCUCUUGUAAUUUAAUUAUGUGUGUUUUAUUUUAAUUAAGUAUUUUAUGUAUUUUAGGGACAUCAUAGUCAUUUCACAAUAAACGAGAGAUCAAAUGGCAAAACGACAUCACUUUUGAACUCAAGACGGUCGAAAACCUUAGGAGGAGCAUAAAAGGAAAAAUGGUAUUGUUCACAUGUACGAUACUAUUCACGUGUACGGUACUGUAUACGUUACUGUUCACGACAUGUUCACAUAGACGGAAGAUGACGUGGCAUUGACCGAUGAUGUGCAUUGACUGAUGAGGUGUCACGAUCCUGUUGGACUAAAAUUCUUAUGUACUGGAGGUAACGUGGCAGCAUAUAGUGGACUAAAAAUCUCGCGUACGGUACAUGCAUACACAUGAUUAUUUUCAACCAAACCGCGUUACUGUUCAAACCCGGUCAAAUCGUGUUACUGUUCAUCCGCGUGGUCAAACCGCGUACUGUUGACUGAUGACGUGGCGCAAUCCUGAGUAUCCAAACUGUUUUUAAUCCGAUGACCAUGAUUUACUCCAUGUAUCUAUAAAAGGGGCCUUCCCCCCUAAUUUGCAUCUUGAAUCUAUUUUUGGGAUCCAUUUUCUGUAAUUCCUUCUCCAUUUUGUAUUUUCUACGUAUUUUAAUAAAUUACCAUUUUGCCCCUAGUUCAAUUAUGAGUAGCUAAUUUUCUUUCAAACUUGGGUUGAAGGUGAAAUCUCAACAUGUGUCAUGGGCUUUAUUUGGGAAAUUUAUUUUCUUUUCCCCUCUAAUUUUUGUGGAUGAUUUGACUUUUUCGUCGACAAAUAAUAAUAAUCUUGUCUAAAUACCGCAUUGGUUACACCGGCUCUCUAGUACAAUGUUAUUAUUAUUUGGCACGAUAAGCCCUUAGCACCAUAUUGAUUAGAGCGUGGUUCAUGAGGUGUGGAUUCCCCCCUCAUGAUUUAAUUGCAUUAAUAUGGAUUAUUUAGCCCAUGUUGCAUGUUGAUACGGAUCCAGAUACCCAAGUACAUCAUUUCAAUAGAUUUCACUUCAAUUUAUUCUCACCAUUUCAAUUCCAAUUUUAGAAUAAUCUAAAGUUACUUUCACCACAAAUCCAACCACCCAUUUACAAAAUUAAUUCUACACACAAUUAAAAUCUACCUCCUCGUGGGAUCGACACUCGUCACCAUUGAUCUAUACUACAAUAGAUUCGUGCGCUUGCGAGUACAUUAAAAUUUGCACAACACUAGCCUCCACUUAUAAAUGACUUAUUCACCUAAUUAGGGCAUGUCGUCAUCUCUUUGCUUCCUUUUCUUCAAUUUUCUCUCUAUCUUUUAAAUCAUCAGUCAUUUCUCCACUUUAGGAGGCCAUUUUUAUUCUCCACCUUUAUCAUAUUCUCUAAGAUAUUAUCAUUCUCAAUAUCUUAUUAACAAUCUUCAUUUUUAUCAAUACCAAACAUCUCUGUAUUGCUAUCUAGCUUGUGUUAUUCAUUUUGAAUAAUGUAAAAUCUUAUAUAACCUCUCAUUUAUAUAAUGGAUUGGUGAUGAUCUGCUCUCAUGGAUGUAGGCCAAAAGGUGAAACAUGUAAAUACUGUGUGUUCUUUAUAUUUAUGUUUUAUUUUGCUAUUUUCAAUUUGAGGUCGAGAUUGUUUUUCAUGUAUGAGCUUAUCAAUAGAUACCCAGUUACACCAAGUAUUCUGUGAGACUAUCUAUACUAUUCCUUGAGUAUAUCUGAGCCAUACCUAAACAUAUAUUAGCCCUCUAUCAAAUCCUACAAGACUCCAUUGAGCUCUCCCUAUUUUUCCUCCCACCUGAACUCACUAUAUCUACUACUUUUGCUCACUAUCUAGGAUAAUUCAGCUAAACUACCUGGCCCAAAUACUAUAAAAAUACACGUAAACCCAAACUUAUCACAAGCUCCCUUCAAAUAUAAGUUUAUUUGUUUGAAUCAAAUUUAAACUGGGUCCAAUGAGAAUCAGCCAAUUGGUACGAAUAAGAUCUUAAUGAAAAUUUGGUGAACACAUAUAUUAAAUUAUAGAGUAUGAUUGCUACAACUAUUUUAUUAUACUUAGAAUAAGAAAAGAUAAAAUAUUGUGUGCAUUAUUUUAAUCCAUAUUCCAAGAUACUCAUUGCCCAAAAGAUACCAAAAUCAGUUUCAAGAUUCCAAUAUGUGAAUAUAUAUAUAUACAUAUUUUUAAAUUUCAUCCGUUAAUGCAUACAUACGCAAGAUUCAAAAUCCCAACUACAUCCAUAUAAUUUUUAUUAAUUUAUGAAAUUAAUAGUACCUAUCGAAAUGAUGAAUGAUACAUGACCCACCAUAUUGUCACUUUUUAUAUUUUCUUUAUACAAACAUUUAUUCAUAUCUCUAAAUACCCACUUUGUCAUAGAGUUCGGUUAUACGGUUCACAGCUUAUACAAAUAUAGUGGUUGAUUUUUUAAUCAAAUUUUAAAUUCAAUUUCCCAAAUUGGUUUAAAUUGAACUUUAAAGAUAAAACAGUUAUUUUAUUUUAUUUUAUUAUCACUGCUACACAAAAAGAUAAAAAAUUGAUACAGUUUAUAAAUUUGGAGUUAAAUCGUUAUUCGUUAAACAAUGUAUAUUUUUUGAUUUUUUAAAACUAGAGAAAGUAAUAACUGGACAAUUAAAAUUAAAAAAAUCCAAACUUACAUAAUGCUUGCACAUUAUACAUUGUUGCAACGGUUGUUCCAUGGUCAAAUUUACAUCUGCAUAAAAAGUAUCAUACUUUAACACAUGUAUAUUAUAUCAUUCAUAUACUGAUCUAAUAAAAUUUUACUGUAUACAUAUUCAAUUUUGAGAUAAAUCAUGAUGUGUGAUAGGGAUUUUAUUAAGAAUAUCUGAGGAUAUGAAAAACAAGGAUUUUUCUAGUUUAGCAAGUCGUGAGAGCAUAUCAGGAAUAAGGUUGUGGUCUCUUUUAUAUGUUUCACUGAGAAAUCAUAUUUUGAAAACCAGUCUUUGAGCCUAAGCAACUUUUACUUUUCUAAAAGCUUGUGGCUUGUAAUUAUGACUUUGCUUUUCAAAAAGUGAUAGGGGUCCUGUCCUAUCCUUUUUCUUGGUUUGCCUCCUAUUUAAGCUCGGCUUCUCUUGGUUCCCAUAUGCCUAAUAAGGAUAUCUUGUUAGGAUUUGAUAUCAUUCACCAGAAUAAAACACCUUCAAAUCAUUCCUAUUGAAAUUCGAGUCAAGUCCAUGUUUAAACCAUACAUAGUAGCUAUGCUUAAAAAUCAUUAAACGUGUAAGGUGUAUUUGACACAUUAUAUUACAAUAUAGUGUAUUGCAUUAACAUGCAUUGCAUUAAGUUGUAAUGCAAUACUAUGUUUGGGUAAUAUGGACUCUAUAUAUAAAAUAAUAUUAUAUUAUAUAAAUGUUAAAAUUAAAUAAUAUUUAUUAAUAUUUAAGAUUUUAUUAUUAAUUUUUUAAAUUAAGUACUUACUAAUUACUUUUAUAUAUUAUUAUUAUAAUACAAAAAUGACCUAAUAAUAACUAUUAUUAAAUAAUAAAUAUUAAAUUGGUAAAGGAAAUUAUGCAAGAAAACGACGAGCUCGAAGAAUUUCUGUUGCUUGUCAUAAGUGUGCCAGAAUGGAGUUGCGAUAGAAACCCAUGUUCUUUAGGAAUGGUGUCUGAUAACAGGGAAGAUAAGAUUCAAUUCAUUAGGGAUGGCUUGAAUAAGGAGUCAUUGGAUGAUAUCCUUUUGUCUCUUGAAACGCAUCCCAGUGGAUAUGUGCAAGGAGCGAUUCUCCGGUUAUGGCCAUUAUUCCAGAAAGAGCAUGCACGAUAUAGUCUCGGGAAUCUGACUAUAAACGACCCUGUUUGCCAGUUUAUAAGAAAACUGGAUGGGAAGCCCAUCCUCGACCUAUAGAGGGCGUUCAAGCCGUUUCUGGACGUAAAACCAGAGGAAGAUGUGAGCCACAGUCGCAACUACGUGUAAAUAUCCUUUUACUUUACUGUUAUUUUAUUUCAUUUCACUGUUGUUUUAUUGUUUGCAUUAUUGUCUUUAAUAAUUUUAUUACUGUUUGUUUUUUCCUUUUUACUAUUUCCUUUUUGACUCGCGAGCCACGUGCUUUACGCGUUAUUUGACACUGACAUGUUACCUCAUUCACAGCUGUGAUCCAUUGUCACCAAGAUUCUUAAAUGUGAUUUAUCUUUUGUCAAGCACUCACAAAUUAUUUUUGAGAAAGUAUCACAAUGGCAGCUACUCCCAAUAGACAAUUCAAGAACAUUUGUGUGCUUUCUGGAUUUACCUAUGGCAAACAUAAAGAGUUCGUGGAGGCAGCCAUAGAUCUUGGUCGAAGCAUAGCAGCGAGAAAAUUACAUUUGGUGUAUGGAGGAGGUAACCGAGGGUUUAUCAAAAAUGGUCUCAGAAGCAGCUUUUAUCAGAGGAAGUCAAGUGUUAGGCAUCAUCCCAAGAGUCCUAAAACCAUUGGGCAGUUCGUCUGACUCAUCAACUGGAGAAGAGUUAGUCGUCUCAGGUAUGCAAGAAAGAAUAACUGAAAUGCUUAAUCAUGCUGAUGCUUUUAUUUUCCUUCCAGGAGAUCUUGCAACACUAGAGGCACUUUAUGACACUAGCAUCUUGGGCCCAUCUGCACAUCCACCAGAAACCCAUCGGUUUGUUAAAUGUCAAUAACUUUUAUGAUGGCUUUAUCGCAUUUCUUAACCAUGCAAUAAAAAACUAUUUCAUUCCUUCUAAUGUGAAAAAACUCUUUAUUUGUGCUCACACUGCUAAUGAGCUACUUGAUAUGUUACAAGCUUAUAAACCGGAGCCAGACCCCUGGACCUUUGUGUUGGAGCGACCAAAUAAUGAUGGUAACAGUAGCCGCAGUAAGAAGUACAAAUUAGAUUUAACUCUCCGCCUGUAAAUAUUUUCUUCUGUGUUGCACCACCCAGGUGAUGUCUUCUAAACUCUACUUCUUUCCUUUAAAACAUUGAGGACAAUGUUUCAUUCUGGUUGGGGGGAGGGAAUAGUCGACAAUUGUGGAAUCUUGGUUAAGUUUUUACUGAUUUUUUGUUGUAGAAACUAACUGUUGCUAACGUUUUGUGUUGAAGAUGGCUGAAUAUGGAGUGUAGUUACUCUAGAAACGCAUUUUUUGUUGUAGAAACUAACUGUUGCUAACGUUUUGUGUUGAAGAUGGCUGAAUAUGGAGUGUAGUUACUCUAGAAACGCAUCUUCAUUGUUUAAAAAAAAAAAAAAAAAACCGUUUUCUUCCUCUUUCUCCUUUAUAAAUAUGCAGUUUCAAAUUUUUUAGUCGAAGAUGGCUGAAUAUGGAGUGUAGUGCCUCUAGAAACGCAUCUUCUUAGUUAAAAAAAAAAAAAAAAAAAAAUUCUUUUUCUAAUUAAUUUUUUCUACAUCAUUUUCACAUUUCUGCAUGCAUAUUUUCCUUUCAUGUUUAGAAUAGGUUGGGGGGUAGAAUGUUGUUUAAAAAAAAAAAAAAAAAAUUUUGUGUUAUUUGUUUUAACAUUGGAUGACAUGAUUAAUUUCAAAUUUUAGUAUUUGUAUUAUCUUUGGUCUUAAGUGAUGUUACGCUAUGUUUGCUACUUUACAUGUUGAUGUCAGAGACAAAUAUGAGUUGCUUGAAGGAAUGAACAUGUCAUAAAUAAGUGCCAAGUGAGUAGUUGAGCCUAUCAUUUUUCUUGGAGAGUAACCAUUUUGCGCAUUCUCUAUACAGCUUAGCAGUUUAUUAUUUUAUACACGAUCUCUAGAUUUCUUUUAAGUUAACCCUUUAAAAAAAAUAUGGUAAAAUUAAAAAAAAAAAGAAAAAAAAAAGAAAAAAGAAAAAAAUGUGUGUUGCUACAUUGGGAGGCCCAUCUAACUAGUAGAUAUGGAUAAUUAUUUAGAGCCCUAAAAGACGAUGGAAAGGCCAUCUUUGAUCCGUUUGAGCCUUUCUAGCCAUCCCUUUUAUUAAAUAUCCAUAGUUACCCCUUUUGAGCCUUUAAAAAAAAAAAAAAAAAGAACAAAAACCUUUUCUUUGUCAACUUAUCAUCUUGACCCACUCCGAUUUGGAGUAUUACCCAAUGUCUUUUAAGUUCCAUCACCUAUUUAUGUUUGAGAAAAUGUAAAUAAUUAUGUUGUUCAGUGAAGUUAUGCCAAAUAAAAGCAAAAAGAAAAAAAAAAACAAAAACAAAAGUUGUUGUUUCAAAAGAAUAAAAAUAACAAUAAUAGGUGAAAUCCACCUUGCAAGUUCCAAAAAAAAAAAAAAAAAUUCUGCAUUUUUCUCAAACAUACACUUUGUUUUCCUUAUUUCCUUUCUUUGUUAGCCAUAUCCCUAGCCUACGUUACGUCCUAAUAAAAGUCCUUCUUGAUUUUAGGGAACUAUAGUUUGAAGUAGAAGCUAGUUAUAUGGGCUAAAAAGAUGUAGUGAUGCAUAAUAAAAAAAAAAAAAAAAGAUAAAUAAAGUGGGUUGACUAACAUUUUAUUUGACUUGAGAUCGUAUUAUUUCUAAGCUGAGGGCAUAUUUAUUUCAUCUUGGUGAGAGCAUGUGAUAUCAUUUCUUUAUUAUUUUCUCUCUCAAUUACCAUUCAUUGGAGUGACUAUGUUUAUUGGGUUUUAAUUUCUUUGUGAGAGUGUCAUUACUUCCAGUGAGAUUUUGGGGUUUGACAUGUCAUUCUUGAAAGUAGCUAUAACAAAGUCUACUGGGCUAAUUCAUGUGGAUGGUUGAUGUGGGUGUGAUGUUGCUUUAGACUGAAGAUAAUGCUUAUACUUUUAUUUGAUUGCUAUCAUUAAUCUGAUUGAAUAAACACGAGUGUUUCCCAUAAAAAAAAAAAAAAAUCAUUUUGAAUUUGAAUUUUGUUUUCGCUUUAUUUGCUAGGGACUAGCAAUAAGCUGGUUGGGGGGUGUAUUGAGUGUUAGAAAAUGCAUAUUUAUAAAGGAGAAAACCGUCAUUUUACAUUUCAAGUCUUAUUAACAACCCUUACUUUUAUGUAUUUAACCUUCUUGUGAUUUAAUUACAUGUCUUUUAUUUUAAUUAAGUAUUUUAUGUAUUUUAGGGGCAUUAUAGUCAUUUCACAAUAAAGGAGAGGUCAGAUGGCAAAACGGACAUCACUUUUGAACUCAGGACGGUCGAAAACCUUAGGAGGAGCAUAAAAGGAAAAAUGGCACUAUUCACAUGUACGGUACUAUUCACGUAUACGGUACUGUCUACGUUACUGUUCACGACACUGUUCACAUAGACGGAUCGAUGACGUGGCAUUGACCGAUGAUGUGGCAUUGACUGAUGAGGUGUCACGAUCCUGUUGGACUAAACUUCUUAUGUACUGUUGAUGGUGACGUGGCAGCAUAUCAGUGGACGAAAAAUCUCGCGUACGGUGCAUGCAUCACACAGGAUUAUUUUCAACCAAACCGCGUUACUGUUCAUCCGGGUCAAACCGUGUUACUGUUCAUCCGCGUGGUCAAACCGUGGACUGUUGACUGAUGACGUGGCGCAAUCCUGAGCGUCCAAACUGUUUUUAAUCCGAUGGCCAUGAUUUACUCCAUGUAUCUAUAAAAAGGGGGCCUCCCCCCCCUAAUUUGAUAUCUCUGAAUCCAUUUUUGGGAUCCAUUUUCUGUAAUUCCCUCUCCAUCUUGUAUUUUCUUUGUAUUUUAAUAAAUUCCCAUUUUGCCCCUAGUUCAAUUAUGAGUAGCUAAUUUCUUUUCAAGCUUGGGUUGAAGGUGAAGUCUCAACAUGUGUCAUGGGCUUUAUUUGGUAAAUUUAUUUUCUUUUCCCCUCUAGUUUUUGUGGAUGAUUUGACUUAUCGUCGACAAAUAAUACUGAUCUUGUCUAGAUACCGCCUUGGUUACACCGGCUCUCUAGUAUAAGGUUAUUAUUAUUUGGCACGAUAAGCCCUUAGCACCAUAUUGAUUAGAGCGUGGUUCAUGAUGUGUGGAUUCCCCCAUCAUGAUUUAAUUGGCAUUAAUACGGAUUAUUUAGCCCAUGAUGCAUGUUGAUACGGAUCCAGAUACCCAAGUACGUCAUUUCAAUAGAUUUCGCUUCAACUUAUUCUCGCCAUUGCAAUUCCAAUUUUAGAAUUUAUUAUCGCAAUUUCAAUUCCAAUUUUAGGAUAAUUUAAAUCACUUCCACCACAAUUCCAACCACCCAUUUUGCAAAAUUAAUUCUAUACACAAUUAAAAUCCACCUCCUCGUGGGAUCGACACUCGUCACCAUUGAUCUACACUACAAUAGAUUCGUGCGCUUGCGAGUUCAUUAAAAUUUGCACAACAGACAAAUAAUAAUAAUUUUGUCUAGAUACCGCUUUGGUUUCACCGGCUCCCUAAUACAAGGUUAUUAUUAUUUGGCACGAUAAGCCCUUAGCACCAUAUUGAUUAGAGUGUGGUUCAUGAGGUGUGGAUUCCCCCCUCAUGAUUUAAUUGACAUUAAUAAGGAAUAUUUAGCCCAUGGUGCAUGUUGAUAUGGAUCCAGAUACCCAAGUGUUUCAUUUCAAUAGAUUUAUCUUCAAUUUAUUCUCGCCAUUUUAAUUUAAGUUUUAGAAUAUUCCAAAUCAAUUUCACCAGAAAUCCAACCACCCAUUUACAAAAUUAAUUCUACACACAAUUAAAAUCCACCUCUUAGUGAGAUCGACACUUGUCACCAUUAGUCUAUUGUACAAUAGAUUCGUGCGCUUGCGAGUUCAAUAAAAUUUGCACAACAGUAAUGUCUAUGCAUAAUGAUCAUAACAGAAAAGAGAAUUCAUCUAUCACAUUUAUCAUUCCAACCCUCUCAAAAUACUAACUGAAGGAAAGGAGGAGACAAAUUUAACAAAAGCAAACCAAGGGGGAAAACUAGAGGAAAGCAAAACAGAUGACAUGCAUUUUUAAAACAUUUGGAUUCAUUCUCUUAACAAGUUAUCUAACACUUAAUACAUUUAGUACCUAUAGAAGUUAGACGAUGGCAAGAGCUUAGACCAUAAUAGCAAUUGAUGAAAUUUCAUUACGUAAAAUACCACUCAGUUUUGGUAAGACUGUUAUGUGUGCUCAAUAUAAGUCAUUUUGAUAUCAGUACACUAAGAUUUUUUUUCUUGAUAUGGCUGUUCAUGUAUAGAGAAGAUACCCCACUUUCUCUAAUAUCAAUGUUUCAAGCAUUUUCUUUCCUCAUAAGAUACCAUUUCGGAUAGUGUACAAUGCAAAGUAAAGAAUCCCAAAAAGGGCAGUUCACAUACCAUGUUACUUUCAAAAGAUGCUGUACAACAUAGACCCUCAUAAGGGACGCCAGCAGCCUGGGCUUGCAACCUUGUCUGAAGAUGAAGGCAGGAAAUCUAUUAGCUUUGUAGCUUCAUCAUGAAAUCUCAAAAGAUGAAGCAAUGUGAAGACUAGGAUUUCUGAAAAAAACUGGAGAAGAGAUAGAGGAUCCAUGCAACAAGCAUCACUCAAAUUUAGAAAAUAAUUGGGUGACUUUAGCCCACGUUUAAAAUAUUUAUAAUAAUUAGUAAAAGAAUAGUGAAAAGUAGCUGAAUAAAGAAAAUUUAAUUUUUCCAUCUUUUUGCUUCCUUUUCUUUCAUUCUCCGAAAGAAUCAUAGCUUCUCAAGGACUGAGAAUAAUGACACAACAUUUGGAUUUUAUUCUUGAGAUAAAGAGAAACAAUAAUUAACAUCUAUCCACAAUACCAUUCUCAAAAGUAGAAAAAAUAAUAAUAAUACUAACAAUAAUAAAAAAUAAUGAAAAUGACAAUUAAAGGGAAGAAAAUUUUUGAUAUAACAGACAAAAUUAGCAAUGAAUAAGUUAAAUAAAGAAAAAAUGAAAUGAAAAUUUAGGUGGAGUAGAGUCAUUAUAAAACCUUAGUGACAUCGAGAGGAUUAAUAAUAACGGCAGAAACAAUAGCAGCGCCGUUAGCAGAGAAAGCCCUUUCUGCAAACCCCAAACUGAAAUCUUUUAUGGCUUCUGAAUGUCGUAAAGCUUCCUCUUUAGACGAAGUCUCUGAUGAUACUGAGAUAGACAAAACGCUUCCCUCCAAAUCAACCCUAGUCGCCGCCAACCUGAAACGGAAUUAAGAAGCGGCAGCGAGCUGACUGAGGAGAUCGAAAAUACGCUUCUGAAAAGUAAAAUAAAUUGAACAAAUCUUGAAAAUUUGAACAAACACCCAUAAAUUUGAACAAUUUUUACAAAACAAGAAUCAUCAAAACCUAACUCUAGCAAAAAUUGAAAAUUAAAAAACAAAACAAACAAGAACAUCGAAAUCACACAAGCUAACCCUGAAUAGCGCGAACAAAUCAAAGCUUGAAAUUAUGAAAACACAAUUGAAAUCAUGGCAUAAUGGAUUCACAUAAGCGACGAGAAACAACAUGCAAAUGAGAAAUUGGACAUGAGGAGUGGCUAAGAGGCCGUUGUUGAAGAAGUGCUUGCUGUACCAGUGCUUCUUGCUGCUGCUGAUGCUGCUUCAACCUCUAGUACUGCAUUUUCCUUCAGAAUCGAAGGAUUUGUAAACUGUUUGUCGAAGGAUUUGUAAACUGUUUGGUUCCCAAGAAAAUUUCGUUAUGGUUUCUCGAGAAAAUGAAAUAAAAGAAAUAAACAAAGAAAACGAGAGACGAGAGAAGCAACGUUUUAUUUUCUAAGUGUGUAUUCGUUUAAUACUUAGGGAAAAAAAAAAGGAAGAAAUAAAGUUUAAAGUACCCAAAACGGUACAGUUUUGCUAGCAUUUUUUCUUAAUUAUUAAAAACCACCUUUUGUUUUUUAAAUAAAAUAAUAUAUAAAAUUUGAGUCAAAUAUAGUCAAAGUAAUUUUUCUAUCAUAAUUUCUUGAUAGAUUAAAUUUCUAUCACGAUUCUAUCAUAAGUUCGUGAUAAAUGAUAAUCAUAUCAUAAAGUCAUCAUAUAUUCAUGAUAGAAAAUAUUUCUAUCACAAGACCAUCAUUAAUUAAUGAUAGAUUGAAAAUUAUGUCAUAAGUUUAUCAUAAUUUUAUGAUAUACCUAGAAUCUGUCAUAAGUUGUUUGUCAUCUAUUAGCAAUUUUCUUGUAGUAUUCAAAAUGAAUAACUUUAUUCUACCAUCUCUCAAAUAAUAAAAACAUCAACAGCACAUCAUCGUCAUCAAUAAUAAUAAUAAUAAUAAUAAUAAUAAUAAUAACAACAACAACAACAACAACAAUAAUAAUAAUUUAACUUUGUAGGAUGGAGCUCUCGCAAAUCUUCAAGACACAAAAUGUGCUUGGCCCCGUUGUUGUUAUUAUAAUUUCAAAAUGACUUGAAUUAUAUAAAAUUUGGGAAUAAGACAUAGCAAAAUUGAUGGUACAUAUGUUGCAAUAUACUUGUUCAUGUAGCGACACAUUAAAGUAAAGCAAAACAAUAUACUUGUUCACUCAUUAUGUAGAUUUUCAAUAGAAGUAAUGCAAAUUUCACAAGGGCAAUGGCCUUAUUUCGAAUGUUGCACUUGUGGAAUGACAUGAACCUUCGAUACGUCACAAAUGUAUCAUGAAAGUGUGAUAAAUUUGUGACAUAUAUAUAUAUGUUCAGAGUUUAUAGCAUAUUCAUGACUUAUAAUUUAACUAACAUAAAUAAAUGAUAGAUAUAAGUGAUGCUCAAGUUUUGUGGAUUUAUAAUAUCUUAAAAUGAUGACUAUUUAAACGACAAGUGUUGAAUAAACCCCUCUCUCGCCGCAACCUAAAAUCAAUGAACUUUGAGCCAUUCUCAACAACAUUGUGUAGAACCCUAGCCCUAACCCUCACUUCCACCACCGAUAAAGCUAAGAAAGUUUUCCGUAUAUCAGAACCAUGGCGAAUUGCCUUCAGCUCGUAGGACCCAUAAUAAAUCUUGUAGUCCCUCGCUUUCACUUUGCUAAUUUUUUGUAUUAUUCCAUCUCUUUCACUUUAAUAACCCAAAAUCUUUCUCUGUUUCAAUUGAAAGAAGACCCUAGCUUAAAUUAAGUUGAAAUUUACGUAUCAAAGCUCUCGCUCAGCUUCCCUCCUUCAAUUGAAACAAAACGAAGCCAUAAGACCCCAAUAUGCCACGCCCUUUUGUCUCAGGCCAACAUUCAUUUAAACCCUACCUUUUGGUUCAAUGCCAUUUAAUGCGAUUGCAGAUGCCGUUUCAACUCAUUAUUUAGUUAACGCCAUUCAGUUCUUUGCGGUAAGCCUUAACCCUAAUAACUAAUCAACUGUGGUAGCACGUUGCUGACUGGGGUGGGAAUACAUUAAUUGAAUAUAUGAAUUGGGUGAUGUCAGUGAUUCAUCCCCCUAUUUGCCGUGAAUUGAGAUUUGUGUAUAAUGUUUGUAAGAUUGUUAAAAAUUUCAUGUUCCAGUCGAAUUUCUUGCUUGUGGAAGAUAAAACAAAAGUUUAAUCUAUAUAUAUAUAUAUAUAUAUAUAUAUAUAUAUUAUCUUCUUUAUAGUCAGGCUCUGGCUUUGCUGCUAUGCUUAGAGCAGUUCAUGGUUUCAAGAUUAAAUUAGGUUUAUUUGACGACAUCGAUAUCUUAUCUAGCUCUGCUUGAAAAUGAAAAUGUUUUACUAGCAAUCAUAGACUUUGUUUAUUCAGUUGAUAUUUUAAUUAUACGUAUAAGAAUGAAGGUUUAUUUGGGAAAAAAAGAAAUAAAGAAAUAGGCUCUGUUGAAGCUAAUUAAUACUUCAUUCUUUCUAUACGUGCGACCUGUGGUGGAAACAUGAUAUGAGAAUGUGUUACUGGUGAGGUUGCUGCUUGAGAUGAGAAUGAUGAGAAUGCCUUCUAUUCGGAAAUCCUUGGUAGGUAUUAUAUAAUUAUAUUUGAUGGAAUAUUAAAUAGCUAAAGAACCUGUGAUAAUGUCUUUGUUCAAUGGUUACUGUAGUAGUGUUUGUUGGUCUUUUUCUGGUUGGCGUUUGGAUGUUAAUGUCAUCAUCAGUUGUACUGGUGUGGGAUCCAGGAUGUUGUCCUCUUAAGAGCCUAUAAGCAAAGUGAAACAGAGAGGAUCUGAGAUUUUUCUGGGCCUUUCGUAGAAAAUCAAGGUGAUGAAUGACAGGAUUCAACAAAUGGGGAUGGGGAUGAUGUUCCUGUUGAAAAGUUAGAGAAUAGAGUGGAGGAUAAUCACGAAGAGAUGAAUAUGUAUGAGGGUGAUGGUGAGACGAGUGAAUCUAAGAAUAUGGUUAAUCAAAACCAGGAAGAGAAUUUAGUGAAGGAGAGUUUUGAUGAGAAUACUGAGUCUGAAGAGGAAUCUAAGGCGGUGUCUAAAAAUUACAAUGUUAGAAAAAGGGAAGAUAAGGAAUCUAAAAGUGAAGGUGGAGAUUCAAAUUCAGAAGCUGGAGAAACAGAAGGCGGCGAAUUGAAUAAAAUUGAGCAAAUUGAAUCAGAGAAUAGCUUGGAUGAAAAUAAAUGGAUGAGGCUAAUCAGAUUGAAAAGGAGAAGGAUUCUCAAGAUCAAGAUAAUGACACUGAGAGCCGUUGAAAGGAUCAGGCUUCAACUGAGAUUUUUCCUUUUGGUGACUAGUCAGAAAUUCUGAAGGAAACUAAUGCUCAGAAUGGGGCUUGCUCAACUCAACCUAUUGAGUCAUAGAAUCAGAAAAUAUCACAACAAUCUUCUAUAUCUAAGGACCAGUAUGGUCAUCGUUGGAAAGUGUGUAAUGCCACUGCUAGGCCAGAUUGCAUCCCUUACCUGGACAAUUUGCAAGCAAUUAGAAUGCUUUCCAGCACAAAAGCAUUAUGAACAUCGAGAGAGGUAUUGCCCUGAAGAAACUUGUACCUGUAUUGCUCCUUUACCGGAAGGAUACAAACACUCAAUUAAGUGGCCCCAAAGCAGGGAUAGGGUAUGAUCUUAUAUUAUGCAUUAUAAAAUAUAUACUUGACUACUUUUAAUUCACUUGGGCUAAGAUUUGUUCUCAUGCUGUGUGGGAUAGAUUUGGUAUUAUAAUUUUCCCCACACAAAGCUUGCAGAAGUUAAGGGUUAGCAAAAUGGGGUUAAAGUUACUGGUGAAUACCACAUUUUUCCAGGUGGCAGAAUUGAAUUUGAGAAUGGUGCUCUUCAUUACAUUGACUUCAUUCUGAAGGUGAGCAUUUUUCAUUUAUCAUUUUAUGUCUGUUGUUAGCUUCAAUUAAUAUGUGGCUUAUUCUUUUCUUUGUAUGAACCAUGGGCGGUCCAUUUCAUUUUAUAAGCUAUUUCUUGGGUUUUAGCAAGACAAAUAAUAAGAUUUGUGCUGUUUUUGUUUUAUGCGUCUAUAUAAAUUGUGUGCGCGCAUAUCAUACUAGGGGAGUAUUGCUUUAAUGCUAUAUACAGUCAAGGACACACGGUGGGUCACAUUCUGACUCGUUUCAAUGCUUCUUUUAUAAAUAUUUACUUGUAUAUAUUUUGUAGUACUUUUAGAGAUGUACUCUGCACUGGAUUUUUUAAGUGCUUUUAAUGUAGCCUACUGUCUUUGUCUUUAUCUCUCUUUUUGUGAAACUGAAAGGUUCAUAUAAUUUUUUAGAAACCAGUAAUCUUACAAAAAAUUUUAACCUGUUAAUUAAUGCGGUUUCAUUAUCUUGAAAAAUUUUCAAGCGUGCUUGCUUUUUUCUUUUCUUUCUUUUGAAAUAAUUGUUGAUAUUCCCCUUCUCUUCUAUCAAGUUUCUGAUUCUCUAAAGCCCACAUUAUUUUUGUCUUUCUUUAUACAGGCCUUUAUCAUUUAUUGGCCAGCACCCUUUCCUCGGUUUUAUAUAAGAAUGUAAUUUCGCCGGAAUCUGCCAAAAACCGUGUACUAUUGUCAACAACAAAUCAGAAUUCCAUCUCCACCUCCUGACAAACCAUGCGUCACCACCUGCUUAGGAAUCCGAAGCCUUUGCUGGUGUUGAUAGUAUGUUCUCUCUCUAUCUCUGUUUUUUCCUCAGUUGAGCAUUUAAAACAACAUCAUACUCAUCAUAUACCCUGUUUGGAUUCCUUGAAAUAAUAUUUUUUUUAAUUUUUAUUGUUAUUUUGAAUUGUUUUCUACAUAUUUUGAAUCAGAGUUGUUUGAGUAAAAUUUAAAUAUCAAUAUUACCGAUACGUGCCUAAUCUCAACUUCUUACCUUAAUAGCUUACUCACCUGUGCUUUUUUUUUCUCCCCCCUUUUAAGAAUUCAAAAGCUAUAUUAUGGAUUUUUGUUUUUGUUGUUUAUUGUCAUGAAGUAGGAGUGGGCAGAAAAUUGAAGAACUGUAUCAGAUUCCGUUUGAUAUUUGAUUCGGUUGUGCAAUAACCUAAAUUGGACAGUUUCAUUUCGGUUGGGAUGAAUGAAAACCGAAACCGAACCAAUAAUAAAAUUAACAAGCAAACCAAAUGAAAGUCCCAAAACAGUAACAAAACAAACACGUUGUGGUUUCUUAUCAAAUUUCACAGCACGACAUGGUCAUUCUCUUUGGUAAAAAAAUAGAAAAAAGAAUAAUGGGUCUCGAAAAUUUUUUAGAGCAUUUCUGUCGCUUACAUUUUUUUUCCAUCGAUUAAUGUUAGUUGUAGGUGAAUGAUUGUUGCAAAUGCAUGUUAGCUUGUGAUUGAUUGAAAAUGGCUUGUGAUUUGUUAUGCUGCCGUGUGACAGAUUGAAAAUGGCUCUGAAAUUUUUUUAUUUGUUUAAGGUAUUACUGCUGAUUAUUGAACAGAGAUUCAUGCUAGAUUUUGUUAAAUUGAAGAUGAGAUUUUUUUUAGGAGAUCUGCAAAACCUUCUCUACUAUAGAUUUGGCUUCUAGCAUACCUGGUUGGCUGGAAAUAAUUGUUUAUACAGUCAUUGCUGCCUAUAUUAAUCAGGAAUAUUGAUUAGCAAUGUACUGGGUUAGAGAUUGGUAUAAUUUUGGAAAAUUAGUUGUAGAUGCAACUAGGGGUGGCAAUAUGGGUCAGGAUUUGUUUAUUCGAUUCGAUUUGAUGCGAAUUAAAUGGGUUUGGGUUUGAAAAAAUUGAUUCGUUUAAUAAAUGGGUGAAUUCGAUUUGAUUCGCUAAUUAAACGAAUCGAAUGCGGGUUUGAAGAUUUUGAUUCGUUUAUUCGUUUAGGAUUCGUUUAAUAAACGGGUCAUAAACGAAUCGAAUAUAGGUCGAUUCGUUUAAAAUUUAUUUAUUAUUUGUUUAAUUAAAUUACUUUUUAUCCUUAAAUUUAUUUAAAAACUUUUUAAAAUAUCAAGGUUAAUAUUGUAAUUUUAAGCAUAACUCAUAAAGCCAAAAGAUCAACCCUAAUUUUACACUUCAUUUCCAUCUCCAAAUCCUUUUCUUUUUCUUUUUAAUUUUUGCAUCCAGCAAGUGCUACGUUUUGCCACUGCUCCAAAUCCUUGGAUUUGUGUGAGUGUGAUAAGUAAAAUUUUAUCUUGUUUAAUUAUUAUUUCCUUUAAAAUAUUACAAAUUUACUAUAUAUUUGAUAUUUUUGAAAUUUUACAAUGAUUAUUAUCAAUAUUGCAGUAUGUUAGAUUGUUAAUAACAUUUUAUUUACUUUUUGGUGUAGGAUUUUGUUUUCAAGGUGAAAAAGACAAAUGAAGAGAAUUAAAGAAAUUACCUUACUUUAUAAUUUGAAUUUGAAUUAUUAUUAUUUGUAUUAUUAGGGAUUUAUAAUUUGGUAUUUAGAUGACUGCAUAAUAUGGUUUGAGUUAUUUGUAUUUUGUUGUGGGAUGUUAAACUUGUGAUUUUUUUAUAUUUUAUUUUGCUUAAUUUUAUUUAUUAAUUAUAUUUUUCUAAACGAAUUGUAAACGAAUCCUGAUUCGGUUCGAUUCGUUAAGGAUAAACGAAUAAUAAACAAAUCCAGACUCGAUUCGAUUCGAUUCGUUUAUCAAUUAUUUUAAACGAAUUAAACGAAUCGAACCGAAUAUUCGUUUAAUAAACGAAUCGAAUCCGAAUCCUGAAAUUUCAAUUCGUUUAAUAAACGAAUCGAAUCCAAAUCCUCAUAAUUUUGACCCAAUUAGUUUACGAUUCGAUUCGUUUAUUCGUUUUGCCACCCCUAGAUGCAACCUGAUUAUGGUCUCAAAUAGUGUGAUCUGUCAAUUUUGUUUGCUCUGGCCUAAUAACCUUGAAUAUGAGCUAUGCCACUAUACAAAGUCUGACCUAAUCACACUUGUUAGCCAAUGUCCAAAAUUGCAGUGUCUUUAGAUAAGUCCUGUCUUUUUUGUUUGAGUUAUAAAUGAAAAUUGCAGUGUCUUUGGAAAAAUCACGCUGAAUGUUCAAGUUAUUGACGAGAGGAGACCCCCAGAUUCAAGGGCGGAGCUCCCUGUUAAGAAGCUUUACAUAUAUAGGAUUGUCGCCUGGCAGAGGAUUGAUAUGCCUGGUUUUGUUGUUUGGAAAUAUGGAUGAAGAUUUUGCAUUGAGGCUUUUUUGAUAGAUCAUUUGGCAAAUCAAGCUCCAUGUAUCUAUCUUCAGACUCUUGGAUAUUUAUAAAGCAGGUGCAUGCUCCAUAUGUUACUUAAUGUAUCACGAUUAUUUUUCUAUUGCUUAAUAUAUUUGCAGUCCUUGAUGAAGUUGAGGACAACUUAUGGAGGGUAUACAGAGGCUCAAGAGCUCGAUCGCCAUUCAUUUUACACUGGGCUGGGCUAUAGCAUACCAACUAGUGAUUAAUAAAGAGAAGGUAUGAAGGUCAUGUUGCUGGUGGUAGUAUCAAUCAGAAUUGUUAUUUUACUUAGUCAUACUUACCAUGUAUACUAAUCGUAGGCUUUUUUCAUUUUCAUGCAUUCGCAUCAUCUUCUGGUUAAGCUACAGAUGGUUGAUUUGUGUACUCAUUUGUAUCACUUGUAGCUCUUGAGGAAUAAAAUUUAAAAAUUAUGUUGCAUCUCUUGUACUAAAUAGUAAUUUUUGUUGGCUUUAUGUAUGGGAAAUGGUUUGUUGUCUUAUUUCUUUGAUGUGUAUGGUGUUACAUUGUCUAAAGUUAAGAAGUAUUUCUAUCACUUGUGUAAAAAACAACCUACUUUUUUCAUUCUUCUUAUAUUGAAUAAAAGAGGGACACCAAGAUUGAACGAAAUUUGAUUCAGAAAGCAUAGCAAUUAGGCCAGUGCAAAACAGCUUCCUUCUGAUUCUUUGAUAUUUGACUUAAAUCUUUUGUUUAUUUCAUUUAUCAAAGUCAUUUUGGAAAGUAACGGGGGUGAUUUGAUAUUUUAAUUGCAUUCACAUCCCUUGGCACCAAAACAAACAUGCUGGUACUAACCAAUAAUUUUUUAUUUUCAGUAUACAAAUUAUUUUUUUCUAAAUUAGGGGUAUUAAGAAAAGGUAUAUUAGCACCAGGGGAGGUAUUUGAGAAUACACAAAUAUAAUCUAUUAAACUAAGGUGGCAUUUGUUUUUUAAUUUAAUGACUUAAAGUGACUUAAUUAAUUAAGUUAAUUAGAGGUGUUUGUUUUAUAACUUAAUGAGAUUUUUUAGAUAAUUUAGACUUAAUAAAAUAAGUUAAUUUUUUUUGGCUUUUUUACUUAAUAGAGACAUUUGAAUUAAGUCAAUAACUUUCUAAUGUCAAAAAUAUCCUUGUUUUUAAUUUAUUCUUCAUGCCUAUUCCAAAAUUCACCCAUAGACAUUUAACUCCACAUAAUAAUCUCAUCAUUAUUUUUUUUAGCCGUCAUGAAAUCCCUCCUCACUUGAUAUCAACUCCUCGAGUAUUGAAGAUCAAAAUUACAUGCGAGAAUUUUGAGAUGAAAUGGCAAAUCAACUGUUUCAAGCAUUUUAUUAGUUUUUUUUUCUUAUAUUAUAUACGAUAAAAUUUGAAAUUUAUGAUAUUUUAUAUAUUAAAAUUUCAAAAUCAAUUAUGUAUUCACUUGAAUAUAAUUUUACUUAUAAACGUUAAAAUAUUGUGGUAUUUAAUAUAUUAUUUAUUUUGACAUUCAAAUUUAGUAAGGAUACAAAUGUAAAAGUACAUAUUUCAGUUUUUUAAGUUGAAAAAAACAUAAUUAUAUAAUUAUUUUUCAAGAUUCAAACGAAAAAACAAACAUAUUAUUCUGAUUCAGACAUUCAGAUCUAUUCAGAAUUCAGACUAAUUCAGGUCUAUUCAGAUUUUAAACAAAAAAUCAAACACCACCUAAGAAUAUGCCAAACUUCAGGGGAGGUUUCUGAUAAAUCUCUUUUUCUUUUUCCUCCAUUCACCAUAGGUUCAAUUUAGAAACUGUUGACCAAACGGAAGGUUUAGGUUGGUAAACGCACUAAGUGCCUGUUUGGUAUGGCUUAUUCAAGAGCCAUAAAUGCUUAUUUAAUCGCAUAAGCACUUUUUUAAAUUUUUAUGGUGUUUGGUUAUUUUUUUUAGUAGAGUUUUUUAGCUUAAAUAAGCUAAUUUACCUCUACUAGUAAAAGCCCAAAAUUUAAGCUUUUGGGAGUAGAGGUUAGAGAGCUUUUAAAAAAAUAUAUAUAAUAUAAAAAAAUAUCACACAUUUUAAUGGUUCAAAAGUGUUUUUUUUAUUGACAACCAAACACCUAAUGACUUUUUAUCCAAAAGCUCUAUGGUAUAAGCUCUACUGCUAUAAACUCUACUGUUAUAAGCUCUAUUUAAUAAGCUGUACAAACGGAGCCUAAGUGUUAAUGUCAACAACCCAAGGGGCUUCAUGGUCCUCUGGGCCGAAAUAAUUAUUAAUUCUCCUCUAGUGAAAAUCUUCAUCUUGGGACAAAUAAUUACAAAUUGACAUUAUAGCUGUGGAAAUUUGGAGGUGUAAUUACCGGAAAUUACAUCUAUUUCAAUUUGCUAAAAGUAAUGGUAUCAUUUCUUGUAUGGAAAAUGGAUGAUUAGAUUUUCUUUUUUGUUAUCCGACGAAGGAUAUUCAGUUGUUCUUUUUUGUUCAUAGGCAAGAGCAUGAGCAUAUGCAUAUUUAAUAUAUGCUUCUUGCAUUUUCUAAUUAAGUGCUCUCUUUCCUUGCCUUCUUAGUUUUGAAAGAAAGUUGUGAAGCAAAGCAAACCCAGUGAAAUACACAGAGCAACAGAACCAUCAGAGGAAAAACUAAAUAACAGAACUACAAUUGAACCAAACAAAAUCAAUAAACCGAGGCAACAGAUGCCCUGAAUCAGGCAUCCCUUUUUCUCCAAAGAAAAUAUUUUGCAUGGGUGGGAACCUAGUAAUUGUUGGGGAAAAAUUAGGUUUUUAAAUUUUUAUAAAACCUUUUGAAGAUCGCUCUCAUAUAAUAUAUAAGAAUUUGUAUUCUAGAAAUCGUACCUUGAAAAUUUGAGUUUGCUUUUUCCGCUGAAGUGAUUUAGGCUCCUAGAUCACGAUCCGCCACCACCACUCCUGUUAGAUCACGAUCCGUCACCACCACGCUUGUUAGAUCACGAACUGUCUCCAAUGAUUUUCCAGAUUAUGACUCAGGUUCGAUCUGCACUUGACGUGUGGGCGCCUUUAUCACUACCAAAGCAACUAGCACGAUAAAAUUUUCUCUCAACAAUAGAGAGAAAAAUCUUAUUCUCCGAUUUGUAUAAAGUGGCUUCUCUUAUUCUUUAGAGAAAAUAGCCUUUUAUAUCACCCUUUAGUGAAAACCUUAGGCUCCAAAUAAUGCCCUAAAUAAAUCACGUUACUUUCUUUUUCAAUAGGGGACCCACCUUGUAAAAUACAUAAGGCCCCUUAUACAAAAGCUAAUUAAAUGGAGCCUCCCACUAAAUGAUAUAUUUAGGCUUUUGACCCAAAUAGCUAGUUAUCUUACUUAUUAGUCCAGUAGUGGUGCAGUCAAUUAAAUGAGCUAACCCGGGGAUCAUUUGGGAACAUACAAUAGUGGCUACAAUAAUUAGGCCUGUAAUUAAACUAGCCCAAAUAUUUAAUUCCAAAUCUACUCCACUAAAAGAUUGGAACUGACUUCCAUAAUUGUAUGCUCGAAUAAUAAUUCGUCCCAAGCCACAUUGAUUUCUUUACUGCACAAUCCUUUGUACCACAUCGUUAAUUAAAUUGAUAUCUCAACUGUCCAAUCAAUUUAAUAACAUCUUAUUCCUUGAUCCUUACUGGUUUUCUAAUGAUCAUUUCAACAUACUAAAUAUGUUGACACACUCUGGCCAGAGAAUUCUAUGAUCAAGUGCCGAAAACCCAUCAAGAGAUGUAGAAACUGUUGACCAAACGGAAGGUUUAGGUUGGUAAACGCACUAAGUGCCUGUUUGGUAUGGCUUAUUCAAGAGCCAUAAAUGCUUAUUUAAUCGCAUAAGCACUUUUUUUAAAUUUUUAUGGUGUUUGGUUAUUUUUUUAGUAGAGUUUUUUAGCUUAAAUAAGCUAAUUUACCUCUACUAGUAAAAGCCCAAAAUUUAAGCUUUUGGGAGUAGAGGUUAGAGCUUUUAAAAAAUAUAUAUAAUAUAAAAAUAUCACACAUUUUUAAUGGUUCAAAAGUGUUUUUUUUAUUGACAACCAAACACCUAAUGACUUUAUCCAAAAGCUCUAUUGGUAUAAGCUCUACUGCUAUAAACUCUACUGUUAUAAGCUCUAUUUAAUAAGCUGUACCAAACGGAGCCUAAGUGUUAAUGUCAACAACCCAAGGGGCUUCAUGGUCCUCUGGGCCGAAAUAAUUAUUAAUCUCCUCUAGUGAAAAUCUUCAUCUUGGGACAAAUAAUUACAAAUUGACAUUAUAGCUGUGGAAAUUUGGAGGUGUAAUUACCGGAAAUUACAUCUAUUUCAAUUUGCUAAAAGUAAUGGUAUCAUUUCUUGUAUGGAAAAUGGAUGAUUAGAUUUUCUUUUUUGUUAUCCGACGAAGGAUAUUCAGUUGUUCUUUAUUUGUUCAUAGGCAAGAGCAUGAGCAUAUGCAUAUUUAAUAUAUGCUUCUUGCAUUUUCUAAUUAAGUGCUCUCUUUCCUUGCCUUCUUAGUUUUGAAAGAAAGUUGUGAAGCAAAGCAAACCCAGUGAAAUACACAGAGCAACAGAACCAUCAGAGGAAAAACUAAAUAACAGAACUACAAUUGAACCAAACAAAAUCAAAUAAACCGAGGCAACAGAUGCCCUGAAUCAGGCAUCCCUUUUUCUCCCAAAGAAAAUAUGUUUGCAUGGGUGGGAACCUAGUAAUUGUUGGGAAAAAUUAGGUUUUUAAAUUUUUAUAAAACCUUUUGAAGAUCGCUCUCAUAUAAUAUAUAAGAAUUUGUAUUCUAGAAAAUCGUACCUUGAAAAUUUGAGUUUGCUUUUCCGCUGAAGUGAUUUAGGCUCCUAGAUCACGAUCCGCCCACCACUCCUGUUAGAUCACGAUCCGUCACCACCACGCUUGUUAGAUCACGAACUGUCUCCAAUGAUUUUCCAGAUUAUGACUCAGGUUCGAUCUGCACUUGACGUGUGGGCGCCUUUAUCACUACCAAAGCAACUAGCACGAUAAAAUUUUUCUCUCAACAAUAGAGAGAAAAAUCUUAUUCUCCGAUUUGUAUAAAGUGGCUUCUCUUAUUCUUUAGAGAAAAUAAGCCUUUUAUAUCACCCUUUAGUGAAAACCUUAGGCUCCAAAUAAUGCCCUAAAUAAAACUCACGUUACUUUCUUUUUCAAUAGGGGACCCACCUUGUAAAAUAACAUAAGGCCCCUUAUACAAAAGCUAAUUAAAUGGAGCCUCCCACUAAAUGAUAUAUUUAGGCUUUUGACCCAAAUAGCUAGUUAUCUUACUUAUUAGUCCAGUAGUGGUGCAGUCAAUUAAAUGAGCUAACCCGGGGAUCAUUUGGGAACAUACAAUAGUGGCUACAAUAAUUAGGCCUGUAAUUAAACUAGCCCAAAUAUUUAAUUCCAAAUCUACUCCACUAAAAGAUUGGAACUGACUUCCAUAAUUGUAUGCUCGAAUAAUAAUUCGUCCCAAGCCACAUUGAUUUCUUUACUGCACAAUCCUUUGUACCACACGUUAAUUAAAUUGAUAUCUCAACUGUCCAAUCAAUUUAAUAACAUCUUAUUCCUUGAUCCUUACUGGUUUUCUCUAAUGAUCAUUUUCAACAUACUAAAUAUGUUGACACACUCUGGCCAGAGAAUUCUAUGAUCAAGUGCCGAAAACCCAUCAAGAGAUGUGUUGUACAAAUUCUAUAUUGUUAAUCCAUAACUCCAAUACUCAUAAUUGCUCCCACCAAGAUACCGGGUACUCUGACCACAAUGAUGUGUCGUGCCCAUUGGUAACUCAAAUGGAAUACAAUUACAAUCAUGAAAUCAUAAUUAACUCAAGAUUAAGAUUACAGUAAAAUCAACGCCUAUGAGAUUUAAUAAGUCUGACAGUUAUUACAAAGUUAAUUAAAUCUCAUAUGUGAUCCUGUUCAAUGUAGUCGUACUACAUCAAUAAAUUCAUACAUGAUUAAGACAAAUCAUUCAAUGAAUUUAUUACAGUCUAUACCUAAAUAAAGUGCCCAACUUUAUUUAUCAACUGCGAACUAAAUUUAUUUAAUCAUAAGAUAACUUGUAUUUAUGUCUUCUGUGAAUCCACAUGGUGAUCACAUAAAUACAUAUAAUAUGAUUAAAUGAACUUUUAAUACAAGUAUUAAUGCAAUUAAGAUAUUUGAAUAAAAUACCUCAUUUAUUUAUUAAUCAGAAAAAUUGUUUAUUACAAUUAAAUAAACACAUAUGCUUUAAAAGAGCAUAUUUUCCAACAAUCUCCCACUAGCUCUCAAAGCAUAUCUAGCAUAUUGCUCAUGCUCUAGGGCUCUAAGUGCAGGUUAUAAAGGUUUCCCACUAAUGGCCAUUGUAAUAAGAUCUGCCAUUUAGCAUCUAAUGCCAUUUGGGGUACUGUCAAGUGACCCUUCUGUCCACAUUUGUAACACUUGCCUUUUGGCUUGCCACUUCUUUUAAUGGACAGUUUGCCGAUCCCAACUCUUGCUUGCUCAUUCUUGUCUUUCGACUUAAGCCUUGAAGAGAAUCCUUUUUCAGGAAGUUUUCUGCUAUUAUAAAAUUCUUCUAUAGCAUGUAGUUCGUGCAUUAAUUCAAUUAAGGUCAUAUCUUUAUUGUUAAGAUAUAGCUGACCUUAAACUCUUUGAAUGUAUCAGGUAAAGAUUCAAUCACCAUGUUAAUCUUUGAUUUAUCAUUGAUUUGAACACCAUGAAUCUCUACCUCAUUCAAAUAGUCCAUCAUUUUGAGGACAUGAUCACGAACUUUUGUGCCCUCUUCCAUCUUAGUAUCCAUAAUACGUUUUAAUGCUGCUUCUCUGGCAAAAUGGGUAUUUUGCCCAAACAUCUGAUGAAGACUAGCCAUUAUUUCAGUGGCUGUUUCCAUGCUCCGAUGUUUCUUAUGCAGUUCCAUAGAAAUCGAAGCCAAUAUAUAGCGCUUAGCCAUUUUGUUAGCUUCGCACCAUUUCUCAUAAGGCUCCCUCUGAUUUCUAUAAUCGUAUAACGAUGGUUCAGGAGGGCAAGGCUGGGUCAACACAUAUUUGCUUCCUUUAGCAGUGAGAUAUUAAAUAGAUUGCGUUUCCAAUCUAAAUAAUUUUCGCCAGUGAGUUCAUUUUUAACAAGGAUAAAUAAUAAUGGGUUGAUGGAAGACAUUUUCUGAAAAAAAUAAAAUACACAUGCAUAAAUACUUUGAAACAAUAUUCACAAUAAAUGACAAAAAUGCAAAAAACCAUAAAUGCAUUUUAAUUUAUUGUAACGAUAAUCUAGUACCGCUUCGACAAGCUAUUCGUUGGGGAAGUCAUGUCUACACUUACUAGACCCAAUUAUCCAUUGGAUUAUUUCAUUUCACAUGAUAAAUAAUUAUCGUUAUCCCUUUGGACCUAAAUUUGUUAACAGAGCUUCGUUGGGAAGGUUAAUAACAAACUUUUAGUUGAGUGUAUAACCAUUGUUUCAAUCUACGUAUUUUUCAUAUCAAUAGUCACCGUUGGGGUGAACAAUCGAUUGAAAAAUAUUUCAAUUUUAUCUUUGAAGAAGUUCAUCAAAUAAAAUAUCUAAUAUAUAUACCCUCGAAGGAGCAUCACCGUAUCAUGAAGUCGAGGUAUAUAUAUAAUUUUAUUAUUGAACUAACAAUGGAGCCCGUGGGAAAAUUAUCUUGAAUUUUCCCUCUCCCACUCAAUAUUUUAAAAUUGGUUUUUCCUUUUUAAAACAUACAUAUUGUUAAUUGCAUGCUUCCUAUAAUAUUAUCUAGAUGAUAUCAAAUUAUUAAGCAUACGCAAAUUUCAAACAAUAUAAUGAAAUUCAUUAUUAAUGAAUGACAUGUAUCAUUAUGCAUAGAGUGGCACUACCUAUUCUAUAUGACAUGUUAUCAUGGCAUGUAAUCAUCCAAAACAUAACAUAUAGAAAAAAUAAUUAAAUAAUCUUAAUUCAUGGCUUUCCUAAUAAUGAAAAAUACAUUAACCCUAAGCCUAAUCUUCAUUGGGCUUCUUGUCAAUAUCCAUCUUCCAUAGCUUGUCUUUGUUGAUGGACUAGGGGAAAUUGAGCUUUUAAAUUUAUAAUUGGUCCAAUUUUAAUUUGGAAAGAAAAUAAAUAAUUAAAAUUAAAAUUUAUUAAAAUAAAACUUUUGGACCAAAAAUAAAUUUAAUAUAUUCAAUUUUAUCUAUGCAUUUUAAUCCAUUAAGCCCAAUUGAAAUUGGGCCUAAAACUAGGAUUCAUUAAGCCCAAAACUAUUUUUGGAUUUAAACGCAAAAAAUUAAAAAUGUUUCUGCCCAACUGAAAAAAUAUGAAACUAUAGGGACCUCCACGAUAAAAACCAUGAAACCCUAAAAUCACAUUUUCUUUUCCUCCUCUUCCCUAGCCGCCACCAGCACAAAAACCCAGCCGUUGUUUACUGUUUCCACACCGGACAGCCGUCAUCAACGCCGGAAAGACGCCAACCAAAACGCUCCGCGCCUUCAGCCCACGUUCACGCUGUUGCUUGGGUGCUGCAGCUGCUGCUCGCGCGCUGCGGUUGCUGCUGUGCAGCGCGCGCUGCAGCUGCUGCGUGUGUAGCUCGCGCUGCUAGCAGCGUGGCUGCUGGCCGCUGCGCGUGCAGCGCGCGCUGCUGGCAGCAUGUGCUACUGGCCGCGCGCUGCUCGCACAGCAGCUUGUGCUGCUGGCCGCUCGCUGCUGCGUGUGCUGGUUCGUUGCUGCAGUUUCCGGCCUCGAUUGUUUGCGCUCGUUUUCCAGUGAUGAUGCUUCGGUGAUUUACAAAUUUUCAACGCAAAUUUUUGCUUACAAAAUUUCAAUUACAGUAAAAUAAAUCAAGAGAGAAUUAUGGUGAUAAAAAACCACCCCUCUUGUUACAGAUCCAAACGAAAAAUACAAUAGAAAAUCUAACAAUGAAUUAACUGCGUUUACUUUUUGGAUUGGAGUGGGAAUCCUGAGGAAUGGGAAUCCUUGGAUUAGGAGUGUGGAGUGGGAGUGGGAGUAGGGUGUUUACUUAGACUAAAUGAAAGUAUGGAUUGUCAAUUAGAAUUCCAAUUAUUUGUUUACUUUGUCUUGGAUUGGGAGUAAAUUGUUUUAAAUUACAAUUUUAUCCUUAUGUACAGAAUUAUAAUUUGUAAUUAAAAAUUAAUAAAAAAUAUAUUUGGAAAAUAAAUAAAUAUUUUAUUAUAUUUAUAAAUUAUUAAUAAUUACUAAUAUUCUUAAUUAUGUAAAUCAUAAUUUUUUAUUAAUUUUAAUUUAAAUUAUGUGAAUAAAAAUUAUUAAUAAUAGCAACACAAAUGGAAUAUUAUUAUUGAUAAUAUAGUACAAAAUUAAUAUUUUUAGAAUAAAAUAUUUAUUAUUAUUAAUAAAUAAAUAAUUAAUUAAUAUUUAUUAAAAUUAAUGUUUUUAUUAUUAAUUUAAAUAUAAUAUUAUUUAUUUUUAUUUAUUAAUUUUAUAAAAAAAAAUAUGAAUAUAUAUUUUUUAAUAAAUAUGAUAUUAUUUAUUUUAUGAAAUUUAUUUAUUUAUUAAAUAUUAUUUAUUUAUUAAAAUAUUAUUUAUUUAUUUUAAUUUUAUAAGGAUAAAAUGGGAAGAGGGGGAGUGGAUUCCCACUCCCUCCCCCAAUGGGAGUGGGAAUCCCACUCCCCACUCCAAAUUUAGGUGGGACCCGGAUUCCCACUCCCACUCUCCCUAUUUUUAAAGUAAGUAAACACUGGAGUGGGAGGAAUCCACACUCCACACUCCCACUCCAGAAAGUAAACACUACCUUAAGACAAACCAUAAACAUGCUUUAUUCAUAUAUUAAACAAAUAAUAUAUAUCUGAAUAAAUUGUGCCACUCUAAUACAUAAAUUUCAAGAUUAAUUUCAUACGAAAUUCUUAUUUAUUAAUAUGAGAUGGCUCUGAUACCAAUUGUUAGGGAAAAAUUAGGUUUUUAAAUUUUUAUAAAACCUUUUGAAGAUCGCUCUCAUAUAAUAUAUAAGAAUUUGUAUUCUAGAAAUCGUACCUUGAAAAUCUGAGUUUGCUUUUUCCGCUGAAGUGAUUUAGGCUCCUAGAUCACGAUCUGCCACCACCACUCCUGUUAGAUCACGAUCCGUCACCACCACGCUUGUUAGAUCACGAACUGUCUCCAAUGAUUCCAGGUUAUGACUCAGGUUCGAUCUGCACUUGACGUGUGGGCGCCUUUAUCACUACCAAAGCAACUAGCACGAGAAAAUUUUUCUCUCAACAAUAGAGAAAAAAAUCUUAUUCUCCGAUUUGUAUAAAAUGGUUUCUCUUAUUCUUUAGAGAAAAUAAGCCUUUUAUAUCACCCUUUAGUGAAAACCUUAGGCUCCAAAUAAUGCCCUAAAUAAACUCACGUUACUUUCUUUUUCAAUAGGGGACCCACCUUGUAAAAUAACAUAAGGCCCCUUAUACAAAAGCUAAUUAAAUGGAGCCUCCCACUAAAUGAUAUAUUUAGGCUUUUGACCCAAAUAGCUAGUUAUCUUACUUAGUCCAGUAGUGGUGCAGUCAAUUAAAUGAGCUAACCCGGGGAUCAUUUGGGAACAUACAAUAGUGGCUACAAUAAUUAGGCCUGUAAUUAAACUAGCCCAAAUAUUUAAUUCCAAAUCUACUCCACUAAAAGAUUGGAACUGACUUCCAUAAUUGUAUGCUCGAAUAAUAAUUCGUCCCAAGCCACAUUGAUUUCUUUACUGCACAAUCCUUUGUACCACAUCGUUAAUUAAAUUGACAUCUCAACUGUCCAAUCAAUUUAAUAACAUCUUAUUCCUUGAUCCUUACUGGUUUUCUCUAAUGAUCAUUUUCAACAUACUAAAUAUGUUGACACACUCUGGCCAGAGAAUUCUAUGAUCAAGUGCCGAAAACCCAUCAAGAGAUGUGUUGUACAAAUUCUAUAUUGUUAAUCCAUAACUCCAAUAUAUAAAGUACUAGAUGUUUUACUGAGAAAAUGACUAGAUCAUUUACCAAAUUUCUUGCGCAUAUAUACGUAUGUAUACAGAAAUGGGAAUCAAUGAUUAUAAGACCUUGCAAUGAGACAAUAAUACAUCAUCAAAUCUAAAAAUACACAAGAAAUUCGGGACAUAUAUAUAACAAAGACCUCUCAUUGAGUCAUACAUAUUGAGAAUAAAAUGUCAAAAUGCAUACAAAGAGCUUAUACAGAAAAUGAAUUUACACAUAUUUAGAAUAAAUUGUCUUUGAACUUUUGAUGGUCAAAUAAAGGAAACAGACAGGAUAUAACACACACUAUCAUAGAUGUAGCGACACGGUGAAGUAAAUCAUGAAGAUGGAAACGGAAACCCUUCACAAUAUAAAAUUUGAAUAGAGGGGGGAAAAAAGGCUUCAUUUGGAAUGUUGCACAGAAGAAGAGUGACUUGAAUCUCCAUCAGUAUCCAGACAUUCUACAACACAGUGCUGAGAAUUUUAACAAGAAUAACAGACAAAAUAUUGUGCUUCUAUACUUGUCACAAAACUAGACCAAAUUAGUUCCCUUUUGGUUUGUGAAAACUUGAUAUUUUUGAAAAUUCUAUCCAAUGCUUUUAAACAAUAUUUCCAUAAUAUAGUUGUUCAUAGCUAACCUUUGAUGGUUUAAGCAUUUGUUGUAGGCAUGACGGGCUGAUUAGAUUAUUAUUUUUUUUAUCCGAUGAAUGAUAUUCAGCUGUUCUUAAUUAUGUGUUAAUAGGCAAGAGCAUUUUCUUAAGUACUUUCGUUGCCUUCCAAGUUUCCAAUGAACAAACAGAGCACAAACAAAUUUAACGAAACAAACAGAGCAUUUUCUUCAGUGUGCUUUCUUGAGACAUUUUGAUUUAGUCUCAUUAUGAUUAAAAAAGGAAGCUCGCUUCUCGAGACAUUUUGCUAUAGUCUCAUUAUGGUUAUAAAGAAGCGAUGGUCUAGGAGACAUAUUGUUUUCGUCUCAUUUUGCUAGACAUCUGGACUUUAUGGAAAUGAGCAUGUUGAUCACAUUGUCAUGUUAUUUCCAUAAUUAUACUUGUAUACUACUACAUGGUCACGUGUUUAUAAGUGUCUUGUUAUAUGGAGCAUCCUGUCGGUGCACAUAUGAUUUGAUAUUUAUGGCACAUUUUGGACUUGUUUAUGUUCUGGGUGAUUGCUUGUAUUUGACCUUUUGUUAUAGUCACAUAUUGAUUAAUUCGGUUGUUUUCAAAAUAUUAUUUUAUUUUAAAUUUAUCAUUGGAGUGAUUUCUGUCGUCCAAGUGGGAGAUUGUUAGAUUUAUUUCUCAUAUUAUGUGGACUGACAUAAAUCAUUCUAAUUGUUUUCUAUAUUUUACCGAAUUAAUACGUGACUAUUGUCAAAUAUUAUGGAGCAAUUUUGACAUACCUUGUACAGUAGUAUAUUAUGGACAAGUAUAUCCUUAAUUGUGUUAUUUUCGCCCAUAAUGGGAUGGGCAAUUUUGUACUAACACAUGAGGGGUCCCUGCGCUCAACCACUGUAUUUAAGUAACUUCAGCCCAUUGGAAGUUAACUGUUCAAGAAAUCUGUGGCAUGAGUGCAGUGCAUCUCUCUCUCCGUUUGUCUCCCGUGUGUGUGCACAGUAAAUUUUGAAGCAAGCCGAUCCUUGAGCUAAGGAAAAGAAAGCGGAAUUCAGAAGCUAAACCGAAGCAGCAGCAACUCUGUUGAAGCUCCAUAACAAGCUGCAAGCUUGGAUUCAUGGGAGAUCGUGGUAAAUUUCGAAAUUUACUACAAUAUGUGUUUAAUUUGGAAAUGCACGAUUAAAGGGCAUAAAGUAUGUUUUUGUUUCAUCAAUUGGUAUCAGAGCCCAUGGUUAUGCGUUUCCUUGUAAACCAUAGUUGUUUUGUUGAAGAAAUCUCACUCAUGGAAUUUUUUUUUUAUUUUCGGAUUUUUCGAAUUCUUCGAAUUUGGACAUAUUUCCUCAAACGGUUGUUAAAUAAUGCAUGAGUGAUGAUUUUGGAGCAAAGAUAUAAUUUUUUCGUGUUUUUUGGUGGCCAAAAUCGGGUUGGUAUGGAUGUGGAUGCUGUAAAUGUACUGUACAAUACUGUAGCAACAGCCCGAGGUUGAAGAUGAUGGGACAAUUUCAUUUGGAUCCCUAAAUUUUGUGAAUUGUCACUAUGGCCCAAAAUCUUUGCAAACUUUUCGAAAAGGUCCUUGACCGAGGGUCAACUAUGUAAAAGAUAAGUUGGUCCCUUGAAUUUUGGGAAAUUAUAGUAUGGCCCAACAGUUUAUUUUAUUUUAUUUACAGUUUGGGCCAAAAGUUUUAAUAGUUAAAACAGUAAAUAAUUCUGAAAAUUUUUCAUUUUAGUCCAAAAUCCUUUCAAUUUUGGCGAUUUUUCAGAAUUUAAAUUUUAAAAUAAUCCAUCAGUUAUUGAAUCUUAUGGGCAUAUCAUUUAUAUAUUUUAUUGAGGCAUGUAGAUAUUUUAUUUGAUUUAAUAUCUUGUUAAUUUCAUUUGACAAAAUUUAUUUAGCCUCAAUUUUGUUAAUAUACGAAAUAUAUAUAUGAUGCAAAACUACAAUUUAGAGUGAUUGUGUAUCUACUUAUCGUAGGACCAAUCAUGAUAAAUUAUUUGGUGGUUUGCAAUUGAUUGUCCAUUUACAAUUAUGAAUUAUGGAUUAUGUGAUGGAUUGUUAUUGUUUGACCAAGAUCCAUACGGGUGAUGAUACUGCCCUGUCGGCAAAUCACUACUUGGUACUUGGUAGGAUGCUUGGGAAGAUAAAGAGAUUUGUUGAGUAUUUUCUACUGAGUGGCUUAAUUACCCUGUCGGUAAUAGGUCAAUGUUGGUGUUAUAUUCAACUUGUCUGCUUUAUCUUUAGGUUAGUGCAUUCCUAUAUUGUUAAAGGAUGCCUAACAUAUUGUGUUGCUAUUGGAGAAACUUAGAAUGAGGAGCAAUUGAUUAUAGCAUGAUUUUAAUUUUUGCAUGCUUGAUAUUCUUUUGUUAUUGCUUCCUCAGCUCUAGAUAUUCUCUCCUUUCUCCAAGUAGCCUCCCUCAAGAAUUUAACUGGGACAAAUUUUGAGGACUGGCGUGAGUCCAUUUUGUUUUAUUUGUCUACACUGAAUAGAGACUUGGCAUUAAGAGUUGAUGAACCAGCCAAGCCCACAGAUAAGAGCACUGCUGCUGAAAAAGCAGAGUGGGCAGCUUGGGAUGAAUCCAAUAGACACUGUCUGGAUACAAUGAAAUACACCAUUGAUAGAACCACUAGAGAUAGCAUCCCUGCAUGUGAUAAGGCCAAAGAUUACUUGGCAGCUGUGGGAAGAACCUUUAAGAAGGUAGAUAAGGCAGAAAAGGGUAACUAUCUGAGGCUGCUUGCUAAUACCCAGUAUGAUGGUGUUUUCUGGGGUCAGAGAACACAUCCUUAAGAUGACUAGUUACCAUAAGAAGCUGAAGGACAUGGAUGUCACUUUGCCUGAUGACUACCUGGUCUUCCAAAUCCUUGAAUCUCUUCCACCACAAUUUGGCAAUUUGAGAAGCCAAUACAAUACUCAGAGAGACACUUGGAAUAUCACUGAGUUGACUGCUUAUGUGGUUCAGGAAGAGGAAUCAUUGAAGAAGGGGAAAUCUCACACUGUCAUGGUGGCAACUACUCAAGAGAGUGGAAGUGUGAAGAAAGGCUCUUCAAAGGGCAGCAAUAAGUUUUUUAAGAAGAAAAAGUUUGGCAAGAAAACUUCACGUGGUACUUCUUCUACCACUUCUGGUUCCACUUCUGAGAGCUUUAAGGGAAAGUGCCACUUUUGUAAGAAACCUGGGCACAAGAGAGCUGACUGCAGGGGAUUCAAAGCAUGGUUGGAAAAGAAAGGUAUUCCUGUAGCCUUUGUAGGCUUUGAAUCUAAUCUUAUUGAUGUUCCUUCUGAUACUUGGUGGUUGGAUACUGGUGCAACCAUUAAUAUAACGAAUUCCUUACAGGAAUUCAGAAGCAGGAGGGAGCCCAAUGAAGGGGAGUUGAUAGUUCACAUGGGCAAUGGAGUGACAGCCAAAGUUGAAAGCAUAGGAGUUGUCAGACUACAUCUAGCCACAGGCCAUGUUUUGGAUCUAUUAGAUACAGCUUAUAUUCCUUCUAUUAGGAGAAACUUGAUAUCUGUAUCUAUUUUGGAUAGAUGUGGCUAUACUUUUCAUUUUGGUGAUAGAAAAGUUUACUUAUUCCGCAAUUCAGAGUUAGUUGGUUCUGGCACUCUAUAUGAUGGCUUGUAUAUGAUUGAUUUAUUUUCUCGUGCUGUUGAAUCAUCAUCCAAUGCUCAUGUUAUGCAUGUUGUUAGCUCUAAUCGUGUUAGGGUUGAUGAAAAUUCCUCUAUGUUGUGGCAUAAACGGUUAGGUCACAUUUCUAAACAGAGGAUGAGAGGCUUAUUAAAGAUAUUCUACAUAAGUUGGAUUUCUCUGAUUUUGGCACUUGUGUUGAUUGUGUCAAAGGCAAACUUACUGCCAAAACCAGAAAAGAGAGAACUCAGAGGAGUCAACAGGUGCUGGAGUUGGUACAUACAGACAUUUGUGGGCCAUUUACUCCUAUUGCCAUUGGAGGUUAUAAGUACUUCAUCACGUUCAACGAUGACUUUUCUCGUUAUGGUCAUGUUGAACUUCUUGCUGAAAAGUCUAAAUCCUUAUCUGUGUUUCAAGCCUUUAAGGCUAAUGUUGAGCUCCAAAAGGGCAAGCAAAUUAAAGCAGUAAGGUCAGACAGAGGUGGUGAGUACUAUGGGCGAUAUGAUGAAACUGGGCGUAAUCCUGGACCUUUUGCUAAAUUUCUUCAGGAAUGUGGAAUAGAAGCCCAGUAUACAAUGCUCGGGACUCCUGAACAUAAUGGAAUUGCAGAAAGGAGAAAUCGUACCCUUCUUGACAUGGUGCGGUGUAUGCUGAGUAACUCCACCUUACCAGAUUUUCUGUGGGGUGAAGCCUUAAGAACUGCAGCUUACAUUUUGAAUCAGGUACCUAGUAAAUCGGUGCCCAAAAGUCCUUAGUUGUGGUCAGGAAAGAGACCGAGUCUUCGUCAUUUUCAUGUAUGGGAUGCAGAGCAGAAGUGAGGCCCUAUAAUCCACAAUCAAGGAAACUUGAUCCGAAAACAAUUAGUGGUCAUUUUAUUGGCUAUUGUAUCGGCUCAAGGGUUUCUAGAUUUUAUUGACCUUCCCACACUACUAGAAUCAUUGAGUCUGAUCGUGCCAUUUAUUUUGAGGAUGAUCACAAUGGUGGGAGUUCUGAGCCUCGCAGUCUGACAUUGAGAGAAGAACGUGUGGUUUUGCCUAUUCCAUCUUUUCCGACUUCUGCGAUGGGAUUACCACAUAUUGAUGAUUCUUCUGUUGAUCCUAAACUUCAUCAUAAUAUGGAGCCUAUGAUUGUAGAGGAUGAUGGUACUGAUGUGCCAUUGAGGAGAUCAGAGAGGAUCAGGAGACCUGCAAUUUCUGAUGAUUAUGUUGUUUACUUGCAGGAGCAUGAUUUUGAUGCUGACUCUUCAUCUGAUCCUAUUACCUUUCAAGAGGCCAUCAGUUGUUCAGAAUCAUCAUCUUGGAUACAUGCGAUGCAUGAUGAGAUGGCAUCUAUGUAUCAUAAUGAGGUUUGGGAUUUAGUUGAGUUACCAGAUGGAUGCAGACCAAUUGGUUGCAAAUGGGUUUUCAAAACCAAAAGAGAUGCCAGAGGUCAGGUAGAGAGGUAUAAGGCCAGGCUUUGUGGCUAAGGGUUUCAGUCAAAGAGAAGGCAUUGAUUACACUGAAACCUACUCUCCUGUUUCUACCAAGACUCUUUUCGUAUUAUCAUGGCAUUGGUAGCUCAUUUCAAUUUAGAAUUGCAUCAGAUGGAUGUGAAGACAGCUUUUCUUAAUGGGAGCUUGUCUGAAGAUGUAUACAUGGUGCAACCUGAUGGUUUUGUUGAGUCUGGUAUAGAAAACAUGGUGUGUAAGCUUAAAAGGUCCAUUUAUGGACUUAAGCAAGCAUCCAGACAGUGGUAUUUGAAAUUUCACGAUAUUGUCACCUCUUAUGGGUUCCAGGAGAAUGCCGUUGAUCAGUGUAUAUACUUGAGAGUCAGUGGGAGCAAGUAUAUCAUUUUGGUGCUUUAUGUGGAUGAUAUCUUGCUCGCUGCUAAUGACAGUAAUUUGUUACUUGAGACAAAGCAAAUGUUGUCAUGCAGCUUUGAUAUGAAGGAUCUUGGUGAAGCCCAUUAUGUAUUAGGGAUAGAGAUUCUUCAUGAUAGAUCUAGAGGAAUUCUAGGUUUGUCUCAAAAGACUUACAUUGAUCGCAUUUUGAAAAGGUUCAAUUUGCAGUCUUGUGCUCCUGGGAAAGCUCCAAUUUCGAAAGGUGACAAAAUUUCCAAGUCUCAAUGUCCCGAUAAUGAUGUAGACAAAGCUAGAAUACAAACAGUCCCGUAUGCAUCCGUUGUGGGUAGCUUGAUGUAUGCUCAAGUCUGUACUCGCCCUGAUAUUGCUUUCCAGUGGGAGUACUUGGAAGAUACCUGAGCAAUCCUGGAUUUGAACACUGGAAGGCUGCAAAGAAAGUACUCAGAUAUUUGCGAGCCACUAAAGAUUUUGUAUUGACAUAUCAGCAAUCUGACUUUUGAAUAUAGUUGGAUAUUCUGAUGCUGAUUUCGCAGGGUGCUUGGAAGACAAGAAAUCCACAUCUGGUUACAUCUUUAUGAUGGCAGAGGAGCUAUAUCGGAAAGUGUCAAGCAGACACUUAUAGCUUCUUCAACAAUGGAAGCAGAAUAUGUAGCAUGCUUUGAGGCUACACGUCAUGCUUUAUGGAUGCAAAAUUUUAUCACAGGGCUAGAUUGUAUAGUGGCCGUACCGAGGCCAUUAAAGAUAUACUGUGAUAAUUCUGCUGCUGUUUCUUUUUUCACAAUACAGGGAGUUCCUCACGUUCCAAGCACAUUGAUAUUAAAUACUUGUUUGUGAGAGAGAAAAUUGCUCUAUCUUGUGUAUCAGUAGAGUAUAUCCCUACAGAACUCAUGUUAGCCGAUCCACUUAUUAAAGCUUUAGCUCCAAAAGUAUUAGGGAGCAUGUAACGCAUAUGGAUUAUUUGAAUCCACUUAUAUAUGCUGAGUCAGUGGGAGUUCUGGUUGUAUUAUGAGUUGCAACUUAAAUGAGCUUAUGUAUUACUCAUUUUGUUAUCAUGCAUGCAUGUUGUUAUGUGAUAUUGAUAUGCCAUAUAUUGUGUACACAUUUGGCUGCGUAUGGCAUUAUGUAUAGAAUGAGGAUACGAUGGUCCGAGACAUUUUGCUCAGUCUCAAUAUGGACAUUAAAGACUGAAGCAUUAUGAUUUUCUUCAGUGUGCUUUCUUGAGACAUUUUGAUUUAGUCUCAUUAUGAUUAAAAAGGAAGCUCGCUUCUCGAGACAUUUUGCUAUAGUCUCAUUAUGGUUAUAAAGAAGCGAUGGUCUAGGAGACAUAUUGUUUUCGUCUCAUUUUGCUAGACAUCUGGACUUUAUGGAAAUGAGCAUGUUGAUCACAUUGUCAUGUUAUUUCCAUAAUUAUACUUGUAUACUACUACAUGGUCACGUGUUUAUAAGUGUCUUGUUAUAUGGAGCAUCCUGUCGGUGCACAUAUGAUUUGAUAUUUAUGGCACAUUUGGACUUGUUUAUGUUCUGGGUGAUUGCUUGUAUUUGACCUUUUGUUAUAGUCACAUAUUGAUUAAUUCGGUUGUUUUCAAAAUAUUAUUUUAUUUUAAAUUUAUCAUUGGAGUGAUUUCUGUCGUCCAAGUGGAGAUUGUUAGAUUUAUUCUCAUAUUAUGUGGACUGACAUAAAUCAUUCUAAUUGUUUUCUAUAUUUUACCGAAUUAAUACGUGACUAUUGUCAAAUAUAUGGAGCAAUUUUGACAUACCUUGUACAGUAGUAUAUUAUGGACAAGUAUAUCCUUAAUUGUGUUAUUUUCGCCCAUAAUGGGAUGGGCAAUUUUGUACUAACACAUGAGGGGUCCCUGCGCUCAACCUGUAUUUAAGUAACUUCAGCCCAUUGGAAGUUAACUGUUCAAGAAAUCUGUGGCAUGAGUGCAGUGCAUCUCUCUCUCCCGUUUGUCUCCCGUGUGUGUGCACAGUAAAUUUUGAAGCAAGCCGAUCCUUGAGCUAAGGAAAAGAAAGCGGAAUUCAGAAGCUAAACCGAAGCAGCAGCAACUCUGUUGAAGCUCCAUAACAAGCUGCAAGCUUGGAUUCAUGGGAGAUCGUGGUAAAUUUCGAAAUUUACUACAAUAUGUGUUUAAUUUGGAAAUGCACGAUUAAAGGGCAUAAAGUAUGUUUUUGUUUCAUCAAUUGGUAUCAGAGCCCAUGGUUAUGCGUUUCCUUGUAAACCAUAGUUGUUUUGUUGAAGAAAUCUCACUCAUGGAAUUUUUUUUUUUUUCGGAUUUUUCGAAUCUUCGAAUUUGGACAUAUUUCCUCAAACGGUUGUUAAAUAAUGCAUGAGUGAUNUAUUCUAUAUGACAUGUUAUCAUGGCAUGUAAUCAUCCAAAACAUAACAUAUAGAAAAAAUAAUUAAAUAAUCUUAAUUCAUGGCUUUCCUAAUAAUGAAAAAUACAUUAACCCUAAGCCUAAUCUUCAUUGGGCUUCUUGUCAAUAUCCAUCUUCCAUAGCUUGUCUUUGUUGAUGGACUAGGGGAAAUUGAGCUUUUAAAUUUAUAAUUGGUCCAAUUUUAAUUUGGAAAGAAAAUAAAUAAUUAAAAUUAAAAUUUAUUAAAAUAAAACUUUUGGACCAAAAAUAAAUUUAAUAUAUUCAAUUUUAUCUAUGCAUUUUAAUCCAUUAAGCCCAAUUGAAAUUGGGCCUAAAACUAGGAUUCAUUAAGCCCAAAACUAUUUUUGGAUUUAAACGCAAAAAAUUAAAAAUGUUUCUGCCCAACUGAAAAAAUAUGAAACUAUAGGGACCUCCACGAUAAAAACCAUGAAACCCUAAAAUCACAUUUUUCUUUUCCUCCUCUUCCCUAGCCGCCACCAGCACAAAAACCCAGCCGUUGUUUACUGUUUCCACACCGGACAGCCGUCAUCAACGCCGGAAAGACGCCAACCAAAACGCUCCGCGCCUUCAGCCCACGUUCACGCUGUUGCUUGGGUGCUGCAGCUGCUGCUCGCGCGCUGCGGUUGCUGCUUGUGCAGCGCGCGCUGCAGCUGCUGCGUGUGUAGCUCGCGCUGCUAGCAGCGUGGCUGCUGGCCGCUGCGCGUGCAGCGCGCGCUGCUGGCAGCAUGUGCUACUGGCCGCGCGCUGCUCGCACAGCAGCUUGUGCUGCUGGCCGCUCGCUGCUGCGUGUGCUGGUUCGUUGCUGCAGUUUCCGGCCUCGAUUGUUUGCGCUCGUUUUCCAGUGAUGAUGCUUCGGUGAUUUACAAAUUUUCAACGCAAAUUUUUGCUUACAAAAUUUCAAUUACAGUAAAAUAAAUCAAGAGAGAAUUAUGGUGAUAAAAAACCACCCCUCUUGUUACAGAUCCAAACGAAAAAUACAAUAGAAAAUCUAACAAUGAAUUAACUGCGUUUACUUUUGGAUUGGAGUGGGAAUCCUGAGGAAUGGGAAUCCUUGGAUUAGGAGUGUGGAGUGGGAGUGGGAGUAGGGGUUUACUUAGACUAAAUGAAAGUAUGGAUUGUCAAUUAGAAUUCCAAUUAUUUGUUUACUUUGUCUUGGAUUGGGAAGUAAAAUUGUUUUAAAUUACAAUUUUAUCCUUAUGUACAGAAUUAUAAUUUGUAAUUAAAAAUUAAUAAAAAAUAUAUUUGGAAAAUAAAAAUAAAUAUUUUUAUUAUAUUAUAAAUUAUUAAUAAUUUACUAAUAUUCUUAAUUAUGUAAAUCAUAAUUUUUUAUUAAUUUUAAUUUAAAUUAUGUGAAUAAAAAUUAUUAAUAAUAGCAACACAAAUGGAAUAUUAUUAUUGAUAAUAUAGUACAAAAUUAAUAUUUUUAGAAUAAAUAUUUAUAUUAUUAAAUAAAUAAAUAAUUAAUUAAUAUUUAUUAAAAUUAAUGUUUUUAUAUUAUUAAUUUAAAUAUAAUAUUAUUUAUUUUUAUUUUAUUAAUUUUAAUAAAAUAAAUAUGAUAUAAUUAUUAUUUUUAAUAAAUAUGAUAUUAUUUAUUUUAUGAAAUAUUAUUUAUUUUAUUAAAUAUUAUUUAUUUUAUUAAUAUUAUUUAUUUAUUUUAAUUUUAUAAGGAUAAAAUGGGAAGAGGGGGGAGUGGAUUCCCACUCCCACCUCCCCCAAUGGGAGUGGGAAUCCCACUCCCCACUCCAAAUUUAGGUGGGACCCACGGAUUCCCACUCCCACUCUCCCUAUUUUAAAGUAAGUAAACACUGGAGUGGGAGGGAAUCCACACUCCACACUCCCACUCCAGAAAGUAAACACUACCUUAAGACAAACCAUAAACAUGCUUUAUUCAUAUAUUAAACAAAUAAUAUAUAUCUGAAUAAAUUGUGCCACUCUAAUACAUAAAUUUCAAGAUUAAUUUCAUACGAAAAUUCUUAUUUAUUAAUAUGAGAUGGCUCUGAUACCAAUUGUUAGGGAAAAAUUAGGUUUUUAAAUUUUUAUAAAACCUUUUGAAGAUCGCUCUCAUAUAAUAUAUUAAGAAUUUGUAUUCUAGAAAUCGUACCUUGAAAAUCUGAGUUUGCUUUUUCCGCUGAAGUUGAUUUAGGCUCCUAGAUCACGAUCUGCCACCACCACUCCUGUUAGAUCACGAUCCGUCACCACCACGCUUGUUAGAUCACGAACUGUCUCCAAUGAUCUUCCAGGUUAUGACUCAGGUUCGAUCUGCACUUGACGUGUGGGCGCCUUUAUCACUACCAAAGCAACUAGCACGAGAAAAUUUUUCUCUCAAACAAUAGAGAAAAAAAUCUUAUUCUCCGAUUUGUAUAAAAUGGUUUCUCUUAUUCUUUAGAGAAAAUAAGCCUUUUAUAUCACCCUUUAGUGAAAACCUUAGGCUCCAAAUAAUGCCCUAAAUAAAACUCACGUUACUUUCUUUUUCAAUAGGGGACCCACCUUGUAAAAUAACAUAAGGCCCCUUAUACAAAGCUAAUUAAAUGGAGCCUCCCACUAAAUGAUAUAUUUAGCUUUUGAACCCAAAUAGCUAGUUAUCUUACUUAUUAGUCCAGUAGUGGUGCAGUCAAUUAAAUGAGCUAACCCGGGGAUCAUUUGGGAACAUACAAUAGUGGCUACAAUAAUUAGGCCUGUAAUUAAACUAGCCCAAAUAUUUAAUUCCAAAUCUACUCCACUAAAAGAUUGGAACUGACUUCCAUAAUUGUAUGCUCGAAUAAUAAUUCGUCCCAAGCCACAUUGAUUUCUUUACUGCACAAUCCUUUGUACCACAUCGUUAAUUUAAAUUGACAUCUCAACUGUCCAAUCAAUUUAAUAACAUCUUAUUCCUUGAUCCUUACUGGUUUUCUCUAAUGAUCAUUUUCAACAUACUAAAUAUGUUGACACACUCUGGCCAGAGAAUUCUAUGAUCAAGUGCCGAAAACCCAUCAAGAGAUGUGUUGUACAAAUUCUAUAUUGUUAAUCCAUAACUCCAAUAUAUAAAGUACUAGAUGUUUACUGAGAAAAUGACUAGAUCAUUUACCAAAUUUCUUGCGCAUAUAUACGUAUGUAUACAAGAAAUGGGAAUCAAUGAUUAUAAGACCUUGCAAUGAGACAAUAAUACAUCAUCAAAUCUAAAAAUACACAAGAAAUUCGGACAUAUAUAUAACAAAAGACCUCUCAUUGAGUCAUACAUAUUGAGAAUAAAAUGUCAAAAUGCAUACAAAGAGCUUAUACAGAAAAUGAAUUUACACAUAUUUAGAAUAAAUUGUCUUUGAACUUUUGAUGGUCAAAUAAAGGAAAACAGACAGGAUAUAACACACACUAUCAUAGAUGUAGCGACACGGUGAAGUAAAAUCACAUGAAGAUGGAAACGGAAACCCUUCACAAUAUAAAAUUUGAAUAGAGGGGGGAAAAAAAGGCUUCAUUUGGAAUGUUGCACAGAAGAAAGAGUGACUUGAAUCUCCAUCAGUAUCCAGACAUUCUACAAACACAGUGCUGAGAAUUUUAACAAGAAUAACAGACAAAAUAUUGUGCUUCUAUACUUGUCACAAAACUAGACCAAAUUAGUUCCCUUUUUGGUUUGUGAAAAACUUGAUAUUUUUGAAAAUUCUAUCCAAUGCUUUUAAACAAUAUUUCCAUAAUAAUAGUUGUUCAUAGCUAACCUUUGAUGGUUUAAGCAUUUGUUGUAGCAUGACGGGCUGAUUAGAUUAUUAUUUUUUUUUAUCCGAUGAAUUGAUAUUCAGCUGUUCUUAAUUAUGUGUUAAUAGGCAAGAGCAUUUUCUUAAGUACUUUCGUUGCCUUCCAAGUUUCCAAUGAACAAACAGAGCACAAACAAAUUUAACGAAACAAACAGAAGCAUUUUCUUCAGUGUGCUUUCUUGAGACAUUUUGAUUUAGUCUCAUUAUGAUUAAAAAGGAAGCUCGCUUCUCGAGACAUUUUGCUAUAGUCUCAUUAUGGUUAUAAAGAAGCGAUGGUCUAGGAGACAUAUUGUUUUCGUCUCAUUUUGCUAGACAUCUGGACUUUAUGGAAAUGAGCAUGUUGAUCACAUUGUCAUGUUAUUUCCAUAAUUAUACUUGUAUACUACUACAUGGUCACGUGUUUAUAAGUGUCUUGUUAUAUGGAGCAUCCUGUCGGUGCACAUAUGAUUUGAUAUUUAUGGCACAUUUUGGACUUGUUUAUGUUCUGGGUGAUUGCUUUGUAUUUGACCUUUUGUUAUAGUCACAUAUUGAUUAAUUCGGUUGUUUUCAAAAUAUUAUUUUAUUUUAAAUUUAUCAUUGGAGUGAUUUCUGUCGUCCAAGUGGGAGAUUGUUAGAUUUAUUUCUCAUAUUAUGUGGACUGACAUAAAUCAUUCUAAUUGUUUUCUAUAUUUUACCGAAUUAAUACGUGACUAUUGUCAAAUAUUAUGGAGCAAUUUGACAUACCUUGUACAGUAGUAUAUUAUGGACAAGUAUAUCCUUAAUUGUGUUAUUUUCGCCCAUAAUGGGAUGGGCAAUUUUGUACUAACACAUGAGGGGUCCCUGCGCUCAACCACUGUAUUUAAGUAACUUCAGCCCAUUGGAAGUUAACUGUUCAAGAAAUCUGUGGCAUGAGUGCAGUGCAUCUCUCUCUCCCGUUUGUCUCCCGUGUGUGUGCACAGUAAAUUUUGAAGCAAGCCGAUCCUUGAGCUAAGGAAAAGAAAGCGGAAUUCAGAAGCUAAACCGAAGCAGCAGCAACUCUGUUGAAGCUCCAUAACAAGCUGCAAGCUUGGAUUCAUGGGAGAUCGUGGUAAAUUUCGAAAUUUACUACAAUAUGUGUUUAAUUUGGAAAUGCACGAUUAAAGGGCAUAAAGUAUGUUUUUGUUUCAUCAAUUGGUAUCAGAGCCCAUGGUUAUGCGUUUCCUUGUAAACCAUAGUUGUUUUGUUUGAAGAAAUCUCACUCAUGGAAUUUUUUUUUUUAUUUUCGGAUUUUUCGAAUUCUUCGAAUUUGGACAUAUUUCCUCAAACGGUUGUUAAAUAAUGCAUGAGUGAUGAUUUUGGAGCAAAGAUAUAAUUUUUUUCGUGUUUUUUGGUGGCCAAAAUCGGGUUGGUAUGGAUGUGGAUGCUGUAAAUGUACUGUACAAUACUGUAGCAACAGCCCGAGGUUGAAGAUGAUGGGACAAUUUCAUUUGGAUCCCUAAAUUUUGUGAAUUGUCACUAUGGCCCAAAAUCUUUGCAAACUUUUCGAAAAGGUCCUUGACCGAGGGUCAACUAUGUAAAAGAUAAGUUGGUCCCUUGAAUUUUGGGAAAUUAUAGUAUGGCCCAACAGUUUAUUUUAUUUUAUUUACAGUUUGGGCCAAAAGUUUUAAUAGUUAAAACAGUAAACAUAAUUCUGAAAAUUUUUCAUUUUAGUCCAAAAUCCUUUCAAUUUUGGCGAUUUUUCAGAAUUUUUAAAUUUUAAAAUAAUCCAUCAGUUAUUGAAUCUUAUGGGCAUAUCAUUUAUAUAUUUUAUUGAGGCAUGUAGAUAUUUUAUUUGAUUUAAUAUCUUGUUAAUUUCAUUUGACAAAAUUUAUUUAGCCUCAAUUUUGUUAAUAUACGAAAUAUAUAUAUGAUGCAAAACUACAAUUUAGAGUGAUUGUGUAUCUACUUAUCGUAGGACCAAUCAUGAUAAAUUAUUUGGUGGUUUGCAAUUGAUUGUCCAUUUACAAUUAUGAAUUAUGGAUUAUGUGAUGGAUUGUUAUUGUUUUGACCAAGAUCCAUACGGGUGAUGAUACUGCCCUGUCGGCAAAUCACUACUUGGUACUUGGUAGGAUGCUUGGGAAGAUAAAGAGAUUUGUUGAGUAUUUUCUACUGAGUGGCUUAAUUACCCUGUCGGUAAUAGGUCAAUGUUGGUGUUAUAUUCAACUUGUCUGCUUUAUCUUUAGGUUAGUGCAUUCCUAUAUUGUUAAAGGAUGCCUAACAUAUUGUGUUGCUAUUGGAGAAACUUAGAAUGAGGAGCAAUUGAUUAUAGCAUGAUUUUAAUUUUUGCAUGCUUGAUAAUUCUUUUGUUAUUGCUUCCUCAGCUCUAGAUAUUCUCUCCUUUCUCCAAGUAGCCUCCCUCAAGAAUUUAACUGGGACAAAUUUUGAGGACUGGCGUGAGUCCAUUUUGUUUUAUUUGUCUACACUGAAUAGAGACUUGGCAUUAAGAGUUGAUGAACCAGCCAAGCCCACAGAUAAGAGCACUGCUGCUGAAAAAGCAGAGUGGGCAGCUUGGGAUGAAUCCAAUAGACACUGUCUGGAUACAAUGAAAUACACCAUUGAUAGAACCACUAGAGAUAGCAUCCCUGCAUGUGAUAAGGCCAAAGAUUACUUGGCAGCUGUGGGAAGAACCUUUAAGAAGGUAGAUAAGGCAGAAAAGGGUAACUAUCUGAGGCUGCUUGCUAAUACCCAGUAUGAUGGUGUUUCUGGGGUCAGAGAACACAUCCUUAAGAUGACUAGUUACCAUAAGAAGCUGAAGGACAUGGAUGUCACUUUGCCUGAUGACUACCUGGUCUUCCAAAUCCUUGAAUCUCUUCCACCACAAUUUGGCAAUUUGAGAAGCCAAUACAAUACUCAGAGAGACACUUGGAAUAUCACUGAGUUGACUGCUUAUGUGGUUCAGGAAGAGGAAUCAUUGAAGAAGGGGAAAUCUCACACUGUCAUGGUGGCAACUACUCAAGAGAGUGGAAGUGUGAAGAAAGGCUCUUCAAAGGGCAGCAAUAAGUUUUUUAAGAAGAAAAAGUUUGGCAAGAAAACUUCACGUGGUACUUCUUCUACCACUUCUGGUUCCACUUCUGAGAGCUUUAAGGGAAAGUGCCACUUUUGUAAGAAACCUGGGCACAAGAGAGCUGACUGCAGGGGAUUCAAAGCAUGGUUGGAAAAGAAAGGUAUUCCUGUAGCCUUUGUAGGCUUUGAAUCUAAUCUUAUUGAUGUUCCUUCUGAUACUUGGUGGUUGGAUACUGGUGCAACCAUUAAUAUAACGAAUUCCUUACAGGAAUUCAGAAGCAGGAGGGAGCCCAAUGAAGGGGAGUUGAUAGUUCACAUGGGCAAUGGAGUGACAGCCAAAGUUGAAAGCAUAGGAGUUGUCAGACUACAUCUAGCCACAGGCCAUGUUUUGGAUCUAUUAGAUACAGCUUAUAUUCCUUCUAUUAGGAGAAACUUGAUAUCUGUAUCUAUUUUGGAUAGAUGUGGCUAUACUUUUCAUUUUGGUGAUAGAAAAGUUUACUUAUUCCGCAAUUCAGAGUUAGUUGGUUCUGGCACUCUAUAUGAUGGCUUGUAUAUGAUUGAUUUAUUUUCUCGUGCUGUUGAAUCAUCAUCCAAUGCUCAUGUUAUGCAUGUUGUUAGCUCUAAUCGUGUUAGGGUUGAUGAAAAUUCCUCUAUGUUGUGGCAUAAACGGUUAGGUCACAUUUCUAAACAGAGGAUGGAGAGGCUUAUUAAAGAUAGCAUUCUACAUAAGUUGGAUUUCUCUGAUUUUGGCACUUGUGUUGAUUGUGUCAAAGGCAAACUUACUGCCAAAACCAGAAAAGAGAGAACUCAGAGGAGUCAACAGGUGCUGGAGUUGGUACAUACAGACAUUUGUGGGCCAUUUACUCCUAUUGCCAUUGGAGGUUAUAAGUACUUCAUCACGUUCAACGAUGACUUUUCUCGUUAUGGUCAUGUUGAACUUCUUGCUGAAAAGUCUAAAUCCUUAUCUGUGUUUCAAGCCUUUAAGGCUAAUGUUGAGCUCCAAAAGGGCAAGCAAAUUAAAGCAGUAAGGUCAGACAGAGGUGGUGAGUACUAUGGGCGAUAUGAUGAAACUGGGCGUAAUCCUGGACCUUUUGCUAAAUUUCUUCAGGAAUGUGGAAUAGAAGCCCAGUAUACAAUGCUCGGGACUCCUGAACAUAAUGGAAUUGCAGAAAGGAGAAAUCGUACCCUUCUUGACAUGGUGCGGUGUAUGCUGAGUAACUCCACCUUACCAGAUUUUCUGUGGGGUGAAGCCUUAAGAACUGCAGCUUACAUUUUGAAUCAGGUACCUAGUAAAUCGGUGCCCAAAAGUCCUUAUGAGUUGUGGUCAGGAAAGAGACCGAGUCUUCGUCAUUUUCAUGUAUGGGGAUGCAGAGCAGAAGUGAGGCCCUAUAAUCCACAAUCAAGGAAACUUGAUCCGAAAACAAUUAGUGGUCAUUUUAUUGGCUAUUGUAUCGGCUCAAGGGGUUCUAGAUUUUAUUGACCUUCCCACACUACUAGAAUCAUUGAGUCUGAUCGUGCCAUUUAUUUUGAGGAUGAUCACAAUGGUGGGAGUUCUGAGCCUCGCAGUCUGACAUUGAGAGAAGAACGUGUGGUUUUGCCUAUUCCAUCUUUUCCGACUUCUGCGAUGGGAUUACCACAUAUUGAUGAUUCUUCUGUUGAUCCUAAACUUCAUCAUAAUAUGGAGCCUAUGAUUGUAGAGGAUGAUGGUACUGAUGUGCCAUUGAGGAGAUCAGAGAGGAUCAGGAGACCUGCAAUUUCUGAUGAUUAUGUUGUUUACUUGCAGGAGCAUGAUUUUGAUGCUGACUCUUCAUCUGAUCCUAUUACCUUUCAAGAGGCCAUCAGUUGUUCAGAAUCAUCAUCUUGGAUACAUGCGAUGCAUGAUGAGAUGGCAUCUAUGUAUCAUAAUGAGGUUUGGGAUUUAGUUGAGUUACCAGAUGGAUGCAGACCAAUUGGUUGCAAAUGGGUUUUCAAAACCAAAAGAGAUGCCAGAGGUCAGGUAGAGAGGUAUAAGGCCAGGCUUGUGGCUAAGGGUUUCAGUCAAAGAGAAGGCAUUGAUUACACUGAAACCUACUCUCCUGUUUCUACCAAAGACUCUUUUCGUAUUAUCAUGGCAUUGGUAGCUCAUUUCAAUUUAGAAUUGCAUCAGAUGGAUGUGAAGACAGCUUUUCUUAAUGGGAGCUUGUCUGAAGAUGUAUACAUGGUGCAACCUGAUGGUUUUGUUGAGUCUGGUAUAGAAAACAUGGUGUGUAAGCUUAAAAGGUCCAUUUAUGGACUUAAGCAAGCAUCCAGACAGUGGUAUUUGAAAUUUCACGAUAUUGUCACCUCUUAUGGGUUCCAGGAGAAUGCCGUUGAUCAGUGUAUAUACUUGAGAGUCAGUGGGAGCAAGUAUAUCAUUUUGGUGCUUUAUGUGGAUGAUAUCUUGCUCGCUGCUAAUGACAGUAAUUUGUUACUUGAGACAAAGCAAAUGUUGUCAUGCAGCUUUGAUAUGAAGGAUCUUGGUGAAGCCCAUUAUGUAUUAGGGAUAGAGAUUCUUCAUGAUAGAUCUAGAGGAAUUCUAGGUUUGUCUCAAAAGACUUACAUUGAUCGCAUUUUGAAAAGGUUCAAUUUGCAGUCUUGUGCUCCUGGGAAAGCUCCAAUUUCGAAAGGUGACAAAAUUUCCAAGUCUCAAUGUCCCGAUAAUGAUGUAGACAAAGCUAGAAUACAAACAGUCCCGUAUGCAUCCGUUGUGGGUAGCUUGAUGUAUGCUCAAGUCUGUACUCGCCCUGAUAUUGCUUUUCCAGUGGGAGUACUUGGAAGAUACCUGAGCAAUCCUGGAUUUGAACACUGGAAGGCUGCAAAGAAAGUACUCAGAUAUUUGCGAGCCACUAAAGAUUUUGUAUUGACAUAUCAGCAAUCUGACUAUUUGAAUAUAGUUGGAUAUUCUGAUGCUGAUUUCGCAGGGUGCUUGGAAGACAAGAAAUCCACAUCUGGUUACAUCUUUAUGAUGGCAGGAGGAGCUAUAUCAUGGAAAAGUGUCAAGCAGACACUUAUAGCUUCUUCAACAAUGGAAGCAGAAUAUGUAGCAUGCUUUGAGGCUACACGUCAUGCUUUAUGGAUGCAAAAUUUUAUCACAGGGCUAGAUUGUAUAGUGGCCGUACCGAGGCCAUUAAAGAUAUACUGUGAUAAUUCUGCUGCUGUUUCUUUUUCUCACAAUACAGGGAGUUCCUCACGUUCCAAGCACAUUGAUAUUAAAUACUUGUUUGUGAGAGAGAAAAUUGCUCUAUCUUGUGUAUCAGUAGAGUAUAUCCCUACAGAACUCAUGUUAGCCGAUCCACUUAUUAAAGCUUUAGCUCCAAAAGUAUUUAGGGAGCAUGUAACGCAUAUGGGAUUAUUUGAAUCCACUUAUAUAUGCUGAGUCAGUGGGAGUUCUGGUUUGUAUUAUGAGUUGCAACUUAAAUGAGCUUAUGUAUUACUCAUUUUGUUAUCAUGCAUGCAUGUUGUUAUGUGAUAUUGAUAUGCCAUAUAUUGUGUACACAUUUGGCUGCGUAUGGCAUUAUGUAUAGAAUGAGGAUACGAUGGUCCGAGACAUUUUGCUCAGUCUCAAUAUGGACAUUAAAGACUGAAGCAUUAUGAUUUUCUUCAGUGUGCUUUCUUGAGACAUUUUGAUUUAGUCUCAUUAUGAUUAAAAAGGAAGCUCGCUUCUCGAGACAUUUUGCUAUAGUCUCAUUAUGGUUAUAAAGAAGCGAUGGUCUAGGAGACAUAUUGUUUUCGUCUCAUUUUGCUAGACAUCUGGACUUUAUGGAAAUGAGCAUGUUGAUCACAUUGUCAUGUUAUUUCCAUAAUUAUACUUGUAUACUACUACAUGGUCACGUGUUUAUAAGUGUCUUGUUAUAUGGAGCAUCCUGUCGGUGCACAUAUGAUUUGAUAUUUAUGGCACAUUUUGGACUUGUUUAUGUUCUGGGUGAUUGCUUGUAUUUGACCUUUUGUUAUAGUCACAUAUUGAUUAAUUCGGUUGUUUUCAAAAUAUUAUUUUAUUUUAAAUUUAUCAUUGGAGUGAUUUCUGUCGUCCAAGUGGGAGAUUGUUAGAUUUAUUUCUCAUAUUAUGUGGACUGACAUAAAUCAUUCUAAUUGUUUUCUAUAUUUUACCGAAUUAAUACGUGACUAUUGUCAAAUAUUAUGGAGCAAUUUUGACAUACCUUGUACAGUAGUAUAUUAUGGACAAGUAUAUCCUUAAUUGUGUUAUUUUCGCCCAUAAUGGGAUGGGCAAUUUUGUACUAACACAUGAGGGGUCCCUGCGCUCAACCACUGUAUUUAAGUAACUUCAGCCCAUUGGAAGUUAACUGUUCAAGAAAUCUGUGGCAUGAGUGCAGUGCAUCUCUCUCUCCCGUUUGUCUCCCGUGUGUGUGCACAGUAAAUUUUGAAGCAAGCCGAUCCUUGAGCUAAGGAAAAGAAAGCGGAAUUCAGAAGCUAAACCGAAGCAGCAGCAACUCUGUUGAAGCUCCAUAACAAGCUGCAAGCUUGGAUUCAUGGGAGAUCGUGGUAAAUUUCGAAAUUUACUACAAUAUGUGUUUAAUUUGGAAAUGCACGAUUAAAGGGCAUAAAGUAUGUUUUUGUUUCAUCAAUUGGUAUCAGAGCCCAUGGUUAUGCGUUUCCUUGUAAACCAUAGUUGUUUUGUUGAAGAAAUCUCACUCAUGGAAUUUUUUUUUUUAUUUUCGGAUUUUUCGAAUUCUUCGAAUUUGGACAUAUUUCCUCAAACGGUUGUUAAAUAAUGCAUGAGUGAUGAUUUUGGAGCAAAGAUAUAAUUUUUUCGUGUUUUUUGGUGGCCAAAAUCGGGUUGGUAUGGAUGUGGAUGCUGUAAAUGUACUGUACAAUACUGUAGCAACAGCCCGAGGUUGAAGAUGAUGGGACAAUUUCAUUUGGAUCCCUAAAUUUUGUGAAUUGUCACUAUGGCCCAAAAUCUUUGCAAACUUUUCGAAAAGGUCCUUGACCGAGGGUCAACUAUGUAAAAGAUAAGUUGGUCCCUUGAAUUUUGGGAAAUUAUAGUAUGGCCCAACAGUUUAUUUUAUUUUAUUUACAGUUUGGGCCAAAAGUUUUAAUAGUUAAAACAGUAAACAUAAUUCUGAAAAUUUUUCAUUUUAGUCCAAAAUCCUUUCAAUUUUGGCGAUUUUUCAGAAUUUUAAAUUUUAAAAUAAUCCAUCAGUUAUUGAAUCUUAUGGGCAUAUCAUUUAUAUAUUUUAUUGAGGCAUGUAGAUAUUUUAUUUGAUUUAAUAUCUUGUUAAUUUCAUUUGACAAAAUUUAUUUAGCCUCAAUUUUGUUAAUAUACGAAAUAUAUAUAUGAUGCAAAACUACAAUUUAGAGUGAUUGUGUAUCUACUUAUCGUAGGACCAAUCAUGAUAAAUUAUUUGGUGGUUUGCAAUUGAUUGUCCAUUUACAAUUAUGAAUUAUGGAUUAUGUGAUGGAUUGUUAUUGUUUUGACCAAGAUCCAUACGGGUGAUGAUACUGCCCUGUCGGCAAAUCACUACUUGGUACUUGGUAGGAUGCUUGGGAAGAUAAAGAGAUUUGUUGAGUAUUUUCUACUGAGUGGCUUAAUUACCCUGUCGGUAAUAGGUCAAUGUUGGUGUUAUAUUCAACUUGUCUGCUUUAUCUUUAGGUUAGUGCAUUCCUAUAUUGUUAAAGGAUGCCUAACAUAUUGUGUUGCUAUUGGAGAAACUUAGAAUGAGGAGCAAUUGAUUAUAGCAUGAUUUUAAUUUUUGCAUGCUUGAUAAUUCUUUUGUUAUUGCUUCCUCAGCUCUAGAUAUUCUCUCCUUUCUCCAAGUAGCCUCCCUCAAGAAUUUAACUGGGACAAAUUUUGAGGACUGGCGUGAGUCCAUUUUGUUUUAUUUGUCUACACUGAAUAGAGACUUGGCAUUAAGAGUUGAUGAACCAGCCAAGCCCACAGAUAAGAGCACUGCUGCUGAAAAAGCAGAGUGGGCAGCUUGGGAUGAAUCCAAUAGACACUGUCUGGAUACAAUGAAAUACACCAUUGAUAGAACCACUAGAGAUAGCAUCCCUGCAUGUGAUAAGGCCAAAGAUUACUUGGCAGCUGUGGGAAGAACCUUUAAGAAGGUAGAUAAGGCAGAAAAGGGUAACUAUCUGAGGCUGCUUGCUAAUACCCAGUAUGAUGGUGUUUCUGGGGUCAGAGAACACAUCCUUAAGAUGACUAGUUACCAUAAGAAGCUGAAGGACAUGGAUGUCACUUUGCCUGAUGACUACCUGGUCUUCCAAAUCCUUGAAUCUCUUCCACCACAAUUUGGCAAUUUGAGAAGCCAAUACAAUACUCAGAGAGACACUUGGAAUAUCACUGAGUUGACUGCUUAUGUGGUUCAGGAAGAGGAAUCAUUGAAGAAGGGGAAAUCUCACACUGUCAUGGUGGCAACUACUCAAGAGAGUGGAAGUGUGAAGAAAGGCUCUUCAAAGGGCAGCAAUAAGUUUUUUAAGAAGAAAAAGUUUGGCAAGAAAACUUCACGUGGUACUUCUUCUACCACUUCUGGUUCCACUUCUGAGAGCUUUAAGGGAAAGUGCCACUUUUGUAAGAAACCUGGGCACAAGAGAGCUGACUGCAGGGGAUUCAAAGCAUGGUUGGAAAAGAAAGGUAUUCCUGUAGCCUUUGUAGGCUUUGAAUCUAAUCUUAUUGAUGUUCCUUCUGAUACUUGGUGGUUGGAUACUGGUGCAACCAUUAAUAUAACGAAUUCCUUACAGGAAUUCAGAAGCAGGAGGGAGCCCAAUGAAGGGGAGUUGAUAGUUCACAUGGGCAAUGGAGUGACAGCCAAAGUUGAAAGCAUAGGAGUUGUCAGACUACAUCUAGCCACAGGCCAUGUUUUGGAUCUAUUAGAUACAGCUUAUAUUCCUUCUAUUAGGAGAAACUUGAUAUCUGUAUCUAUUUUGGAUAGAUGUGGCUAUACUUUUCAUUUUGGUGAUAGAAAAGUUUACUUAUUCCGCAAUUCAGAGUUAGUUGGUUCUGGCACUCUAUAUGAUGGCUUGUAUAUGAUUGAUUUAUUUUCUCGUGCUGUUGAAUCAUCAUCCAAUGCUCAUGUUAUGCAUGUUGUUAGCUCUAAUCGUGUUAGGGUUGAUGAAAAUUCCUCUAUGUUGUGGCAUAAACGGUUAGGUCACAUUUCUAAACAGAGGAUGGAGAGGCUUAUUAAAGAUAGCAUUCUACAUAAGUUGGAUUUCUCUGAUUUUGGCACUUGUGUUGAUUGUGUCAAAGGCAAACUUACUGCCAAAACCAGAAAAGAGAGAACUCAGAGGAGUCAACAGGUGCUGGAGUUGGUACAUACAGACAUUUGUGGGCCAUUUACUCCUAUUGCCAUUGGAGGUUAUAAGUACUUCAUCACGUUCAACGAUGACUUUUCUCGUUAUGGUCAUGUUGAACUUCUUGCUGAAAAGUCUAAAUCCUUAUCUGUGUUUCAAGCCUUUAAGGCUAAUGUUGAGCUCCAAAAGGGCAAGCAAAUUAAAGCAGUAAGGUCAGACAGAGGUGGUGAGUACUAUGGGCGAUAUGAUGAAACUGGGCGUAAUCCUGGACCUUUUGCUAAAUUUCUUCAGGAAUGUGGAAUAGAAGCCCAGUAUACAAUGCUCGGGACUCCUGAACAUAAUGGAAUUGCAGAAAGGAGAAAUCGUACCCUUCUUGACAUGGUGCGGUGUAUGCUGAGUAACUCCACCUUACCAGAUUUUCUGUGGGGUGAAGCCUUAAGAACUGCAGCUUACAUUUUGAAUCAGGUACCUAGUAAAUCGGUGCCCAAAAGUCCUUAUGAGUUGUGGUCAGGAAAGAGACCGAGUCUUCGUCAUUUUCAUGUAUGGGGAUGCAGAGCAGAAGUGAGGCCCUAUAAUCCACAAUCAAGGAAACUUGAUCCGAAAACAAUUAGUGGUCAUUUUAUUGGCUAUUGUAUCGGCUCAAGGGGUUCUAGAUUUUAUUGACCUUCCCACACUACUAGAAUCAUUGAGUCUGAUCGUGCCAUUUAUUUUGAGGAUGAUCACAAUGGUGGGAGUUCUGAGCCUCGCAGUCUGACAUUGAGAGAAGAACGUGUGGUUUUGCCUAUUCCAUCUUUUCCGACUUCUGCGAUGGGAUUACCACAUAUUGAUGAUUCUUCUGUUGAUCCUAAACUUCAUCAUAAUAUGGAGCCUAUGAUUGUAGAGGAUGAUGGUACUGAUGUGCCAUUGAGGAGAUCAGAGAGGAUCAGGAGACCUGCAAUUUCUGAUGAUUAUGUUGUUUACUUGCAGGAGCAUGAUUUUGAUGCUGACUCUUCAUCUGAUCCUAUUACCUUUCAAGAGGCCAUCAGUUGUUCAGAAUCAUCAUCUUGGAUACAUGCGAUGCAUGAUGAGAUGGCAUCUAUGUAUCAUAAUGAGGUUUGGGAUUUAGUUGAGUUACCAGAUGGAUGCAGACCAAUUGGUUGCAAAUGGGUUUUCAAAACCAAAAGAGAUGCCAGAGGUCAGGUAGAGAGGUAUAAGGCCAGGCUUGUGGCUAAGGGUUUCAGUCAAAGAGAAGGCAUUGAUUACACUGAAACCUACUCUCCUGUUUCUACCAAAGACUCUUUUCGUAUUAUCAUGGCAUUGGUAGCUCAUUUCAAUUUAGAAUUGCAUCAGAUGGAUGUGAAGACAGCUUUUCUUAAUGGGAGCUUGUCUGAAGAUGUAUACAUGGUGCAACCUGAUGGUUUUGUUGAGUCUGGUAUAGAAAACAUGGUGUGUAAGCUUAAAAGGUCCAUUUAUGGACUUAAGCAAGCAUCCAGACAGUGGUAUUUGAAAUUUCACGAUAUUGUCACCUCUUAUGGGUUCCAGGAGAAUGCCGUUGAUCAGUGUAUAUACUUGAGAGUCAGUGGGAGCAAGUAUAUCAUUUUGGUGCUUUAUGUGGAUGAUAUCUUGCUCGCUGCUAAUGACAGUAAUUUGUUACUUGAGACAAAGCAAAUGUUGUCAUGCAGCUUUGAUAUGAAGGAUCUUGGUGAAGCCCAUUAUGUAUUAGGGAUAGAGAUUCUUCAUGAUAGAUCUAGAGGAAUUCUAGGUUUGUCUCAAAAGACUUACAUUGAUCGCAUUUUGAAAAGGUUCAAUUUGCAGUCUUGUGCUCCUGGGAAAGCUCCAAUUUCGAAAGGUGACAAAAUUUCCAAGUCUCAAUGUCCCGAUAAUGAUGUAGACAAAGCUAGAAUACAAACAGUCCCGUAUGCAUCCGUUGUGGGUAGCUUGAUGUAUGCUCAAGUCUGUACUCGCCCUGAUAUUGCUUUUCCAGUGGGAGUACUUGGAAGAUACCUGAGCAAUCCUGGAUUUGAACACUGGAAGGCUGCAAAGAAAGUACUCAGAUAUUUGCGAGCCACUAAAGAUUUUGUAUUGACAUAUCAGCAAUCUGACUAUUUGAAUAUAGUUGGAUAUUCUGAUGCUGAUUUCGCAGGGUGCUUGGAAGACAAGAAAUCCACAUCUGGUUACAUCUUUAUGAUGGCAGGAGGAGCUAUAUCAUGGAAAAGUGUCAAGCAGACACUUAUAGCUUCUUCAACAAUGGAAGCAGAAUAUGUAGCAUGCUUUGAGGCUACACGUCAUGCUUUAUGGAUGCAAAAUUUUAUCACAGGGCUAGAUUGUAUAGUGGCCGUACCGAGGCCAUUAAAGAUAUACUGUGAUAAUUCUGCUGCUGUUUCUUUUUCUCACAAUACAGGGAGUUCCUCACGUUCCAAGCACAUUGAUAUUAAAUACUUGUUUGUGAGAGAGAAAAUUGCUCUAUCUUGUGUAUCAGUAGAGUAUAUCCCUACAGAACUCAUGUUAGCCGAUCCACUUAUUAAAGCUUUAGCUCCAAAAGUAUUUAGGGAGCAUGUAACGCAUAUGGGAUUAUUUGAAUCCACUUAUAUAUGCUGAGUCAGUGGGAGUUCUGGUUUGUAUUAUGAGUUGCAACUUAAAUGAGCUUAUGUAUUACUCAUUUUGUUAUCAUGCAUGCAUGUUGUUAUGUGAUAUUGAUAUGCCAUAUAUUGUGUACACAUUUGGCUGCGUAUGGCAUUAUGUAUAGAAUGAGGAUACGAUGGUCCGAGACAUUUUGCUCAGUCUCAAUAUGGACAUUAAAGACUGAAGCAUUAUGAUUUUCUUCAGUGUGCUUUCUUGAGACAUUUUGAUUUAGUCUCAUUAUGAUUAAAAAGGAAGCUCGCUUCUCGAGACAUUUUGCUAUAGUCUCAUUAUGGUUAUAAAGAAGCGAUGGUCUAGGAGACAUAUUGUUUUCGUCUCAUUUUGCUAGACAUCUGGACUUUAUGGAAAUGAGCAUGUUGAUCACAUUGUCAUGUUAUUUCCAUAAUUAUACUUGUAUACUACUACAUGGUCACGUGUUUAUAAGUGUCUUGUUAUAUGGAGCAUCCUGUCGGUGCACAUAUGAUUUGAUAUUUAUGGCACAUUUUGGACUUGUUUAUGUUCUGGGUGAUUGCUUGUAUUUGACCUUUUGUUAUAGUCACAUAUUGAUUAAUUCGGUUGUUUUCAAAAUAUUAUUUUAUUUUAAAUUUAUCAUUGGAGUGAUUUCUGUCGUCCAAGUGGGAGAUUGUUAGAUUUAUUUCUCAUAUUAUGUGGACUGACAUAAAUCAUUCUAAUUGUUUUCUAUAUUUUACCGAAUUAAUACGUGACUAUUGUCAAAUAUUAUGGAGCAAUUUUGACAUACCUUGUACAGUAGUAUAUUAUGGACAAGUAUAUCCUUAAUUGUGUUAUUUUCGCCCAUAAUGGGAUGGGCAAUUUUGUACUAACACAUGAGGGGUCCCUGCGCUCAACCACUGUAUUUAAGUAACUUCAGCCCAUUGGAAGUUAACUGUUCAAGAAAUCUGUGGCAUGAGUGCAGUGCAUCUCUCUCUCCCGUUUGUCUCCCGUGUGUGUGCACAGUAAAUUUUGAAGCAAGCCGAUCCUUGAGCUAAGGAAAAGAAAGCGGAAUUCAGAAGCUAAACCGAAGCAGCAGCAACUCUGUUGAAGCUCCAUAACAAGCUGCAAGCUUGGAUUCAUGGGAGAUCGUGGUAAAUUUCGAAAUUUACUACAAUAUGUGUUUAAUUUGGAAAUGCACGAUUAAAGGGCAUAAAGUGUGUUUUUGUUUCAUCAGGGAACUCUCAAAACAAAAUACUCAAAUUAAAUUAAAUUAGACCAAAAGACGCUCAAUGACGCAAAAUCUGCCCAUAAAAGCCUGAACGAAUCAUGAAAAGUGCAUUCCAUAUUGACAGUAAACCAAGUGACCCAUUCUAAACAAUUGAGAUGAAAUUGUGAAACAACCCACGAGAUCAAAUAAAUAAAAUAAGAAUUAAUUACCAGCUGGGACUUUCUUCUUCAAAUUCGUAACUCCAAGUCAUAAGAAGCCAAUGAAAUUAGUCGUAAUCCACAGAGUAUGACGACGACCCCGCCAACAGCUGAAAAUAAAAUUCUUAUUCAUCAAUUUAAACUAACUUUAUAACAAAUAUCUUAUCGAUAUUUUAUUUAAAAAGAAAAAGCAAAUUUUGUAAAAUUUUUCCAUGGGAGAUAGAGAGUAACACGUAUAUCCGUACCUUCUCAGCAUGUAAUUGUUGUAUGGUCGUGUUAAGAUCAUUACUAGCCCAACGCCGUUGAUUCGAUGUCUCUCCAUACCAGACGUUUACUCUUGGAGGCGUGCUUGAUUCUCCUCUAGUGAAAAUCUUCAAUUUGGGACAACCAAUCACAGAUAGAUCUUGCAAAGAUGGGAAUUUGAAGGUGUAAUUGGCAGAGCAGAAACUUGUGAGGCUGUCUAAAUCACGCAGUUCCAACCUCUUCAAUUUGCGGAAAACAAUCUCUUCUUUUUCAACCCCGUCUUUGUCAUUUAUUACCACCUCUGUCAUUGCUCUGCAUCCGUAUACACAAAGUGAUACGAGUCGCACUAGAGUUUUUGCUGUGGAGGAUGUUACUAAGUGUAUCAAUUUCUUGCAAUCGAAAGCUACAAGUUUUGUUAGGUUCCCAAAAGAUACCGAUGAUGUUGGCAAUAGAAUUAACAGACUUUGACAAUGAUAUACUCUUAGAAUUUCAAGAUACUGAAAAAUGGGGCCAAAUUUGGAGUCUUGUUUGCACAGCUGCUUCAGAUGAUAGUGCCGGUACAGCUCUAAUUCUUUUAUCAUUGCCAACUUCCCCACAUGUUUCUCUAAGCAUCCUUCCAUCGAAAAUACCUCU
rnacentral:lncRNA from 1 species